rnacentral:lncRNA from 1 species
GAGAGAGAGAGGCCUGAAGGCAGAUAGAAAGAAAAGAGUUGCAGGGUAGGCUUUAUGCAUCAGACCUGGAGGUGGGGUGAGUAUUUUGUACCCAUUUUAUUGGUCAAACACUAUUGCAUGGCUUGGAGAGCCGGGAAAUAUUGGGUAGUCCGGGUUCUUUGGAGGGAUUAGAUCUGAGAUCUGAGAUCUAAGCUUUGGGAUUUAGGACCCAGAUAAUCACUAUUAGAUUAUAUUGUUCAUAGUAUAUGUUUUAUCAUUCAUGAAUAUUUCUGUUGGCUUCAUCUUAUGGUCAUAUUUUUAAUCAUAUUAUAUAGAGAUAUUUUAACUUGUUCCUAUACCUCUAGUCUUUUUUUCCACUAGACUGCCCUAUUUCUGUGCUUGUAAUUUAAAUUAAUCUUCCAAUCAGAUGGACUAUACCCUGAAGUAAGGUUGUUUUUUUUUUUUUUCCAGGCCCUUACCUGCCUGAGAUGGCGUUUGUUUUUUGUUUUUUGGGGUCUUUUUUCUGUUGUCUUGACAACUCGACUGUGUCAAGUAUUGAGGGCUGGUUCUCAUAUAUGGGCAUCUAAAGCAUGCAAUAAUUUCACAUGUCUCAAACUGACAAAAAUAAAGAAAUUUCCAUGCUUCCUACUUUAGGUGUCCACUAACAGAUUCUUCUUUCAGAAGAAUAACUGAGAGGGGCACCUGGGUGGCUCAGUCAGUGAAGUUACAGACUUGGGCUCAGGUCAUGAUCUCACAGUUCUUGAGUUCGAGCCCUGCGUCAGGCUCUGUGCUGACAGCUCAGAGCCUUGAGCCUGCUUCGGAUUCUGUGUGUCUUUCUCUGCCCACCCCCCCCUUGUGUUUUCUCUCUUGCGCACGCUCUCUCUCUCUCUCAAAAAUAAAUAAACAUUAAAAUAAAUUUUUUAAAGAAAGAAUAACUGAGAAAGGAAAAAAAAAAUCACUGGGGAAGGAAUAUUUGCCUAAGGCAAGACUGAUCUCUUUAUGUUGAAAAUUCCAGAAAAUCCUGCAUCUUAUAGAAUUGUUAAAAGCAUAACACUACGUAUGAUUAAAUUUAUAUUCACUCUUCUCAGAGUCUAUCAGUAGCCAUUACACCUUGUAGGAACUUCUUAUCAAAAGACUUGGUAAUCGUUAAAAAUAUUCGCUCAGAGAGAUUUGCUCCCACUUGAGAGGAAAAAAAAUUCUUUUAAGAUAUUUAAAUCUCUAUAUGCUGUAUGAACAUUACUCCUGCUCUCCUAUGGUAUGUAUUUUUUAAAAGAAGUUUUAUUUUAUUUGGGGGAUUGGGAAGGUUAACUAGCGGUAGCUUUCAAGUUUCAGAUUUAGUGAAAAAGAAUGAAGGAAGCUAGGCUUACCUGAUUUUUCCCCCCACCUGAGCAGAUGUCUCACUCAUGCCAGAAAUUGAAAGUAUAUGGACAAGGGGCAAUUUUUAAAUUUAUUUUGAAGUUACUAUUUUGUUGCAUUUCUUGGUCAUAUUUUUAUCUGUUUUCUCUGUAAUGUCCAUGAAUCUGUAUGUCUAGUUGUACUUUAACAGAACUUUUGCCUUUUAAAUUUUACAAUGUGUGAGAUCAGGCUUUUUUUAACUCUGGGGUUUAACAUCUCUUGUUGUCUCAUCUAGAACCAUUAAUAGGAAUUCUUACAAGACUCAGAUUGCUUUGGGAGACAUAAAUUGAAAGAUAAAUGAAUAUUCUAGUUUCUCUGAAAAUGUCUAGUUAUAUAGAGUUAAUUAGUUUCUAUGACCCUACCUGACCCUGGUUAAUUAGGUCAGUUGAGGUCUUACCGGAAUCAUGGACUUGAAUUUAACUCUGGAGACAGUGAUGGCGGCCUAUGGAAGACACAGGCCCCUUGGCUUAAAUAGAGAGCUUUCUUCCAUGUCUCUUGCUGACUAAUUUUUCCUAAUCUUUUUCAUUAACUCCUCUUCCUGUUUCAAAGCUAGUGUUGCUGAAGGUGGUACAGCAGGCGUGAGGAAUGGCGCUUUUACAUUGUUUUUGGCAAGGUAAACAGAUUCCUCCAAAUCUGUUUGGAGAAAAUUUUGUCAGGUUGAUCCAACUUUAAAUGGACAUUCCCUUUAACCCAGAAAUUCUACUUCAGAAUUAUCCUAAGGAAAUAAUUGGAUAUGUGAAUUAAAAUGUAUAUACAAGUAAUUGCUAAUUGUUUGUAAUAUCAAAAAAGUAGGAGCCCCUGAAUUAUGAGAUAUAUGUACGAUGAUAAUACAAAACAGACAUUGAAACGGUCAUGUGUGUUUAUUUACAGAGAUAUAGCCAGUUGACUCUUAUAAAUUGCUAAUAGAAAAGGGAAGGCUAUAAAAUGUUAUAGAUGUUAUGAUCCAAAUUUUAUAAAAAAUAUGUCUAUGUGCAUUUCAUCAUAAAAAGUCUGAAAAAUUAUACCACAGAAUGCUAACAGUUAUCUCUGGGUGAAUCUGAUGGGAUUACUGGUGAUUUUCUCAUUGUUCUCUAUAAUUUAUUGUAUCUUCUCAUUGUUAUUUAUAACUUGCUAUCUGAAUAUAUAUACAGUAUGUAUGUGUUGCUUUUUUAAUUAGGAAAAGCCAUAAAACUAUUUUCAUUUUGAAAAAUAAAUGACUUAUUGCUUUAAAGAAUAAACACGUACUUGUGGAAAAAAUAAAAAUAAUCCAUCCACGUAUUAAAAUUGUUGAAAUGGGGCACCUGAGUGGCUCAGUCAGUUAAGUGUCCAGCUCUUGUUUUCGGCUCAGGUUAUGAUCUCAUGGCCUGUGAGAUCAAGCCCUGUGAGGGGCCCUGAGCUGGCAGUGUGGAACCUGCUCAGGAUUCUCUCUCUCCCUCUCUCUCUCUGCCCCUCCUCUGCUUGUGCAUUCUCUCUCUCAAAAUAAAGCAAAUAAAACAUUUAAAAUAAGAGACUCUUAAAUACAGAGAGCAAACUGAGGGUUUCUGGAGGGGGAAGUGGAUUAAAUAGGUGACAGCAUUCAGAAUGCCGGAUGCUGCCUCUGGAUGCCUCACAUGCCCCUGAAGUCAAUAUGUCUAAAACUAAAUUUACCCUCGUAUCUUGAAAUCUGGCUCCUCGUGUAUUCCUAACCUCAGUUGCACAGGAUCCCUACCUACCUAAGUGGGAAAUGUGGAAGUCAUCAUGAGGCCUCUGCAUAACUCAGCCACCACAUUUAGUAAUGUACAAGUCCCAUGGCUUCACUAUAAUCUCUUUCCUCUUCUCCAUUUCCCGUUCAACAGAGCUAGUUCAGGUCCCUAAUACUUGCCUCUUUGGAUUGCUGCAAUUGUCUCCUAUACUCCUAUACUCAUAAAAUCCUAAAAGCACACCCCCAUGUUUUUGCUUAGAUCAUUCCUUCUCCUUCCUACUCUUCUUCUUCCUCCUACCUUCCUCUCCAGGAGAGUGGCCAGUCAACUUUCUAGGCUUGGUCCAAAUGUCACCUUCUAACCUUUCUGUUGGAAUUGGCAGGUCUUUCCCUUGUGGUCCCUAUUGGAAAACCCCAAAGACGUUUCCUAAUAAUGAUGGUAAUGGUUAACAUUGACUGAGAUUUCAUGGUAGGUUAACCACCAUUAUAAGGGCUUCAUAUGGCUUAACUCGUUCAAUAAUUACAAUUCUAUAAGAUAUACACUUUUAUUAUCUACAUUUAAUAGGUAAAGUUCAGAAGGUUUAUGUAAUUUGCCAAAGGUCAAAUCAUCCAUAAGUGGCAGAGCUAAGAUCUGAAUCCAACCUGGCUUGAAAGCCUGCAUAAGUCAUAUACAUAUGUGUCCUUAACCCAUACUUUAUUUUAGUGUAACAUCUUACUAGACUUCUUUUUCUAUCAUUACCUGUGGCUCCAUGCAAAGGUCACACAGACAACCUCAAUGAAGGUUUGCAGACCAAUUGAUUAAUUAAUUAAUUAAUCUUUCUGAGAUGGGAAGUCUAAACCAAAAGGAAUUAGCAUUGUUUAAACAUUUUUGUGGCUUAUUUUGUUUACAUCUGGAUGUACUCUGAGGUCCUUUUUAUUGUUAGAAUACAAUAGUAUUUUGUUCUCCCUUGCUUCUUGCUUAAUAAGACUAGAUCCUGCCUAUUUAUAAUGAGAUCACUAUCCUCAUGAUAAAGAAAACAUCUAGAAGAGAGUCAACUGAUUCAGCUCAUGCACACUGAGUGUAAUGGAACUUGACCAAGAACUGGUGGAGAUGAUCCUUGUGGGAAAUGUGGUUAAGUGAACAUCCACCAUGUCAGAGUUCUAUAGGUACUAAUGAUGGCUCAAUGGACAUCAGGAGCCAAGUUCAUACCUGGUCUAUCCUAUCAUCUAGAUGUCUUUUAAAUCCCUCACUUGGAGUUCUUACUUCCUGAAUGCAGACCAGGCAAUCGCCUACUCAUUGGUGCUUUUCCUCAUCUUGUGCAACCUGUAUACCACACACUGUCUGUCUGAAACACAGUUGUCUCAAGUCUCACCCCUUCCUCAAAUCUCUGAUGUUGACUCAUUGUCCCAAGGGUAAAAGUCAUAUUCUGUUGCCAGGUCCUUACAAUGGCUGCCGUCCUGCCUCAGUGACUCCUGACUCUACCUCUUGCUUCCACUAGUCACUAGUCCACCAUGUGAAAGGGGCUGCCAUUCUCUAGACAUCAGGUUUCCUCUGCCUGGAGUGUCAUUUACUCUUCUUUACUCAGUUUCCAAAAUCCAACUGUAAUUUCUCUACAUCUUCAAGGACUUGCUUUGGUUUAGUUUUGCAUUUUCUCCACUACUUUUCCAUCAUGUUUUGUGUACUUGGACCAUAAUUACUUGCUCACUUGAUCCAUUUACCUCCUUAGAACAUGACUUACUUGAGGUCAGGGUCAAUCUUAUAUUUUACUUUUGUCUUAAAGCCUUGGAAACUAGUGCUUCCCAAACUUCAAUGUGCACACAAAUCCCCCGACAUCUUGUAAAAUGCAGAUUCUGAUUCAGCAGAUCUUUCACGGGGCCGAGCCAGCAUUUGUAACAAGUUCCCAGAGGAAGACCAAUGCUGUUGGCCUCUGGAUCACACUUAGAAUACCAGGGCUGUGUAUUUUGGGAAGUUGAUUUUUUUAAUCAAUGAACCAAAAGGAUAAUAAAUAAAUAAAAAAAACAUAUUGUCAAAUUAUGUUCUGCUUUAUUUUUAACUUUUUUUUAAAACAGAGGAUUAACAUUUUCAUUCAGUCUAUGGGUCACUAAAUUUUUAUAGCUUAACAUUUCUUCACAUCUUAAUACUGUCAUAGUUUUUCUUCUUUAAAUUUUCCCCCUUUUAAAAUUAAAUUUAGGAUUUGUUUCAACCAGGGACAAUAUUACACAAAUCUGUUACUAUGGUGGAGCAAAAUUUAAAUUUUGAAAUAUAAUUCGUUUAAAAAAAAAUUUUCUCAGAUGCUAUAUAGGUCCUAUUUUCAUCACGGCCAGUACAACAUGGAAUCACAGCACAGUGGGAUAAGAGGUAUCUUCAGAAGUUCAUCAGUGUGUACAGGGGAUUCACUCAGAAUGUUCUUGGUUAUGUUUUUGAACGAGCGUUUUUUUAACGAAGAGUUGAAUUGAACUUUAAAGAUGGGUACUUGCUUUUCUGUGGUCACUUCCUGUUCCAGUUAAUAUUUGAUUUACAGGUAUGCCCCACCAAGCAAUCAGCUCACUACAAUUUAGCUUUUUUGUGCCCAAACUUAACUUUUCCACAUUCUCUUCCUCUGAACUCAAGAAACAAAACAAAUGAGCAAAGGGGAAAAAUAGAGAGGGGGAGACAAACUAAGAAACAGACUCUUAACCGUGGAGAACAAACUGGUGGUUACCAGAGGCGGGAGUGGGUGGGGGGAUGGGUAAGACAGGGGCUGUGGAUGAAGGAGGGCACUUGUCAUGACGAGCACCUGACAAUGUAUGGAAUUGUUGAAUCACUAUAUUGUACACCUGAAAGUAACAUUAUGCUGCAUGUUAACUGGAAUUUAAACAAAAACUUAAAAAAAAAAAUAAAUUUUAAAAAGAGGAAAACAUUAAAACAAGAGAAAAGAUGAAAUUCAGUACUGUAUACCUGGAAAGGGUCCAUGGGCAUUUCCCACCAAUGCCAAAUAUUGUACUCACUGUCAACAUCUCUACCUUGGAAACCAAGUAAAAAUGUACAAAUGAGUCAAAUACAUCAUAAGAAAAAAUUCAGAUCAAUUGCCAAUCAACGAACGGGAUAACAUCUGGUUAUUUUGAUGGUCAUAUUGACCAAACCAGUUCACUCGGAUGCAACCCAAUUCGAAUCACAAAUCUGAUUCAGUGACAACAGCAACAAAAGAUCGACUUGAGAUAACUCAUCAUUUGACAAUCUCAGGAUUCCUUUCAUUGUUUUGCUUAAGAACACUGAUAGACUUUCUGAGUUUCAUUGGAAAACCUGUGUAACAAGGACCUGUCAGGCUCUAAACCUCUGUGAUUCAAUGAAUAAUGUUAUUAUCUUCCCUGCAAGGUUUCAGUAUCCUAUUUAGAUGUCAUACUCUGCUUUCGCUGCAAUUUACGGGUACUUUUAAUUUCAAACAUAAAAUCUUUCAUCUUAAGGAGACAUGCGUUAUAUAUUUGUUUUAGUGUACCUCAGGGAACAAAGCCAAUGUGCAUUGAAGAUUCAAUUAGCAAUAGUGAGGGUGGUGAUUAAAGAGCUCCACUCGUCUGGCUGAUUCAUUUGGUCUCUUUUCAUCUAAUUUCUUAGGGACUAAAUGUAGCUUGAAAUAAAGUUUUAUUUUAAAUUAGUGUUCAGUGCAACCCAGCCAAGAAAGACUGUGGUGUUUUGUUUUGGUUUUUUUCCGAAUUCGUUCCCUUUGUGUACAGAGAAAUUCAGGAUCAGCUUUCCACCAUAAGCUGGAGUGUAGAAAGAUGAUCUGCUGCAUUAUUAGACUACCUUUCACCUCGCCUGAAAGUGGAAAUCACAAACCAGUGAUGUGUGGACUGGGUCAGUGUUUAGAAACCUAGGUUAGUUGACAAUGUCAAUUAAGAGACAUCACAUAAUCUGGAUUUCUGGCUCCAAGUGCCAGAGGUGAGUUGUGUCUGCCUCUUUGCAUUGUUCACAGAGUCCCCUCCUGGUCAGUGGCACUCAUUUAUGUGGCCUGCCUGGUGCCUAGAGCAUCUCCUGUUCUGAAGUUUUACGUUAUGCAAAUAUUCCCGAUUCUACACAGCAACAUGGAGGUGAGGGGUAGAGAAUAGAGUGUGCACCAAUUAUGGGACUCGCCCAUCCCAAUUUAGACAAAGGCCAGUGCAACUUACUGAAAGAAGAGGCAGCAAUGUAGGUGAGACCAAGGUUUAAGGCCCAUCUAAUAGUCAUCCAUCAGAUGGAGGAACAGCAGAAGUGAUGUGGCAGCCCCCUCCUCCCCCAGGUUAAGGUGGAUGCAGAGGAGGGGAAUUGUGGUUUGGAGUCAUCAUUUGAGAGGAAUUUUAAGGAGUAGCAAGGAACCUUCCUGCAAGCAGGGGGCUCAGGGGCUCAUUCCCAGGAAGGGUAGGAGGAAUGAAGCAGAAACCUUAGUGCUCCAAGUAGAGGAUCAUGAUGACCAAGAUGUAGGACCCUGGGUCUGUUGGGAAAGCAAGAUGGCAGCUCAGGGGUAAGUGCUGGGACAACCAGAUAUGCCAGUUGGCCAAUGCUGAGUUUCGGCGAUUGGUAGUCUAAGGCUCUGAGCUUCUCCUCUAAUUCUAAAAUAGGUCCAGAACCAGAGAUAGGAGAUGUCUUUGAAUCUGACUUCGAGGAUGUGGGGAAACAGACACACAGCAAUUACAGCAGGUUCUGGGACUCUGGCAUGGCUGUAGGAGGGCAAAAACAUCUUGAUCUCAUGCUUCAAUUAAACCAAAGUAAUUCAUUCUUUGCUACUUCCACCCUUCUGCUUUAUUAGCAUGAGGUUAGAAAGUAUAUUAUUCUAAAAAUGACUCAAGGUGGAAAUCUCUGCAAACAUGGUAAGAAUGUGAGACGAUAAAGGAUAACCCCCUUGUCCACUGAUCUCUAUUCAGCCUGUACUCACUGAACUCACAUUGAGCAACCACUUUUAUUAAUUUUUUAAUGUUUAUUUAUUAUUUUUGAGAGAGACAGAGUCGAGCAGAAGAGGGUCAGAGAGAGGGAGACACAGAAUCUGAAGCAAGCUCCAGGCCCUGAGCUGUCAGCACAAAGCCCGAUGUGGGGCUCGAACUCACAAACUGUGAGAUCAUGACCUGAGCCAAAGUCAGACGCUUAGCUGACUGAGCCACCCAGGCACCCCUGAGCAACCACUUUUAUAUCUGAACGGAUAUUAGGGUUUGAAGCCCACAGUUCACGCCCUAUCCCCCAACUUGGUCCUCCCCAUGAGAAAAAUGGCCUUUUGCCUCCUGAACACCUGAGGGUUAACUGGCCAAGAAAGGGGUUACUGCUUAGGCAGAUGAAGAGAUUAGAUAUGAGACAAUAAACAUGCAGCCCUUGGCUGAUAUACCUCUGGCCCCAGAUCCUGAGAGGCAUCCCUAAUUGAUUACAGCACUCUUUCCUGCUGAGCCGGGAUGAGGCCUCGGGAUCCCUCCCAAUACCAUGUCCCGGGAGCCAAUCAAUUAGGGUUGACACUGGAAAUGAAAUGCAUCUGCCCUGCUUUGAUUAGGUUUUUACUUCCAAGUGUGCUGUGGAUGAAGCCACUGAGUGGGGUAGAAUAUCCAAGUCCAGGUUGAAAGCAGGCAAAUUGCCAGCCAGGGAAAUUUAUAUCAGAAUACACAUUUAAGGUAUUAAUUUGUUUUUGUCUCUCCUUCCCACCCCACCUUUUCUAGGUAGAUAGGCAAGUCCCUUAUAGUCCCUUGCUCGUGGGAUUAUGGCUGGGCAAAAAAAUGAGGAGUAUAAGGGGAAACAACACCCGUCCUUUGUAAAAGCUUGAACUGAAUGAAAAGAUUCUUUGCUAUGUGUUUCAAAAAGAAGGAAUGUGGUCGGGAGGUGGGGAGGGGGGCACAUAAGCUCAUUUGGGUGAUAGUCCUACAGGAACGUGGGUGGAACUUGUAUCAUUCAUGGUCCCAGCAGGAAGGUGAUAAUGCCCUCAAAUUAGGGGGAGGGAAACCCUAAGGAAGAAGGAAGUAACCGGAGUCUAAUAACAGCACAGCUGUUCUCACCACUUGGCCCAAAGGGGUGAAGGGUGGCAGUGGUAGCCAGGGCAGGAAGGAGAGCGUGGCCUCAAGAGGCUGAUCUGGACAGUGGCCAUGACCACGGGUGGAGGGACACACCAGCCCUAGGAAGCCAGGCAGGGAGGGAGCCAGGAAGGAAAAUACCCCUAUAUCACCCCCUUCCUUCCCUCCUCUCUCCUGCUUCACCUCCCCGUGGCCCAAACCAGUCAGAAACCAAAGGGCAAGGGAGCCCAUUGUUGUUCCUGUAGGUUAACAGGAAGCAGGGUGGAAAAGGGUGGGGUGCAAAUCAGAGGACCAAAUAGAGUGCAUCUGUCAUUACCCAAACCAUUUCCUUUCAACAUUCGCUCUUGCCUUCCCCUGGGUGAGAAGAGUUUGUACUAUCACAAGGGACAGGACAAUCCUAUCUGCUACCAUGUUAUCAAGGGACGCUAUAAAUUCAGCCGUACUCCCACCUGAAACCUAAAACAUUAGCCACUGUCAGCAGUCUACUAGAAGGUAUGAGAGGAAAAUGGGGGAACAAAAGAAGUGAUGAAUAUAGCUGCUAUAGUCCCCAAUGUGGUAGUUGGUUUGGGGUCAAAUUUGGGAAUCAUAUAUCUGUGGUUUUCUACUCUCCUUUCCUCUACUCCUGCCAACACUUCAGAUGGAUGGAACUCUCUACCUGAUGAGGUGAACUCAAACUUAACCUCUUUAGUAGCUGAGCUCUUUAUGUUUUUUUUUCCCUUCAUUUUGUUCCCACAAUACUUCACUGAUGAGAUCUACUGGGCAAAGGGGUCCUGGGAGGCACUCCCAUGAAUCCCUUGGGUUGUGGCCACAGACUCCCUCCCCUGAUGAGUAGCAGCACCUCAAUUUCCCUUGAUGAUAAGUACAUGAUGAGCACUGACAGCACAGUCCUGCUCUUCUCUAGAAGCAUCAUGAGAAGCUCAAAUGGCCAGUUUCUUGGUUUUUUUUUUAAGUUUUUAUUGAUUUAUUUUGAGAGAGACAGAGAGAGAGAGGGGGGCUCGAGCUCACAAACCGCGAGAUCAUGACCUGAGCUGACAUCAAGAGCUGGACACUCAACCGACUGGACCACCCAGGCGCCCCAUCAAAUGGCCAGCUUCUAAUUAAAUGCCACCCUCGUCGUCUUUCUUGGUGGAAGCAUUCCUUCCUUGGCACUAGGACCUCCGACCCACCUGGCCCAAGGUCUCAGGAGUUAGAAGCCAAAGUCCUUCAAGUUACUUAUUAGAUGUAAAAGUGAGAGGGUCCUUCCCACCUCUUGAUUCUCAGACCCACGCAUCAUGGGGAGAUAAUGCCAUAUAUUUCGGCUGUUUAAGACACAUGCCAUGUCCAGCCUUGAUUGGUGCUGUCCUCUAGUUAGCACCAUAGCGGAGUCUUCAGCAGGGCAUUUCACUGUUCUGUUGAGCACACUGCUUCUGAAUGCUAGUGCACAGAAGAAGACAUCGUCUUCUGUAUUCCAUCCCUGCAUUUCUUUGCUGUAAAACAUAUGCCGUGGAUGGAGGUGAGGGCGUAUGGUAACCCAUGGCAACAGGUAAUUGAUUAUGUAAACCCACAAAUGGUACUGAUAAAAGGCUUUUAAGGAGUAUCUGGUAAACGGGUCAGAGAAACAUUCCAAAAUAUAGCAUACGUGACCUCCCAACUCCAAGACGUUGUGCGUCCCUCUUAGGCAUGGGCAGAGUACCUUCCAAUACCUUUUCUCUAAGAGUGAAACUCCAACAUUUCAUAGAUCAAUAGACUUCUAGAAACUUUAUCAUCCUGGAAGGCCCCUAAACUUUCUUAAAGUUUCUCUCUCAUAUUCUUGCAUUCAUAUGCCUCAGUGAGCUAUCUAGAAUGCUUAAUACCUUUUGCUCACUAGAUCCGAUUAGUGUCAGCUGAUCUAUACGACACAUCACCAUGACGUUCUGUGAGCUAUCAGAGUGAGCAACGUUCCUUUGGCUCAUAUUAGAUGAGAGAAUGAAAAAAUUUACACAGCUAUGAGACAGUGUAGUAAAGUUUUACACCACCGUGAAACAAUACCAUAAAAGUAAAUUGUUGUCCCUGCCAUAUAAAUACAAACUCCUUUUGUUUGGAAUGGAGGAAUAAAGCAUUUGUCACGUCAUUAACUGCAUACCGGCUAGCAGGAGCUGUGCGGAUCUGCUCCAGUAAAGGACCACAUCUGAAACCAUUUCUGUGAUUGGCUUUAUUACCUGACUAUUUUUAUUACCAGAAUAAGCUUGUAAUAACCUGCUGCCAUUUUCUAAAACCCAUCUUGCUUUUGCGCCAGGAAUAUAGGAAAACCAAAAUAUUUAGAGUGAGAAUCACCACCUCUGUGCCUCUCAAGUCCUUGAUGGCUGUGCUAAUUUCUGCUUCUCCUCCAGGGAUGAAAUCCUGCUUUGGGUUUGUUAUUAUGGCAGAAGUAGCAGAUCCAGCAGUCUUCAUUUGGACCUUCCUCCCAUAAUCGCCCUCCCUCCACUGGUAAGGAAACCAAUGUGGACCUUCUAUCAGUUACUAAGUGUCUACACCCACUAUUCAUUCUGAGGCCUCAGCCCCCUAUUCAUUAGAACCCCUAUUCUGAAUGACAGACCAUCAUAUCGAUCAUGUCUCUGAGGAUGAUCAUAAGUUUAGAACCAAUUUCUAAUAACCCCUGGAGGUUCUCUAUAUUUUCCCUUCCCAGUGCACAGUGACUCUGGUAAAUGGCCAUGGGCUCCUCUGGGAGGGAACUGGUAAAGAGCCAUGAAUCCAGACCAACCUGACUCAUGUCAGGUCUCUUCCCACCAGACCUCAAAAUUUUCUAUAUAUAUAUAUAUAUAUAUAUAUAUAUAUAUAUAUAUGUCAAGAAUUAUCUCUUCCUUUUCUUGAAACUCCAUAAUCAAUACACUAUCAUUGAGUACCCCUGAGAAUCAAAACACUCUGAGUCCAAGAGUGUUAUAUGGUGAGUUAUAUUAAAUGUUUAAGGGAUAUAUGGUGCCAACCAUACAUAAAUCCUUCCAGAGGAUUAAGAGUAUAGACUUUCCAAUUCAUUUUAUAAAGCUACAAUAACCUUUGGUCUUCAGUAGAGACCAAAAAGAUCAGUAUGAUAAAGGAAAAUUGUAGGCCAAUAUUGUCAUAGACAUACUUGCAAAAUUCACACAUAUUACACAAAAAAAAUACACCAAGUAUUAGUAAGCCAAAUCCAGCAAAGUAUAAAUGGGUUAAUAUUUUAUGACUAAGUUGAUUUUAUCCUAAGAAUGUAAGUUUAUGUUAAUAUUUGAAAAUCAAUAAAUGUAAUUUACCAUAACUGAAUAUAUAAAAGAAAACCACAUGGGGGCGUCUGGGUGGCUCAGUCGAUUAAAUGUCUGACUUCAGCUCAGGUCAUGAUCACACAGUUCCUGAGUUCCAGCCCUGCCUCUGACUCUGUGCUGACAGCUCAGAGCUUGAAGCCUGCUUUGGAUGCUAUGUCUCCUUCUCUCUCUCUGCCCUUCCCCCCCCGAAAAAUAAACAUUAAAAAAAAAAAAAAGAAAACCACAUGGUUAUUUCAAUAGGUACAGAAAGUGUGCAUAAAAUUCAAUAUUCGUUCAUGAUAAAGAGUAGAAAUGCAAGGGGAUGCCUGGGUGGCUCCAUCGGUUGAGCGUCGACUCUUGAUUUUGGCUCAGAUCAUCAUCUCACAGUUCAUGAGAUCAAGUCCCAUAUCAGGCUUCAGCACGGAGGCCGCUUGGGAUUCUCUGUCUCCCUCUCUGUCUGUCCCUCCUUCAUGCUCUCUCUCUCUCUCUGUCUCAAUAAAUAAAUAAACAUUAAAAAAAGAGAAUAGAAACAUCAAAAUAAAACUAAAAACUAUAUUGAGCUAAAUGGAUUAUCAUACUAACCUUAGUAAGGAAUGCAUGAUCUUUUCAAUGAUUUGUAUAAGGUCAGUUGGAUAUCUGUAUUUAAAAAAGUAAACUUUGACCUCUACCUUUCACCAUAAAGAAAAAUUCUUUUGAUUUGGAGCACAGAUUGUGUCAUAAAGGAAUUGAACUUAUAAAACUGAACAGAGGAAAAUAUUUUCAUCAUAGGGGGAUAGGCAAUGAUUUUUAAAACAAGGUACCCAUAUCCAGAAUAUGUUUUUUAAAACUUCUACAAAUUGGGGCACCUGGAUGGCUCAGUUGGUUAAGCAUCUGACUCUUGAUUUGGGAACAGGUAGUGAUCUCACAGUUCCCUCUCUCUCUACCCACCACCCAAAAUAAAUAAAUAAACUUAAAAAAAAAAAACUUCUACAAAUCAAUUAUAAACAAAUAGACUAUAAAAAUGGGUAAAAGGCUUGAACAACACUUCACAAAUAGGAUAUCCAAAAUGUCCUCCAAAUAUAUGUAUGUGUAUGUGUGUGUGUGUGUGUGUGUGUGUGUGUGUGUGUAUACACAUACAGAGAAAGAGAGAUGCUCUAUAUUAUUAGUGAUUAGCUAAAAUGGAAAUUGAAAGCACAAUGUGGUCAGGUUAGGACCUGAAUAGACAUUUUGCCAAAGAAGACCUACCGAUGGCCAGCAGACAUGUGAAGAUGCUUAGUAACGCUAAUCAUCAGGGAGAUGCUAUCCAAACCACCAUGGGGUACGACCACACACCUGUCAGAAUGACUAAUAUCAAAAACACAAGAAAUAACAAGUGUUGGUGAGGAUGUGGAGGAGGUGCGCUGUUCGCAGGAAUGCGAAUUGGUGCAGCCACUCUGGAAAACAGUGUGGAGGCUUCUCAAGAAAUUAAGAAUAGAAAUACCAUAUGGUCUGGUAAUUCCACUGCUAGGUAUUUACCCAAAGAAAAUGAAAACACUAAUUCGAAAAGAGAAAUGCACCCCCGUGUUUAUUGCCGUAUUGUUUACAAUAGCCAAGAAAUGGAAACAACCUAAAUGUUCACACAUAGGUGAAUAGAUAAAGAAGAUGUGACACAAUAGAAUGUUACUCAGCCAUCAAAAAGAAUGAGAUCUUGCCACUUUUGACAACAUGGAUGGACCCAGAGGAUAAUAUAUUAAGUGAAAUAAGUCAGUCAGAGAAAGACAAAUACCAUUUGAUUCCACUUAUAUGUGGAAUCUAAAAAACCAAAUGAACAAAUAAACAAAGCAAAACAGAAACAGACUCAGAUACAGAGAACAAUAUGGUAGUUGCCACAGGGAAGGGAGAUGGGGGGAUGGGCAAAAUAGAGGAAGCGGAUUAAAAAGUACAGAGUUCCAGUGUAUAAGUCACAGGGUAUAAUGUACAGCACAGGGAAUAUAGUUAAUAAUGGUUUAGUAACUUUAUAUGGUGACAGAUGGUAGUGAGAUUUAUUGUAGUGAUCUCUUUGUAAUGUAUAUAAAUGUUGAAUCACUAUGUUGUGCACCUGAAACUAAUACAAUAUUGUUUGUCAACGACACUUAAAUUUUAAAAAGGUGAGGAUACCUAGUUUGGCAAGCAUGCGAAACACUGCAUCCUUGCAGUGUUUUUGCUACUAUUAGCUGGAGGGUUCAAUUGGUACACUUUAUAGAACUGUUUUUUAGCACUUUGAGGGCUAAACACAUCCCUACUGUAUGACACCCAACCAUAUUCCUGUGUAUAUAUUAUAAGAAAUGAGUGUUUCCAUCCACCGAAGGACAUGUUUAAAAAAAUAAUCAGAGCAGCUUUAUUCAUAAUUGUCUAAAAUUGAAAACAACCCACUAUCCACCAAAACCAUAAUGGAGAACAAAUUAUAUUGUAUUCAUAACCAUACAAUUACACACAGCAAUGGAAAUAAAGAACCCAGACUACUUAUAUACCCAAUAACAUGGAUGAAUCUAUCACGUUGAAUGAACUAAGUCAGAAAUGAAGGUUCACAUGGUGUGUGAUACCAUUGACAAACCUCAAAUACAGCCAGAUUUAUGGGGAGAGAAGUCAGAAGAGUCAUUACCUUUGGGGGCAGGAUAUUGAGGAGGAAGGGGUUGUGGUGGAGCCAUCCACCUGUAAAAAUGAUACAGAAUAGAAAUAUUCUAGGGGCACCUGGGUGGCUCAGUCGGUUAAGCAUCCGACUUCAGCUCGGGUCGUGAUCUCACAGUUCGUGAGUUUGAGCCCCGCAUUGGGCUCUGUGCUGACAGCUCAGAGCCUGGAGCCUGCUUCUGAUUCUGCGUCUCCCUCUCUCUGCCCCUCCCCAACUCAUGUUCUCUCUCUCAAAAAUAAAUAAACAUUUUUAAAAAUUAAAAAAAAGAAAUAUUCUAGAUCUUUUGAUGUCUGGUGGCAUAUAUUAUAUAUUAUAUUUAAAAUUCAUCAUCCUCUGUGCUUAAGAUUUGUUAACUUUAUUGUAAAAUUUAUUUGUAAACUUUUCUGAGGUUAUAACUCAAUUUUGAAAAUUAUUUUCAAAUGUAGAAGGAGGGGGUGGUGGGUGGGAGAUGUGGUAAGUAGGAACGUUAACUUGGUCCAUAGACAUUAACACAGGGGCAGCCAUAUAGCAAUACUGCAAUUUCCUUGCCUAACAGCUCUGCUCCUAUUAAAACUAUGCAGAUAAUGGAAAAGCAGUAGAGUGAGACUCCCCCCUCCUGCUUUUUUGUGUCAGUCACACAGUAACUAAGUGGUGAAACCAAGUUUUGAACCCACCUUAUCUGACUCCAGGAUCUGUCUAGGAACACACACUAAGAUUGUUUUUCAGACCAAUGUAUAAUAAGGCUAUGUGUAUUAUUAUUAUUAUUAUUAUUAUUAUUAUUAUUAUUUAAUUUUAGAAAGAGAAUGGGGAGAGGGGCAGAGAGGGAGAGAGAAUCUUAAGCAGGCUCCACACUCAUCACAGAGCCCGAUACAGGACUCGAUCCCAUAACCCAAAGAUCAUGACCUGAGCCAAAAUCAAGAGUCGGAUGCUCAACCAUCUAAGCCACCCAGAGGCCCCAUAUCAGUGUAUUAUUUAUAAUCUUCUGAAUAUAUUGUUGACUUUAUUAAUUUCUAAUAAUAUUAGUACAUAGUAUGAUUCAUUUCUUUGAGUUGUCUUUAUAAAGCCCUAAAUUAAUGCAGUCACUUCAGGUGUUAGGAAGAAAAAACAAAAAACAAAAAACACUUAAAUUUUGAAACCUGGUCUAAUAUUUGCAAUCGUGUGGCCCAAAUUAGGCAGACCAAAUAAGUUACCAUUUUUCUCUUUGGAGAAGCGUAUAGUCUUAUGCCAAGAGGUAAAGUGAUAACCACUCUCUGUGACAGUGAAGUUCUCUGAGCCAUAAACUGUUUCAAACUACACUAUUUUUGAAAUAUUUGUCUUCCCUGGAAAGGAGAGUUUUCUCCCUCUCUGCCUCCCUCCCUCUGUCCCUCCCUCUCUCUCUCUCUACCUCUCUCUCUUUCCCACCAGGGCAGUGUUCCCAAGAGUUCUUUCCUAAAUUGAGAAAAGAAAUAACAAAACCUCAAUUUACAAAUGGCCUGUUGUGCAGAUUUCCAUAUACGAAUGCAUUCCCACUCUGGUGUGCUCAGAGUAACCCUCUUCCCUUCUGACCAGAUUCUCUCCGAUUUUAAGUGCUCUGGGCUAAUGGUACCAUCUGGUGCCUGGAGCUGGAAACUGUUCUUAUCCAUGUCUUUUCCAUACCACCUUCUUUCUUCCUCUCCAAAACCAGGGUACCCAGAUGCGGGGCACUUGUUUCCUUUGUGUUUCGGGAUCUGAAAUAGUGCCAACUUAGCUCAUCCUACUUGCGGCAAAUUGAGCGAUACCCCCAUUCCUGCCUGUACAUGUUCUCUUUCUUUCAAAUUUUCUGUACUGACUUUUUUAUUAUUAUUAUUAUUUUUUUAAUGUUUAUUUAUUUUUGAGGGAGAGAGAGAAAGUGAGCAGGGGAGGGGCAGAGAGAGAAGGAGACACAAAACCCGAGGCAGGCUCCAGGCUCUGAGUUGUCAGCCCAGAGCCCGAUGCAGGGCUCGAACUCAGAAACUUAACCAUCAGGUCAGCCGACCUGAGCCGAAGUCAGAGGCAUAACUGACUGAGCCACCCAGGUGCCCCUAGGUAGGGACUUUUAAAAAUGGUUCCAUCUUAACCUUAAAAUCAGGGAGACUGAGGAUUAGAGAAACUUAAUACAUUUUCUUACUGUCACACAGAAGCAGAAACAGGGCUGAAACAGUAGUAAUGGAUUGUUCGGAACGGCUUGGAGGGACAACUUGGAGAAUUUGGGGCAAAUGUAAAGUGAGAAUAAUCUAUGUUUUUUAUUUUCAGUCAUGUGAACUUUCCUGGAGAACGUGGUGAUACCUUCAAAUAGCAAGUAAGUGAAGGUACUUCUGUUUUAUAAGCGUGUGUUACUGAGGGUUUCCUAAUGUGUGGGUUUGUUUGAUCUGUCUGCCAUCUUUUUUUCCCAUUUCGUGUUUCUGUAUUGGGCCUUCUCUGCUGACCUGAGAAGCGGUUGGUCUUUGUCAGUUGAAUCGCAUCAGACCUUUGAAUUUUCCCCAGAAGCAUCUCCCUGUUCCAAUUGCCGUUUUCUACAGGCCAGAAUAAUAUCCCAUCAUCUUUGUGCUUACAAAUGAUAACACCAGAUGGAUGUUUCAGCAGAAAUGAUAUCUAGAUGCCUAAUUAUUACAUAAGUGGCACACAAGAUACAGAGUCAACUAAAUUUAAGUCCACUGUGAUUUUGGUAAAUUUACCAAAUCAAGAGGGUGAGCUGGUUGCUUUGUCUACAAGUCUUUUUUUUUUUUUUUUUUUCAUUUGAUUAUGACUGGUAAAUUUAAGGAAAAUUAAUUUUGGAUUGCUUAAGUUUUGGGCACAAAUUAAGCAUAAAAAAGAAUAAUGACCUCAGUGGAUUAAAAUAUAUCAAAUAUGUAAGAAUUUCAUAAAAAUACUACCUUAAUUGGUCACCUCUGGAUGUUGCUAGGAUACCAAGUCACUGUUCUAAAAGCCAGCAAAUAGAAGUAAGAAAUCAAGUAUUUGUCUUGCUUUCUUGUACAGAUUAUAUUUCUGGGUAAAUAGUUUAGUAAGAGAAUCUCCUCCUCCUCCUCCUCCUCCUCCUCCUCCUCCUCNNNNNNNNNNNNNNNNNNNNNNNNNNNNNNNNNNNNNNNNNNNNNNNNNNNNNNNNNNNNNNNNNNNNNNNNNNNNNNNNNNNNNNNNNNNNNNNNNNNNNNNNNNNNNNNNNNNNNNNNNNNNNNNNNNNNNNNNNNNNNNNNNNNNNNNNNNNNNNNNNNNNNNNNNNNNNNNNNNNNNNNNNNNNNNNNNNNNNNNNNNNNNNNNNNNNNNNNNNNNNNNNNNNNNNNNNNNNNNNNNNNNNNNNNNNNNNNNNNNNNNNNNNNNNNNNNNNNNNNNNNNNNNNNNNNNNNNNNNNNNNNNNNNNNNNNNNNNNNNNNNNNNNNNNNNNNNNNNNNNNNNNNNNNNNNNNNNNNNNNNNNNNNNNNNNNNNNNNNNNNNNNNNNNNNNNNNNNNNNNNNNNNNNNNNNNNNNNNNNNNNNNNNNNNNNNNNNNNNNNNNNNNNNNNNNNNNNNNNNNNNNNNNNNNNNNNNNNNNNNNNNNNNNNNNNNNNNNNNNNNNNNNNNNNNNNNNNNNNNNNNNNNNNNNNNNNNNNNNNNNNNNNNNNNNNNNNNNNNNNNNNNNNNNNNNNNNNNNNNNNNNNNNNNNNNNNNNNNNNNNNNNNNNNNNNNNNNNNNNNNNNNNNNNNNNNNNNNNNNNNNNNNNNNNNNNNNNNNNNNNNNNNNNNNNNNNNNNNNNNNNNNNNNNNNNNNNNNNNNNNNNNNNNNNNNNNNNNNNNNNNNNNNNNNNNNNNNNNNNNNNNNNNNNNNNNNNNNNNNNNNNNNNNNNNNNNNNNNNNNNNNNNNNNNNNNNNNNNNNNNNNNNNNNNNNNNNNNNNNNNNNNNNNNNNNNNNNNNNNNNNNNNNNNNNNNNNNNNNNNNNNNNNNNNNNNNNNNNNNNNNNNNNNNNNNNNNNNNNNNNNNNNNNNNNNNNNNNNNNNNNNNNNNNNNNNNNNNNNNNNNNNNNNNNNNNNNNNNNNNNNNNNNNNNNNNNNNNNNNNNNNNNNNNNNNNNNNNNNNNNNNNNNNNNNNNNNNNNNNNNNNNNNNNNNNNNNNNNNNNNNNNNNNNNNNNNNNNNNNNNNNNNNNNNNNNNNNNNNNNNNNNNNNNNNNNNNNNNNNNNNNNNNNNNNNNNNNNNNNNNNNNNNNNNNNNNNNNNNNNNNNNNNNNNNNNNNNNNNNNNNNNNNNNNNNNNNNNNNNNNNNNNNNNNNNNNNNNNNNNNNNNNNNNNNNNNNNNNNNNNNNNNNNNNNNNNNNNNNNNNNNNNNNNNNNNNNNNNNNNNNNNNNNNNNNNNNNNNNNNNNNNNNNNNNNNNNNNNNNNNNNNNNNNNNNNNNNNNNNNNNNNNNNNNNNNNNNNNNNNNNNNNNNNNNNNNNNNNNNNNNNNNNNNNNNNNNNNNNNNNNNNNNNNNNNNNNNNNNNNNNNNNNNNNNNNNNNNNNNNNNNNNNNNNNNNNNNNNNNNNNNNNNNNNNNNNNNNNNNNNNNNNNNNNNNNNNNNNNNNNNNNNNNNNNNNNNNNNNNNNNNNNNNNNNNNNNNNNNNNNNNNNNNNNNNNNNNNNNNNNNNNNNNNNNNNNNNNNNNNNNNNNNNNNNNNNNNNNNNNNNNNNNNNNNNNNNNNNNNNNNNNNNNNNNNNNNNNNNNNNNNNNNNNNNNNNNNNNNNNNNNNNNNNNNNNNNNNNNNNNNNNNNNNNNNNNNNNNNNNNNNNNNNNNNNNNNNNNNNNNNNNNNNNNNNNNNNNNNNNNNNNNNNNNNNNNNNNNNNNNNNNNNNNNNNNNNNNNNNCCCUGAUAUCAGGAUUUGUAUGCAAGCCACACAGUAUGGGAUGUGUUUCCAGAAGAGAUUGUUAAUGGGGGCGGGGGUGGGCAGGGAAGCAGGACAGGAGGGGUAAGAGGUCACCAAGGAAUGAUUUCAGACAUUGUAUUAAAGGGUACUUUCAGCUUCAACCCUCAGGGGAAUCUACCAGGUAAGUUACCCCUCAAAGCUGCUUUGCCCAGAAACCAGGAAGCUGGCUCUCACUCUUCCCACCCAUCCGUUAACUCGCUAAAGAUCAGGACGUAAGCCCCCAGGCACUGCCUGGGAAAAGUGGAUCCAGAGCCCACAGACAGGCUUUGGAAAAAGAAUUCCAGGUGCAGGUCUUUGGAGACAAAAGCACCCUGAAACUUGGAGGGGGGACACAGACAUUGGUAAAGGGAUCUGAGAGCAUCUUGGUGGAGGGCGGCAUCAACAGUGCCCACUAAGGAUGCUCCAGGAGCGAGAGGAGAGACUGUGGAGUAAUGGAGGCAGAAGCAAGGUGCACGUAAUAUUGCAAAGUAUGGAAGCAAAGUGCGUAUGUUUGGAAACUUGCCUAAAAACUUGGAAAAGUAUGCAGUCAUGACUCACUCACCUGUUAGAUAGAAGCGUUCUGAUCUGAAAAGAAAAACAACAAAGAUUCAUUUGAUCAGAAAGUUAGUUUCUAAUUCAGUUGUUGAGAGCUUGAAAGUGACUGACAUUUGGAAACAAUGUCAUAUGCUGGUGUAUUUCUCAGAUAACCCCCACUUUGGCUCAUAAUAGGGAGGAAUAUUAUGUGCUUACAAGGAAACAGUAGAAAACACCACAGAGGUAACACAAAUAAUUAAAGCCAUGCUUCUGAGAAACUGGUUUGCUGGGUCUUUGAUGUUCCAGGGAAAGCAGCUGUUCUUGGAACUCCUUUGGUUUUACCUUACUCUCUGCCAAAGGGCUGCUUUACAACUUUACCACUGGGUAAGAGAUUGUUGGAGGUAUGUGUUUAGGAGGAAUGCUUACUUCUUUUUUCUUUUUUAAUGUUUAUUUUUUUUUCUUCUUUUUUUAUUUUUUUUUUUAAACUUUUUUUUUUUUUUCAACGUUUAUUUAUUUUUGGGACAGAGAGAGACAGAGCAUGAACGGGGGAGGGGCAGAGAGAGAGAGAGGGAGACACAGAAUCGGAAACAGGCUCCAGGCUCUGAGCCAUCAGCCCAGAGCCCGACGCGGGGCUCGAACUCAUGGACCUCGAGAUCGUGACCUGGCUGAAGUCGGACGCUUAACCGACUGCGCCACCCAGGCGCCCCUUUAAUGUUUAUUUUUGAGAAAGAGAGAGACAGAGCAUGAGCGGAGAGAGAGAGAGGGAGACACAGAAUCUGAAGCAGCUCCAGACUCCAAGCUGUCUACACAGAGCCCCAUGCGGGGCUUGAACUCACAAGCCGUGAGGUCAUGACCUGAGCUGAAGUCAGAUGCUUAACUGACUGAGCCACCCAGUCACCCCAGGAAUGCUGACUUCUUAAUGAUCAAGGAGUCUCUAUGGCUGCUGCUGUUCCAAGUUAUAUCAAACUCAACACUCCAAGCACAGGCUUCCUAACACAAAUUAUUCUUUUUCCCCCCUCCUGAUCAAGGUGAGAGUUUCAGUUAGAAAGUAAAGUAGAAGGGGAGACUCCCACAAAGUGAACCUGUUUAUUCUGACAUACUGUAGUACCCGAGCAGGAAGGUUUGAUGAAAUUAUUUUUCAUGCAAUCCAGUCUGUUAUGAAUUCAUCUUUGAUGUGCCGUGCGAACUCCUUUUCAGAUCUCCCCAUAAGGGUGAGAUGCCUUUACCAUGUGUUUUUCUGCCUCCGGUUCUAUUGACUUCCUUGUCAUGUAGAUUUCCUCAAUUAUAUCAUAUCAGGAGAGAAAUGUGUAUUACCAGGGUGCACACCCAGGUCACGCCACCAAGAUUUCAAAACAUUGUGCAAGCUAGCUCAAGUUCACCUUGAGCUGGAUGCUCCUUCAAGAAUGCACUUAGGACUCAUAUCAUUGCUAUUAGCUAACUCUGAUGCCUUUUCCUACUCCAAUACAUAUUUCUCAUCUGUGUGCUACAAAAUACUCCAUCAUGCACAUUAUUUAAUUCUGUGCUCAUAAUAACCCUCAGCCCCCUUAUGUGCAUGACGUGAUUUCCCCAAAGUCACAAUGUUACUAAUGAGAGCCAGGAUACACACAAAGUCUGUCUAACUCUACUACCCACAUUUUUUUCCCAUUCUUUUCUGCACAAGAAGAGCUGAGGAGUGUCAUGGUUGCUGUUUCCUUCUUCAGAUCAUUUCCCAGAUUUCCUUUGGAAAAGCUGUCACUCUUUUACUGAGAACCAGGAAAAUUUGCUUCCCAUCAAAAGAAGCAAUAAAUGUAACAAGUAAUAAAAACAAUGGUUAACUUGCUGACUGUGUGUUAGGCACACUCAUAUACUUUGUAACAGCGUUGCGAGGUUAUCUGCUAUUACUGUUUCUAUUUUAUAAAUAAGCCCUGGCGCCAAGGAGUUCAAUCCCUAGCCCAAAGUCACGUAGAUUAGUAAAUGGCAGAGUUGGCCUUUGAAUAGAAGCACUCUGACUCUGGGGACUUAACUGGUAUGCAAUCAGCCUCACGAGGACCGAGGGCUUAGCUCAGUGGCAAGGCAACCGCAUUCCUGGUGAAUCCAUCGGUGAGUCUAUCCGGAAACUGGUCCAGGCAGCGCUUUUGUGGCAGAUCGUAUUUUCCAAAACUAGUUGCGACAGUCCUACCCAUCCUCUGUGCUCUGUUUAAAAGAUGACCUCAGUGCUCCUCGCCUUGAGUGAUGGGGUCUCUCUUCUCCCCCUUGGACCUGGGCACACCUUUGCAGCUGCCCCCAUGACCGGCCUGAAAUGAGUGACUUUCUAGGCUGAAUUGUAAAAUACCCAGCACUUCAGUCUGUUCUCGUAGCACGCUUAUCCUUAUAGCCCGCCAGCACGUCGUAAAGCAGCCUAAGCAGGCCACGGAGAAGCCCAUGGAGAGGAAAUCAAGUUCCCCUGGCCACGGUUCUGGUUGAGCUCCCAGUCAACAGGCAGCACCAACCUUUCAGCCACGUGUGGGUGCCACCUUGAAAGUCACCCUUCCAGCCUCCAGUGAAGCAGUCUCCUACACAGUAGACAUUGCACAGAACAAAGGUGAGCUGAUCCUGCCCAGCCCUACCCAAAAGGCAGAUUUGUGAGCAAAAUCAAUGAUUAUUAUUGUUUUCAGUCCUUAUGUUUUGGGCUGGUCUACUUUGCAGUAGUAAGUGAUGUAACGGCUUCAAGAGCAAUGUCCUCUGAGCAUUUUGUUGGUGGCCUAGCAGUAGUGGUGGUGAUGGUAAGGAAGGAGUGGGCAAAGAAACUAAUAUUUAUAUGGCAGGCACCUUACCAGACCCUGCCAUAUGCCUUAUCUGCUCUGUUUCUGAAAUUGAUUCCAUGAAGGAAGGACUGUUGCUUCAAAUUUGCUGGAGAGGCCAGCAACGUACUCAUUUGACACUCACCGCACCAGCAGACAUGCGGUGGAUUCAACUGGAGGGCUUUCUGAAUCCAAGCACGUGUCUUCUCACUAACGUCUUAUUUCUACAUUGAACCGAAUCCUGAUACCCUAAAAUCGAACUGAAGGCGUCGAACUAAAAAAAGCCCAGAAAUGAAAAGGUUAAUGAAAAACUUAAGAUCCCCUCAAGUCUCAGAUAGCAGAGUGAACGUCCAUGAGCAUCAGGUAAACGUCUGUGAUUUCUGGGCGUCUGGGUGGCUCAGUCGGUUGAGCAUCCGACUUCAGCUCAAGUCAUGAUUUCACAUUCUUGGGUUCGAGCCCUGCGUCGGGCUCUGUGCUGACAACCCGGAGCCCGAAGCCUGCUUUGGAUACUGUGUCUCCCUGUCUAUCUGCCCCUCCCCUGCUCACACUCUGUUUCUCUCUGUCUCUCAAAUAAAUAAAUAAAUAAAUAAAUAAAACGUUAAAAGAAAUUAAAAAAAAAAAAGCCUGUGAUUUCCAACUGGGAAAUAAUAAUAGGGGUGGUCAUGGCAAUGAUGGUGAGAAACUAGCAUUUAUUGAGUAAAAAUUAAAGGUAUGCAUACUCUAUGAAACAAUGAGUCAGUUUCUACUGCCAGGUGCUUCAUGCCCAGGAUUUCACCAACUAUCCUAGGAUGUAGGUAUUUUUUAACUCCUGAGAUUCACACACGCCAAAGAAUCAUCUGGAAGGCAACAGUGAGAGACCAUCUGACUGUGAAAUCCCGCUCCAUAUACCGUCUGAGAGAAGGAGCCUCGGCAAACAUAUGUACAAUCUGACGAAAUGCAUUCCCUUGUCUGACAGUGAGCAGACAGAUGGGGGACAAGGCAGGAUGGACACAUGUUUCCCAGGAGCUGGAUAUCAGCUGGAUUCGAACUGGGGGCAGUGGGUGAUUGCGCAAGGGGCUCUCAGAAAGCUACAGGCUGCUACAGUGAGCCUGUUGUGAUGGGAAGAUCCCACCCGCCAUGCCCCAUUCUGCAUUUGGUGGCUGGUGCAGCCCCAAGGGGCAUUUCUUAGAGGUCUGAUGCUUGAAACGCCAGCGGUUGAGGCCCCCGUGUUAUUGGACAAAGCGGGAGAUGUUAAAAGUGUGAUGCUUGAUCCUACUUACACAGACACUCUUUGAGUCUUCUCUUAUUAAAAUGUACACGGCAUCUCUCUGUCAACCUGGGCAUCUCUGAUCUGUUCUGGAGAAUCUUUGAAAAGGGCCAGCUGGCCUUGAAGGGCUGUUCCACCCCAUCCCAAAGCAAAGUGUGUCCCAGUAACUGGACAGCCGUGCAGCCAGGCCCAGCUUGUAAUUUCCCCAACAGCAACUAUUUCAGAAGAAAAUUGAAGGCAAGGGGGAGAGGAGGUUGUGAAAAAUGUUUCCCCUAACCUGAUGGUAAGGGACCAUUUGUGGAGGAAAACACGUUUAAAAAUAGAGUCACCUGUUUCCACUGUUUAUUCCAAUUCCGAGGCGAAGGGUAUCUGCUUAGAUUUUUAAAACGGAGGGAGAAGGGAACAAAACCCUUGUUGUCAUAGGAAUAAGAGUUCUCUUCCAAUCAGAGGAGGAUGAAUUCAAGUGAAAAAUUGGAAUCGGGAGAAGGUGAGAUAUUCUAAAGGAACGAUCAUCCAUUGUCCUGCAAAAAUCUACAGCCAGAGAGAAAAAUAAAUGCAGAAGGAAAUGUAGAAUGCAGAAUUCUGCAUGUCUGUGUACAUUUUCAGUAGCAACGGGAAUCUUUGGCUGACGUGGUUUAGAGGCUAACUCCAGUAUAAUUUAAAAUCAAUAUCAAAAUGACUUUUCAUCAGUUUGACUCAUGUUGCAGAAAUGACUGGGGACCUGACAGAGGCUUGCAAGCUUCAGAGAAGGUCUGUGGCUGUUGAAAGCCCAGCAGUAAAGGUGCAAGAUUUCUGAUUUCUUUGAAAGAGCUGGUAACAAAUGUUUGAUUCUGAGCUUUGGAGUCAGACAAGUUUGCAGUUGAAUCCUGCCUCCGCAGCCAAUUGUCUAAAGUAAGCUGGGGCCCGUUCUUUCUGAGCAAAAUGAGGACAGUCAUACCUGCUCCGGAGUUAAAUAACCAUGUGUUUAUAAACUCAAAACCACGCCUGGCACAUGAUGGAAACCCACUGACUGACAGUUUUUAUGGCUGUAAUAAUCCCACGCGAUUCGGUCCGGUUGAUGGGCCUUCUCACUUCUUCAAAUCCAUUCAAGCCACAUACUUGGUGUUCAGGUAUUCUGGACAUGGAUUACAUGGGAUAUCAGGUAAGAUUGAGUUUGAUAGCAUGUGACAGAUACCCAAAAUAAUAGUAGGUUAAAAGAAGAUAGAAAUUUAUUUUUUCUGUUACGUAAAAUAAGACCUCGCACCCUUAGUUCAGGGCUGGCGAUGGCCUCAAGGACCCAGGCUGCCUGUAGCCGGAGGUUCUGUUUGUAAGAUGGGCAGGAGCAGCGGUGUUUCUGGGUAGUCAGCGAUCUGUGCCGUAUGUGGGUUCUGUGGCGCGUCUUCCUCCUUAGGCCUGAUUAGGGGAUUUCGGGCUGUAACAUCUCUCCCCAAUGGAAGGAAAGGGAGAAACAUGCAAAGUGUUCACACUAAAUAGAACUCUUUUUUCUCUAUAUUGUAAUUCUAGUGUGCUUGCCAACAGAAAGAAUUCACCAGCAUGGUACUAAGUGCAUUGAGUGUUGCCAAUGCUGGUAUCAUUGAUAUUGUAGAUCACAUUAUGUAUAAUAUUUUUUUUUCCCAUGGUACAGUAUUCUGAAGUUAGCCAAGCUGUGCACCUGUUCCUGCCCCUGGAGCCUGGGUUAGAAUCCCUUCCCACUGUAGGGAAUCCCUUUGCCGCACUCGUGACAGUGUUAAGGUGCAGCGGCCUAUUGAUGAGCCAACUGUCUCAAGUGCACUGUGUGGAGUCAGGCCCUGGUGGCUAUAACUCUACGGCACUGGUUUGGUUCCAGGUCACUUGGAGAAAACAAGCCAACAGAACAUGGACCAUCUACUGGAGGAGCUGGGGGAGCGGGUCAAGGGGGCAUGGUUUAUAACCUUGACUUGCUGACUGUGGCUUGGGAGAAGGACAGCAUUUUGUAUUUGUUCCACUAAUGCAGCUUACCACCACAUUUCAGAUAGUCAUGGUAAACCUUUCACAACCUGGAAGAUGUCGAAAGCAGCCAUGCUUACUUUUGUUUUAAUUAAAUCCUGCACACGUACCCACACACACACUAUUUAUAUGUAGAUAAUAUUUUUGGAUUGAUAUAAGAUUUUAUUUAUAGGAUGUUGGAUUCAUAAAAUCACAUAUUCAAUAUUUUCCACUCUUAUUUGAAGUUUUCAUUCUCCCCAAGAACAAAGAAAGAUUGAGGCUAAUUGUCCCGCGAGGUCUUUUCCAGCAAUGACAUUCUCUGAAUGCAUGUAGUUAAGUACGCUCUACAAGGCAUUGACAGUCAGCCCUCUUGACUGUGUGAAUGUGGUCACUCUACUUAGUGAGUCACUUGAAAAAAUGCAGGAAUUUAAGGUCAUGCAGUCUGAAUCUCUAAGGAACUACUAAAGUGGAUAGAGGCCACUUCGUACUAUAAAACUUUCUCAUGAGGCAGGAACCAGGAAGGAUUGUCAACGUCAGUUUGCAGUAAGAACCAACCAAUUACUUAACGAAGGGGUGGAAGUGAGAAGCGGAAGGUAGGAUUUUAGGAUCCCUUAAUAAAUAUUAACUAGUUUUACCCUGUGACUUGGGUGUUGUUUGUUAUCUGUACCUUGACGGUAAAGAAAUGAAGUUGAACAAAGUUAAAAUGUUUCACAAUUACCACUAUUUGAACCCAGCUGUUUGCCUCCAAGGCUUGGGCAAUUUCUUCCAUGUAAAAAAAAAAAAAAGACCACCUAAGCAUUCUAUAAAAAUAAAUAAAACAUAGUCAUAGAAUAAAUUCAAAAAGCAAACACUAGGAAAAAGCAGAAUAUAUUUUAUUUAGAAUAAAAGCGUAAUUGUGGGAAAAUGAAGCAAAAAGACUGGAAAUAAACCAUUCUCAGGGGUUUUGAGAACUAGUUGUUAAGCUGGUGUUAGCUUGAUAUCAGCCAUUAAGGGUGUAUUUACACCGUGGAAAUGGUAUAUAAAAAUGGCUAUAAGUAUAAAAAAGACUAUGAAUACGGCUUUAUUUUUCCUCCAGAAAGCCAGUUUGCAGGCAUACUACUCACUGCUCAUGCCCUCCAUGGUUUGUGCAUCGUGUUUCGUAUCAAACCAUUUCUACAAUGGCAUAAAUCAGCUUGUAACCCAGAAGAAAUGACUAUGGCAGGGUUAAUAAAGGAUGAAUGAACUCAACCAAAACCAGUAGCUUCCAGAAAACCUGGCUUUCCAGACAUGGCUUUCCCUUGUCCCUGCUGAUGUCUUUGAACUCAAGAAUUGCCUGUGGGUUCAAAGGAAAGGUCAAGUCCCAGAUGUUUUCUCCACGUGCAGGGCCAUUCUCAGCUCCACCUUGCUCACUGGAGAGGGUGUGCACACAGGUUUAACUAAAGAAGAUGAGCUGUGUGUGCUGGGCUGUGGAUCACACAACACAUUUUCCCAAAGGGUCCUUGCUGGAAAUCGAUGCAUCCUUUUGUCACACGUGGUCUUCUGGGACCUGGUGUGGCUUAGAAUUUCCUUCUUUCUUCCUUCCUUCCUUCCUUCCUUCCUUCCUUCCUUCCUUCCGGAAGCCCACUUCCAAGGAGGAAAAAUACUCAAUUUAGGAAGAUCUGUAAGAGACCAUUGAUCUCCUCAGCCUGCUUGUGAAAGAUGCACAGCAAAGAAGUUGAACCCCUCUGCCCGAGCACUCGAAGGCUGCCCCCUCCCACCCCAAAGGUACACGGUCAUGCUUGGCUGGUGCACCCUGCACAUGCCAUUAGGCACGUGAAAAGGGAGAUGCAUUCAACAGAGGGCUUCAUCCAUCCGCCAUAGUCCUGACAUGGAUAUUCUGAUGCUCGAUGGCAAGUGCAAUUAUGUCACUGGUGGGGGCUAAGCCAAGGCUGUUACAGGACACCUAGUGCAAUUGUGGAGUAAUGUGAAAAGGAGGAGACCAGAUAAAACAGGCAGCUUUCAAUCCAAAGUCCAGAAGGGCACACAGAGACUUUUUUUAGGCCGUUGCCUGCCUGGUGUGCUGAGUCACAGCCCUAACUUCUUUCGUUGGAAAGGUUGCUCGUAUCAAAUUAUCCUGCACCCAGGGAGGUAGAGCAGCCCCAUUUGUCCUGGUAGCCUUGUUCCUGUUGAGUCACUGAAACUACAGACUGAAAAGACCUGUUAAUUCCUCUGUCCGUCCUCUGGGGCCUGAUAUAAACUAGAUUAUUAUAUGCAUUGCCUCUGUUUCUUCUUCCAUCUGGUUCUGAUUAAGACAGUUGAGAGGAUAUCCAUGGCCUGAUUUGGAAUCUGCAAAGCCUAAGAAUGAUGGUGGUGUCCAAUCAAAUUACCCAGCCGUGAUUGAAUCACUACACUUGGUUAGGCACCGAUGCAAAACUCUAUUUACGGAAAUUCUUCUUUGUAUUCUUCUCUCAGCAGUUAUACUUCCUCAGCUAAUUCAUUUUCUCCAGAAAAGGGUAAUUUAUUGAUUUGGGUAAAUAAAAAAAGUAAUGUACGUAAUAAUAGUUAGAUACUGUUUAUCGAUCCUGUGUCCCUGAUGUUAUGCCAUGUGCUUUAUACUCAAUCUCAUUUCAUUCCACUGCCCCAAAACUAGUCAUUAUUCUUCCAUUUUCUAAGGAGGAGAGAGAGACUCUGAGAAGUGAAGAGCUGGGUAAUCUAUCCCAGGCGCCCUUCAGUGGUCAUUCAGAGCCAGAAUUCACCUGCUUUUCGCAUCCUGCCUUGAUGCUCCCCCCAGUGACAGCUUUAUCAAGACCUUUGCGCCCAUCUCCCCCAGUGUGAUUUUCAGAAAUAAAUUUGUAAAUGUUAUAAUCAUUCUUAGUUAGGAGGAGAAGAGGAAAUCCAGAUAUCCUCGGGAAAGCAGAGAUUGGCAGGAGCCCCCCCCCCAGCUCAUACUGAAUAUCAGAGAAGCACCUACCAGGGUAUCACAGAUGCCCCUGUCCCUUACACGCUCUAAAGGCCUGGGGGAAACGGUUGUCCACAGACACAGAAGGCUGUGGUGCUUGCCUGAGUAAGGGAAAGGCAGAGGUCAUGAUGCCGGCCAUUUUCUCUGGAAACACACAGCACACUGUGUAGGUAAUCACUCUGGUGAUAGCAUAAUGCUUCAAGCAGAGCCCCACCAUAGACGUGAAGGCAUAAAACACUUUGCUUACUCUGUUUACACCCUGGCAAAUAAAAAUGUAUUCCCAAAUCAGCUUUGUCCUUCCCAUUAAACACAUGGGGUAGGGCAAAUUCUUCAUGUACAAUGUUUUUUUCUCCAGCAUGCGGGUCGAUAAAUGCUAUCACUAUGGAAUUCAUCACAGGAUGUGUCCUGCAUUAUCCACUGACAUCAAGAGACUCUCCUUAUUUUUUUUUUUUAAUUUCACCAUCGAAAGCAUGUAGCAAACACUGCACAUUUGUUAUGCUCUUUCUCUCUGUGUGUCGAAGGUUAAUCACAUAGUAAGUCUGAAGGCUCCGUUUCCCCUAUUCCUUUCAAUUUUAUGAGGUAUUACAUUGGCCUUCAACGUUUAAAUCAACAUAUAUCAACCAGAAUUAUAAACCAAACUCCAUUUGAGCUUUCUGAUGGCAUGGGCUUUCUGCCGGACUCAGUGACAAACGUGACCUCCAGAAGAGAUGUAAAGAGCUCUCUGGGAAAGAUUGGUCAAGAGAUUUCUAAAAGUAAAAUAUCUUCAAAUUUAAAUUAUGAAGUUAUAGAUUUUAUAGUUGCAUCUCCUAGGAAAACACAUCUACUGAGUAUUUUCUUAUGUUCCAAAUAUUCUCAGGAUCUCUCAUACACAUCAUUUUCAUUUAUAUGUGUGAUCUAUUAUCAUCCCCCAUUUUUCAGCAAAGGAAACUGAUUGAAAGGUUAUGUGAGAGACACAACUAGAGUCUGAAAUAAGCCUUGUCUUUCCCUGAAACUCAUGGUCUUUCCAAUACUCUGGGCUGUAAAGCAGGGUCAGCAAACUAUGGUCCUGUGGCUCCCCACUUGUUUUUGUAAAUAAAGUUUUAUUGGAACACAGCUGUGGUAAUUUGUUUAUGUAUUGCAUAUGGCUUUUGCAAUACACGUGAGAGCUGAGUAGCCAUGACCGAGAUCAUAUGUCCCACAGAGACUGAAUUAUUUAUUGUCUCACCCUUUACAGAAAAAGUUGCUUGACCUCUGCUGCAAAGAGUCCUGAUAUAUUCCAGAAUACACAGUGAUGAAUAAACAUGGCUCCUACUUUGCAGUAACUCAAAUUCUAGUUGAAGAGAACAAAAACCCCUCUGUAACAAAGUGACUCUGUAACAGAGAUAUUCUACCUCAACAGAGUUUGGACUUCAAAAUAAAGGAGCAUCUUUUUAUUCUUGUCAAUAAAUGGCUCAAGUCUCUUGACACUUUGGCAAGAAUAUCAUUUUUCAACCUCUACAAUUGCCUCUCCUUGAACAUCCCAAGAUUCCCAGAGCCUCCACAGUCCAGGGCAUCAAUCCUAGAUACAAUUAAAGUUUGUAGAAAGAAAACUGGGGUCACUGAUCAGUGCCCCAUACCAUUGUGACAGAUGGAAUGUUACGAUGUCACUGCUGAAAUGAAGUUGUCUGGUCUGGAGAACCGGUGUGUAUGGGGCACAUUCCUCCACAAAACCUGGUGUCUUCUUUUGUACUAAUUGCUACUCAUUGACUUAGAGAUCAUUCAGAGUUAAGGGCCUUCCUUUGUGUUGGUUGUAAUUCCUCUAGCACGUGGUCUCUUGUUUCUUUGACUUUUGACACUUCCCAAGGACAUCUGGUGCUGAAUCAGCUGGCUCCAAGGCCACUUGUCAGAGUCUAAGUCCUGAGUCAUUGGGCCAGUUGGCUCCUCGGUCUGGGAUGUCAUAAAUGCAGGCUUCUAAACUGAGGCACCACCCUGUUCUAUCGUGCUUCCACUGAGACUUGACAUUGCACAUUUCUGUUUCUUCCCAAAGAGUUUUAAAUGCCCCAAUUUCCAUUUUCCAGGCUUAGUGGCAGAACGUAAGCCUUUCCUUCCAGUCUCCUGAGAGCAAUAAAUCAUUUCUUUGACCCUUUUGAUUUGGCCAAAUUCGAGACACUGUCAGCCAAUCUGUUAUAUCAUCCCCGUUGUUAGGCUAUUGAAUGGGGGCAGUCUUCAGCUGGUCCAGUACUUUGUGCAAAUUAAACUCAUUACUUGAUGACUUAUAUAUAUAUAGGCUUUAUUGUUUAGAGCAGUUUUAGGUUCACAGCAAAAUUGAGCUGAAAUUCCAGGGAUUUCCAUAUAUCCUCCUGUCCACAUUUGCAUGGUCCCCCCACCCCCACCACUAUCAACAUCUCCCAGCAGAGUGGUACCUCUGUUCCAGCUGACAAACCUACAUUGAAACAUCAUUAUCACCUGAAGUCCAUAGUUUACAUUAGGGUUCACUCUGGAUGUUGUGCCUUCUCUGUUGUACCUUCUUGAUUGCACAUUCUAUGAUGUACAUUCUAUGUAUAAUGACGUGUAUUCAUUAUUAUGGUACCAUGCAGAGUAUUUUCACUGCCCUGAAGAUCCUCUGUGCUCUACUUAUUCAUCCCUUUCUCCUCCCUAACCCCUGACACCUUCUGAUCCUUUUGCUGUCUCCAUAGUUCUGCCUUUUCCAGAAUGUCAUAGAAUUAGAAUCAUCACAGCAUGUAACCUUCCCAGAUUGGCUUCUUUCACUCAGUAAUGUGCAUUUAAGGUUCCUCCAGUUCUUUUCAUGGCUUAAAGAGUUUCUUUCUUUUUAGUACUGAAUAACAUUCCAUUGUCUGGACGGACCAACGGACAUCUUGGUUGUGUUCAGGUUGUGGCAAUUAGGAAUUAAAUGGGUGUAAACAUCCGUGGGUGGAUUUCUGUAUUGAUAUAACUCUUCACCUCCUUUGGGUAAAUGCCAAGGAGUAUGACUGCUGGAUUGUAUGGUAGUGGUGUGUUUGGUUUUGUACUUGAUGCCUUUUGAGAAGCUCUUGUCUUCAGGUGCAGACAUUACACCUGUGUAUGACUAUUGAAGAGAGAUGAGAUGUAGCUAACUGAAAACUUUCUUAGAUUUGCCUGUUGCUUUACACUGAGAGAGACUCCCCAAUCCCUCGAUUCCCUCUCAUACCUCGAAGCAGAGACCAAUGGAUAAUUCCAUUCUUGCUCGAACAUGGAACAGGUAACUAUUUUGAGUCAUGCAGGGAACACUACCAGUUCAUUGUUAUCCUUAUUUUUAAAAUAUUUUUCUAUGGCUGUAAUGCUCUUAGCUAAAUGUUGUUUGGUUAAAUAUUUCACUUGAAGAUCCCUUUGAGGGGAACAGAGUAUGAUCCAGGACAUUUUUACCCCAGCUAAGUGGAAUACUUCACACAGAAGUAGACUCUCAAAGUCCUUCCAUAAUCAGAGUGGAUGCCAUAGGAAACUGAUUACAGAGGAACAUUUAUCUCAAUAGGACUUGGGUUUUUAUUUUUACUUCUAGUCCCUGAGUCUCUAGUAGGAUAAGAUUCCACAUAGCAAUUGAAGUGAUAAAUCACCACAAAUGUGUUCCCAAGUUUUCAGCUCAUGGGUUAAAAAACAAAUAAACAAACAAACAAACAAGGUUUCCACACUUAACUGGAGCUAUCUGUGUUACUUCCACAUGAACUUCCCAUGUUAUAAAGUUAUUCUGCUGUAUGAUCUAAGACUUACCCUCACAGUUGAAAUGAUGUCCUCAGAUCUCAUGUCACCCCACCUCCCACCCCAACCCAAACAUGUUGCAUUAAUUACUGGUUCUUCAUCUCUUCAGAUGACCAACACAAUCAGGAAAUUCUCCGUGGGCCCUGAGACGAUUUUCCCAGGCCUCUUCCAGCUUGGGUGGGGAGUGUGGUGGGGGGUGGGGGGGGGUGGAGUAGAGUGAGAGAAGACUCCAGUCCUGAUAGAGAAUUUUAACUCGAAUGAGUGAGUUUAAAGCCUAAACCAACUGAAUAAUUACCCCAAACAGACAAUUUGAAACUGGGAGGGAUUGAGUCACCUUCAGUGGAGAUUCCAAAAUUACUGCCAGGAAGGGCUAGAGAUUGCCAUCUUUUUGGAAGGGAGGAGUAGAGAACUAUGAAUUUUGACAUGUGUCAAACUUCUAGUGACUCCUUCUAAGUGCCAAGAUCAAGAAAUGCUCAACAUCAGAGAAAGUGGCAGCUCCAAAGUUAUGAUGGUGCAUAAACAUCGCUGGUGUUUAUGACAAUGUCUGGCCAUUCUCUCCUUUGGGAUACAUAUUCCUUUAAAGCUGUGUGUGUAGGGGGCUGGGCAUCUGACUUGCUUUAAACAAUCAAAUAUGAAUGGAAAUGAUGUAUAUCAUUUCGAUCUGGAAGCAUUUAUGGGGUGCCGCACAUACAAUUCUCCACAUUUUCUUCUUCUAACUCUGGCAAACCCUGAAGACUUCUGUUAAGAAGCUGAUGUCAUACGAUGAUGGAGAAUCUAUCAUCCUGGGAUUGUGAGUGACUAUUAUGGAUUCAUAUUGAACGUGUAUCAUGAGUGAGAAAUAAAUCUUUGUUAUUUUAAGCCAUUGAGAUUUGGGGUUGUUACUACAGCUACCAUAUCCUGAUGAAUGAAGAAAUUCAAUUAUAGAAACAUAAAGUUCUGUACAUGCACAUCUAAUUUUGUUUGUAAAUUUCAAACCUGCUACCCAGAAAUUUAAUUUAUAUGAAUUUGACUAUAGGUGCUCAGCAAGGAAAAUAACGAGGUUGAAAAGUGUGGCUGAUUAAUCCUGAUCUCUUUCAAGGAACACACAUUCCAACCUGUGAUAUAAACCCGCUGCUCUUUCUGGAGGUGUGGGUCCCCUACUCUGCACAUAGUUAAGAAUCUUCACCCUGAGGCACUCUAGCCUUUAAAGGAAUAUAUUUUGGGGGCUCCUGGGUGACUCAGUUGGUUAAGGGUCCGACAGGUCAUGAUCUCAUGGUUCGUGAGAUUGAGUCCCACACCAGGCUCUGGACUGACAAUGGGGAGUCUGCUUGAGAUUCUCUCGCACACCCUCUCUCUCUGCCCCUCCCCCACUCGCUCUUUCUCUCUCUCUAAAAAUAAAUUUAACAAAUAAAGAUAUAUAUUUUUUUCAAACAAGAUAACUCAAACACAAAUGAAUUCAUUACUUCAUCUGGAGUUUUAUUUAAAAAAAAAAACAACUCUUCCCACAUUGAAGCAAAAUACAGGCUGUGCCACUGGUUCCCCAUGUUAACACAGGGAAUGCAGUUUGUGAAUAGGAUGUCAAGUCUUACCAUCAGGCAGACGUCUGUUGGUGAAAUUAGGGGCUUCCUGAACCUACCAUAGAUCACUCUGUAGGUCCUCAGAUCUGUUGUUCAAAUGCAGACGAAGGGUCAGUGGGAUCAGCAAAUGAUGCAUUAAUCAGGCCACUGGGGUCCCUGAUCACUUGGCCACACGUGAAGGCUGAAGACCCACAAGGUGCUCGGUGUUGGGAGACUGGGCACUCCUCUGGUCCUGGGUCUCCCCCUUCCUUGUUGGUAUUCCCAGUAAAAACUGAAGUUUUGAGGUUAUAUCAACUAAAGAGUUUUAGGAAAAUGGAAUACUUUUCCACAAACGUCCUAAAAUACUCACCAAACCUUAGGAGGUCUUUAAUUCACUUGAACAGGGCCAACUGGUAAUUGUAAUGGUUUAGGGGACUGUUACCUGUUCAUUCUUUUUUUAUGAUACCGUAUGCCCUACAGAUUUAACUGAGGCCACAGAAUUGACUUAUCUGACAAGGGCUAAUUUCAGAGCUCUUCCUCCCAGGUAGUUUAGUGGAAGGGUAGUUCUAAGUUCAAUUAUAUCAUCCAGAUGUAAUAUAACAAGAUAUAGUUAUAAGAUACCAACACUUCAGGAUGGCUUAUGUCCAAAUCACCUUUGUGAUUCACACCAGGAAGGGAGAAGAGGUUCCUAAUUAUUUUUUUGAAGGGUCUCCUUUCAAAUGGUUAGAACUCUAAGUGAAAGAAAAAUACUUUCUUUGUUCUUUUUCGUGAUAGCCAUUUGAUAAUACAUACUUCUUAAUCCUUUACUGGAUAGUUCACUCUCUAGCAGGAAGUCCAGAACGUUGUACUGUAAAGUAUCUGAUAGAAUUAGAUAAUCCAAGCAUGUCUGGAUUUUACCUGUUUUUGUUUGUCUUCUUGUUUGUUUUUAACUAGCUCAAUGGGGGAAGCAUUUGGACAUGGAAUGCCAAAGCGUAUUGUUCUGUUACCCAAUAGAUUCUAAGGUCUCGGAAAUGAUCCCUCUCAGGCUCCAAAAUGUUCCUGGGUCUUGUGGCCCUAUUUGUUGCCAUUUGCUCUGAACGCACGCAUUUUUUCCUCCUAUUUUCCUGGUGCUAGGCAUUCACAAAAUAAAAUCUCUCUGGAUUAAAUUUAAGAGCCCAGUUGGGAAAGCUUCAAGAUGUGAAGCUAGAGAGGCCAUACUUGGCUCCUCUCCUUUCUAUUUUCUGUAGUCUCUGAACACAGGUGGUGCAGGGGAGGAUCCCCCAGAAAAUUUGGCUCUGGAUAAGCAUGUUAAAAUCCUGAAAUGAAUUCCUAGCAAUGCAAACAUCUUUUGCAUAUUUUCUGGAUCAAAGCAUCUAACUACUGGCCCCACCUCUCUUUAAAGUUUUCCAUCUUGGCAAUCAGAUAAUGAGGAGAGGCUCACACAUUUCAAUUUGGUAAAUUUUUGUAAUGGGAAAGCUUUACGUGAUUCUUUUAAAAGGUACCUGAAAGCAAGGGAUGAGGUCGAAUAGGGUAAAAAGGACUCAAUCUCAUUAACCGAGUACCUUCUGUGUGCCGAGAAUGGCGCUGGAUAUUUUACUCCUUCUGGGGCUCUCGGUAAGUACCCUGUGCCUAAGUUAGUGUCUGUGAUAGAACCCUACAUCCUGAAGUCCCAAGAAAGUAUGGGAGUUAGACUUUGAAAACUAGAGUAGUGGUUCCUUUGUGCUCCUAUCUAGGACAUUUGGGGUGCUUCUUCCUAACUCAGAACUGGCCAUUUGUAUCAACCAUAACUCCCUCUCUCCCAACCCAAGUAUAGCUGUAUUUAUUUCUAGUGCACAAAGGGAGGCUGUGAAACCACACCGUUACUAUUUUUAACAAACAAAUCCGAACAUAUACUUCAAAAUGGAUGGUGUUGCCUAUGACAUAGUUCUUAUCAGAUACUAGAUAUUUGUGCCAAUGAUGUUUUCAGGGCUCAGGGUAGUACCGGGGCCGGGAUGGCCUUUUGGGAAUUGCCUCCAGAGUGUUUGUGUCCUUUUAGGAUAUUCUCAGGAUCUGCACAUCUUCUGCUGUGGAGGAACCAUGAAACAGGAAGCUGGAAGUUAAAUAGACUCUAUCAUUAUGAAUUAAAAGGAUGGGGUGAAUGAAACCCCCUCUGAGUGUCCAGACAUGGCUUGGCCAGGAUUAGAAGACAGAGUCUCUGGUUACUGAAUGUGCUGGUUAGGGAGGAAGGGCUGACGACAGUCAAGAGCUGGGGAUCAGAAGUAGGUAAAACUGAGGACACAGAUAGGACUGUGUUAGCCUGAGUCCUCUGAGAAGCGGGUGUUGGGAUAAGGUGAGGGCAAAUACCUAUAGGAGAGAAAACAGGAGGCUGGGAAGGUCGUUGGACCUCAAUACAAGCCUGAUCCCCAGUGAUGGAGAAAAGGAGGGAAGGUUGGGCAGAAGUUUCCUAGAUGACCAUGUAGUCUAAGGGAGGUUUAAGAGGUUACUGGGAGUCCUUGAGCCAAAGCUCACCUAUCAUUGGCCAUCAGAGGAGUCCCACAUCUGCUUGGUGUCCCUGCCUUGCUUUGUGAUAUGCUGGAAGUAGCUGGUAGAGAACACUUUACUUCCAUGCAGAACAUAGAAGCUGGAGCCCUUGGGUAAUUAACGCUGCUGUUUACUGUUAAUAGAAGCCUUCGAGGCACUUUUCCACGGUGUCCAAAAUAGCGAAGAAGAACCCUGAGAAGGAAGAACGACAGCCGAACAAUAUGAUGCCUGAGGCUCCUAGUGAGUCGGAACUGAGUUUUGAAGCCAAAAUGAUCACUGGUUCACUGAUGAGGUGGGAGGUGGGGGACCCCAGGUGUGGGGGGGAUAGCAUCGACACUGCGCAAUUAAAAUGGAAGACACUGUGGGUGAGACGCUCCUCAACAGCUGCCCCCCAUCUGAGCCCAAGUCCAGGCCAGUGCCUUCCUGCUUCCCAAGGGAGCUCUGGAAGCUUCUGAGAGAUACUCAAGCUGUACAGAGUUCGUUCUGGUUAUGAAGAAUGACAUGAGAUCCUCAAAUGAGGCCCUUUUCUGGUGUGACUAGUAAACUGGCUUGAAAGAUAAUGUUCCAGUUCCAGAAAUAGUUUGAUCAAUGGCAGCAUUGUUGGAAUAACUGUUUAUUUUCCCAAAGGGACUCCUUUGAAAGAAACAGUGCUCAUUUGAAAAAUUUUUUUUUCAACGUUUUUUAUUUAUUUUUGGGACAGAGAGAGACAGAGCAUGAACGGGGGAGGGGCAGAGAGAGAGGGAGACACAGAAUCGGAAACAGGCUCCAGGCUCCGAGCCAUCAGCCCAGAGCCUGACGCGGGGCUCGAACCCACAGACCGCGAGAUCGUGACCUGGCUGAAGUCGGACGCUUAACCGACUGCGCCACCCAGGCGCCCCAACAGUGCUCAUUUGUACACAUAGGGUCUUUGUGGUUUUGUUCCAAAAAAGUACUUAUUAAUACUUAACUAGCAACUGAUUCCUCUUGAGGGGUGGUUCACGACUGUUUUUAUCUGCCUACCCAUUUAACAUACCCUACCUGUUACCAUCAAUAACAUCUUUUACUAUUUCUGGUUAUUUUGGGGAGCUGGCCCAGAGAGCAUUCAAAAGCCACUCCCCCAGUGCACCCCUCCCCACCAUUCCCGAUCCAUCACCAGCACCAAGGAGAGGCCUGAUGUUAACUAUUGGGAGGUCUGAGAUGGCAAACGUACUUCAUUCCUCCUGGGGUCAGGAUGGUGCCAGAAGACAGGAGAUUUUCUCCAGGACUCCUUUGUUCCUUUCUUGCUGUUUAAUUGGAUAAAAAUUCUCCCAACCUCCUGCAGGUACUGUACUAAGUGAUAGCAUAGCUUCUAGUAAGGUCUCUGUGGGUAUAAGGGUCUUGGGAAGGAUGAAAAAUGCAUACUUAUCUUGCUGGUAUAUAAUAAAAUCUAGAAUUUACAAUUUUGAGAUGUUUGAUGUAAGGCACCAUGGAGGCUGGCUAUUUGGAAUAUCAAUGGAUGAGGCAGACUCUCUGGAGAAAGAGCAAAUGUCCCCAGCCCUCCUUUGUCACAUAGAUGGCAUAGGGCUCUGCUGGGAUGGAGCCAAACUGGGGGGAUGGGCAUCAGGAAUUCUAGUUCAUAAAAUAAUUAUGGAAGGGCCUCUCUGUGUCUGAUGUUUGUUCUUGCACAUGAUUGGGAGUGGGGAGUUUGGAGUAGCCGCACAUCCUCACGAGAGAGGGGUAUCCUGUGGCUGAUAAAAUCUCCCAAGAUUCUGAAAGACAAAACCUUUGCCUUAAGUGACCAUACAUCUGAGUCCUAGGGCUCAUAGCUUCUAGGACAAGUGUGCACGCACGUGUGUGUGUGUGUGUGUGUGUGUGUGUGUGGUAGUGGUGGUCGUGGAGGGGAGAUAUGUUUUUUCUGAAAGUCCCCUCCCCUUUCACUCUACUACCCCUUCUAACUUUGAAAAUAACUACUCACAUAUCAGAUUGAGAGUUACUCAAAGUAAGACCUGGGUUAUACUUUCUCAUUUUGCAAAUGGUAAAAACUCAAUUAAUAUUGUUUUAUUUAUUUUUAUUUUUUUUAGCGUUUUAUUUAUUUUUGAGAGACAGAGGGAGACGGAGUGUGAGUGGGGGAGGGGCAGAGAGAGAGGGAGACACAGAAUCCAAAGCAGGCUCCAGGCUCUGAGCUGUCAGCACAGAGCUUGACGCGGGGCUCGAACUCAAGGACCAUGAGAUCAUGACUUCAGCCGAAAUCAGCUGCUUAACUGACUGAGCCCCCCUGGCACCCCUGAUUAAUAUUGCCUUUACGUAUUUCCGGGUUGACGUUGUUACUACCUGGUAGGUGAUUUUCCAUACCCAUGAAAGGUGAAAUUCAGGAUCCUCUGUCUGGGAGAGAGCAGGAUACUCCACAUAAUAUCGCACAGUUGUUGGCAAUCUGUCCAAAGUAGAAAGUUCUAGGCCAAGGAUGCAUGUUCCUUCCCUUGGGAGAGAGCUAGUUUGGGUAACCCAAGUUCAGAAAACUUUUAAGAGAUAAGUAAGAGGUGGGCAGUUGGGAAGAGGUAAGAAACAGAGCCUAAGCAACUCACUGCCUUCCCCAAAACUCACGCUUCCUGGUUACAACACAGGUGCCUAGAGUUUUGGACUUGAGAGUGAUGUUCUGGGGAGUGUGUGCAACAGGACCAGGAUUGUACGUCUAGUCCUUCUCAGAGAUAGGACCGUCAGAGCAUCUGGAUGGAAGGGAGAUGAAAUUUCAGUCCCUAGCAAGGAUGAGUAUUUGCUGAUAUUCAACAUAUUUGGGCCUUGGUCCCUUUUCUGACCUGCCAGCCCCUGAGCCAUCAGUGAUAAAUCACCAACAUUCAAGGAACACACCCGUGCGCACCAGUGCCCAAAGCAUUCAUCACUGUCUUUGGCAAGGACUGGGGCCAAAGCAGGUGCUCAGAUUGGAUGGCAGAAGGGUAAAGGAAAUGAGGAAAACCCUCCAAACCAAAUUCCUCAUCCUUUGUCAUUUUGUCCCCGACAAGGUCUUCUUAUUAAACAAGUCCUUGUGUUUGGUUUCCAGAGGUCUUCUUGUCUUCACCAUCUGAAGUGCUGGCAUCUCCCUUUCUCUCACCCUCCCGUGCUGCCUUUAUAUUUCCAUCAUUGUACUCGUCACUACGAGAAGCUAUCUUCUUCACUUCUUUGCUUAUUUAUUGUAUAUCUUCAUCUUCUAGAAGAUAUACAGGCAGAGAAAACAAGGACCAUAUCUGCCUUGUUCACUGCUCUGGUUGGCAUCACACACACCAGACAGUAAUUACACAUUCAAUGAUCACCAAACUUAAAGCACACAGUAUUCAUCUAUUAGAGAGUUGUUAGAUGAGCACUUAAGGUCCCUCUAAAUCCUGAAAUCCACUGACCCAUGGCAUUAAUUUGUGAGCUAUCUACAUUUUUUAAUUUUCUCAUAAAUUUUUUAAAAACAUUUUCUCAUAUUUUUUAAAAACAAUUCCUUGGAUACACAAUGGAGUACUACGUGGCAAUGAGAAAGAAUGAAAUCUGGCCCUUUGUAGCAACGUGGAUGGAACUGGAGAGUGUGAUGCUAAGUGAAAUAAGCCAUACAGAGAAAGACAGAUACCAUAUGUUUUCACUCUUAUGUGGAUCCUGAGAAACUUAACAGAAACCCAUGGGGGAGGGGAAGGAAAAAAAAAAAAGAGGUUAGAGUGGGAGAGAGCCAAAGCAUAAGAGACUCUUAAAAACUGAGAACAAACUGAGGGCUGAUGGGGGGUGGGAGGGAAGGGAGGGUGGGUGAUGGGUAUUGAGGAGGGCACCUUUUGGGAUGAGCACUGGGUGUUGUAUGGAAACCAAUUUGACAAUAAAUCUCAUAUAUUAAAAAUAAAUAAAUUAAAUUAAAAAACAAACAAACAAAAAACCCCAAUUCCUUGGGAAAGCCUAACAGCACGCCCCCAUUUUAAAGACCAGCGGCGCCUGGAUGGCUCAGUCGGUUAAGUGUCCAACUUCAGCCCAGGCCAUGAUCUCACGGCUCCUGAGUUAAAGUCCCGUUCGGGCUCUGUGCUGACAGCUCAGAGCCUAGAGCCUGCUUCGGAUUCUGUGUCUCCCUCUCUCUCUACCCCUCCCCUGCUCACACUCUGCCUCUCCCUCUCUCUCAAAAAUAAACAAACAUAAAAAAAUUUAAAUCAAGGGCCACAGGGAUAGAGCACUGACUAUUCGUACCAUACACUUACUUCGUGGUGUGUUAUUAAUAUGUUGUUUUUUCCUGUUAUGCUCUUACUUUUCCACUAGUCAGUUCUUAAGAGAGAAAGUAAGCGUUUCUUCUCUACAUCCACAGCGCCUGACGUAUUCUCUGCAACGCAGUGGGCAUACUCCAUCCCCAAGUUCGACAAGGCUUGCAGGGAUGUAGCAAGACACGUCCACGGUCUUGCUUUGCUGCUCUGCGUCCAUCUCCCAGAGCUUUCAAACUCAGGGUCCUGGUCUGUGAGCUGUCAGGUGAGACAGAGCAGGACUCGGACUCUUACUCCCUCCGGGACGGAGCUUCUGGUCGCAAGCCACUGAAAGAGCCAAUAUGUCCAUUUCCAGGUGUGUUUCGUCUCCCCCAUCACGUGAGCGCGCUAGCAUCGCACCAGGGCACUCGGCUUUGCAAUCAUCAUCCGGGUCAGUCGGUGCCAAGAAUAGUCACAGAGAAACCACUUCUGGGACUCACAGGGUGUAUUGCUGACAUCGGUGUUUGUCAAGUGCCAGCAGCGCCACGUGAGCCCUCCCCAACCAAAAACAAAAGUGAUUGCGGUAAUGAGGACGGCAGCAGUACCAACAUCCAUAAUCAGGGCAAAAUUACAAAGUUAGUAGUGUUAGGUUCCGAUAGAGGCGGUGACACCACCUGUGUUCUUUCCAUGUGCACUCCCAAAUUCAAGGCCUCUGAUUUCCUGAGAAGAUUCUAUUUUAUGAGGCUCUCAGGGCAGCAGACAGGCGUCACGUGGUCUCUUGGAUUCCCCCGCCCGUGGUGGAGACUAAGGCUUCAGAAUCACUGACAGUGAGUGUGUAAGAAAGUAGCUGAUAUUCAGGCUCGGCACUCCAUACGCAGAAAACACUUGAUACAGGGCACCCGGGUGGCUGAGCCCGUUAAGCGUCCAACUUCAGCUCAGGUCAUGGUUUGUGAGCUCAAGCCCUCAAUGGGGCUCUCUGCUGUGAGCACAGAGCCUGCUUCGGAUCCUCUGUUCCCCAAUCUCUCUGCCUCUUCCACACUUACACUCUCUCUCAAAAAUAAAUUUACAAAAUCAAACUUAGAAAAUACUCCAUAGAGACUCUUAAAUACAGAGAACAAACUGAGGGUGGUUGGGGGGUGGAGAAGAGGGGAAAAUGGGUGAUGGGCAUUGAGGAGGGCACUUGUUGGGAUGAGCACUGGCUGUUGUAUGUAAGCCAAUUUGACAAUAAAUUAUAGUCACAAUUAAAAAAAUAAAAGUGUUGAUAAUAAAAAAGUACUCUAUACAAAUUAUUGGUGGAUGAUGUGUGAUGUCUAAAGAUUUUGCAGAUGUUAAUUGAUAGAAUGGUCAAGUAUUAAUACCGUGUCUUGGAAAACAGGUUUUUCCUGUUGUAAAAGGAUUCUCCCUGACACAUACUAUGAGAAUUAAAAACUAGGGCAUGAAUAAAGGAGGCAAUCUGUCUACUGGAAGUCGUUGAAGAUGUGGUAACCAGAAAUUGAGUUUAGCUUCCCAUCCUGUCUUCUAACAAGAUGGCAGUGUCCCCAUCUGAAACCCACAAUGGGCUAAAGUAAAGGCAGGACUAAUCUACGUGAUUUUCCCUGUAAAUAGGCAUCAGUGUGGCACUGACCAUGAUAAUAAUGCAUUUUGGAAAUUCAGCGUGGCCUUUGGACAUGCAAAGCCAACGUGUGUACUUUGAGUCAUCAGCUGUUAGGAGUACAGAGGAUAUUAGCUUCCUACUUAUAUAAGUAUCGUUCAUAUAAACACCAUUGAAAUGCUCAUCUGUAUUUAAUAAGCAGUGUUUUCAAAAUGAGAUUUUUUUUUUUUUGGAUACCAUUAGGGUGGGGAGACUGGUAUUCUUUGAGGCAGACAUUCAAAUUCUGGGCAGAAAGUUUUUCCUUAUAGACUCCCUCCCAUACUUGGGAAGAGGUAGCCCUGUUGGUCCAGGUUCUAACAAACAAGCCCUCAUUCUCUUCAAGGUUGUGAAGGUUCUGCAUGCCUGACCAAGCAUCUUCUCCUAUCUAGCUUUUUCAAUGUUUAUUUUUGGGAGAGAGAGAGAAAGAGAGAGAGAGAGAGAGAGAGAGAGAAUGAGCAGGGGAGGGGCAGAGAGAGAGGGAGACACAGAAUCCGAAGCAGGCUCCAGGCUCCAAGCUGUCAGCACAAAGCCUGACGCGGGGCUCAAACCCACAAACCGUGAGUUCAUGACCUGAGCCGAAGUCGGACGCUUAACCGACUGAGCCACCCAGGGGCCCCACAUCUUCUCCAGUCUAAAUGGAGACAGCUUCUUCCCCCAUUAAUUACAUGGUAAGAUUUCAGUUCCUCUCACCAAGCUGGUCAUAAUUUUUCUGGGUAGAUUCCAGACUUUUAGUGUCCUUCUCCGAACAAGAUGCCAGAAGCAAACUCAGCCUGAACGCAGAACAGAAGGGAAAUCCAACCUGUAGCCCUUUUGACAGCUAGCACAUCUCAGUCUCCCCAUGCCCCCCUUUUAAAAUUAUAUUAAAAACGCUUCCAUAAGAUCUACUCUCUUGGCAGGUGUAUAUGUGUGCACGACAUUGUCAUGUACAGGCACAAUGUUGGGUUCUCUAGAACUUAUUCAUCUUGCAUGGCUGAAAUUUUAUACCCUUUGAUUAACAACUCUCCAUUUCCCCUCCCCCCCCCCCCCAGCCUCUGGCAGCCACCAUUCUAUCCUGUGCUUCUAGGAGUUUGACUUUUUAAUUUUUUUCUCAUUUUGUUGUAUACAGUCAGUGUUUAUUUGGAUGAAAUUACAUACACAUGUACAUGGCUUUGCUCCUUAUUUCUUCCUGCAGCUCAGAUGUUUGUUCUGGGCAUGGCUCCUUCCUGAAAUACAUACUUCAGAUGUUCUUUUAGGAUAAGAUUUGUUGGUAAAUCUUGGUUUUUCUUUUCCUGAAAAAGCCUUUAUUUCGUCUGUAUUCUUCUCUAAUUGUUUUAGGUUGGUUGUUUCUCCCAGCACACCGAGGCCGUCCAGUUUGCCAGAGUCUCCACCGGUCCCUAUUAGACAUCGCUGGCUGCACACAUCUGUACUACUUGCCCUGUCCUGUAAGUACAGUGAUGAGCUCCUAGGGAGCUAGUGCUUCACUUAUUCUUUUCUGUGCAUAAGCAGCUCAAUGAUAUGUUUUAGUUGAAUAAACAAGUCUGCAUUCACUGCCUGGUCCCCACACGUUCCCCCUUCUGCCACCGCCCACUCAUACCGUAGCCAUCUGCUGUUCUAAUAACCGCAGUGUCCAUUUGUCCAGGUGAGUGCGGAAAAGGAACAUAGUGGGACAUGGCCGAGGGAGGGAGAUGGGCCAGGAGGAAGAUGUGGCUGAGGAUACGGGCUGCAGGUGACACCGAGGGGUAUGCGAAUGCCCUCCUGGCAUGGAGGAAAUCAUCUUCCCCCUCAUACGAUGCCUCCCUAAUUGGCUUAAUAAGAUAUGCCCCAAUUCCCCUCAUUCCUGUUGCUAAAUAUUCAGAUCUCAAUGACUUUCAGGUUUGAGUGGUUAAGUGUCUUAGAGCUGGGAGCACGGUCCUGCCGGUCGGCUACUCGGAGUUAAUUUCCCUUCCCACAUCCCCAGACGGCACCGGCUUGGGUAGAGCGUCUCACAGCUCUGGCAGCAUUGGAGGGCCCGGCUCAUGAUUCUGUUCGCUAAUGGGGAGGAAAUGGCCCAAAAGCUGCAGAUCACUCUUACCCUUCUGGCCCGCUUUAAAAAAAGCAACACACACACACACACACACACACACACACACACACACACACAAAACCAAAAAAAUUCAGGCCUGGCAUUCUAUUAUUCCCUUCUUAAUAAGGGCCUGGAAAUGUCAGCCUCGGUGAUUACACCAGCAGGUGCCCAGACUUCAAAGUGGGCACCUGUCACUGGAAAGAUAAUUGACUUCAUUCAACCAAUUGUCUCUUGGUUGUAAUCAAGCCGUUUCAUUCAAAUGGAUCUUUCAAACUGUUCUUUUGAGUAGGUGGGGGAGGCCGGCAGCCCAGUGGAUCACAAUUACUGCGGCCAGGGAGGCGGGAAGCAGAGCAAGCGCAGAAGCAGAGGUAGCAAAGAGCUGUCAGCCUUUCUGAAAGCGGCAGCUGGCCCGGAGGAGAGUUUGUCGGUGGAAAAAACCCCACAGAGCGAUUAGGGAGAGGCGAGGGAGCCCCCACUAUUCAGCUAUCCAAGCAUUCUUGUGUUUAUUUAGCUUGCCUCCUGGCUGCAGACAGACACUCCCGAGUCUGCACACUGUUUUCAGCAGCAGGUACCCUGAGGGGAUGGAGGGGAGGACGGAGCUCUGUGUCCAAAGCAUCCCUUUCCUCCUCUGGGGACCGAGAGCCAAUGUAAACUUCAAAGAGGAGAGAGGGUCUGUGGAUAGAAACAGGGUAAGUGUCUCUGCUGUCCCACAAGGAGCUAAAGCCUCGUCGGUCAUAGGGUGUGUCUCUGAAUUUGACAGACCUGGUCAUCCGCGGCACAGAAGGCUAAGAUUUGAGCCAAAGGGAGCCUCGGGCACCCACCUAUGGAGUUCGGUGGCUCCCGAUUUCCCUGCGGUGUAGACAAAACCAAUGUUGGCUUUUGAUGGGCCUUGGGCGGGUGGGACCGCUGAGUUCCAGCUGUGAGGACUCGGGAGGUGCUACGGGGCCGGGGCCGAUUGCCAAUUUUAGAGUAACAUGGGUGAGGGUUGUUCAGUCUACGAGACUAAGCUCCGUCCACAAUGAGAAACCUUAGCUGACCUUGGUUCCUGGCUCAGCCGCUUAGUUGCUGUCUGGCCUUGAGCAAGUCACUUAAGUCUCUGAGCCUCAAUUUUCUCAAGUAAGAAAAGGGGCAGUUAGCCCAUAGUGAGAUGGAAGGAGAUGAUAUGUAAAACCACGAAGCUCCAUGACUCAAAUGAGCACCCACUUAAGUGCUCAGGGAAACAGAGGUCUCUUCUCUCCAAAAAAACAGGGUGAAACAAACCCCACAUCCUGCGUUCCUGCAGUCCCCUACGCUGGUUUCACGCUGAUGUGUGCAUGGGGACACGAUGAGGGUCUAUUCCCAGACGCAACAUUGAAUAGCAGGUUCUCGCUGAUCCCACCAACACCAAGGAUCUCUCCCAUCAUCAUUUCUGUCUCCUAUAGCCAUCAUUUACAUACCAAACAUCAUCUCCUCAGAUUGUCCAAGUCCCGAGUGUCCUUGUGUAACACCCAGUGUGGUGCUUUAUACACGGUAAAUGUAUAAGUGAAAACAUUGGUAUGCCUGGGGCUCUGGUAGUGUUUUAAUAUCCCUGGGGAACCAGCAACAUCAUCCUUCGUUGCCAGGGCUGAUUGGCUCUCACUGGGAAAAAUAUCUGAUAAAAUUACAAUUGAUGCUACCAAGCCCUAGGCAGGUAGACCUCAGUUAAUGUAUCCAUCUUCCAUUAUGGAGGCAUCAGUCACUGUUGACUGAAAUGCAAAGAUCAGAAGCAUCUGGAUGGCUUAGUCAGUGAAGCGUCCAACUUCGGCUCAGGUCAUGAUCUCAGAGUCUGCGAGUUUGAGCCCCACAUCGGGCUCUGUGCUGACAGCUCAGAGCCUAGAGCCUGCUUCAGAUUCUGUGUCUCCCUCUCUCUCUGCCCCUCCCCUCUUCAUGCUCUCUCUCUCUCUCUCUCUCUCUCUCUCAAAAAUGAGUAAACAUUAAAAGAAGAAGAAGAAGAAAUGCAAAGAUCAAAAGAAGCUCUUGUACAGGAGGAGAAAUAGCUUCCUGGGAAGCUAGUGUAAGGAACUGAGUUGUAACCCCAAGUGGGUCAGCCUCAGCCAGACCCCAGGGAAGAGGGAAGGACAAAGCAGGAAGAGGGUCCACUGUGUGGUUCAAUGACAUCUCGUGCGAAGGACUGGGGAGGAAUCUGAGAAAAGUUAGUAAGAGGAAGAGAAUGAUGUCUGGAAGGGGAAGAAAGGGGUACGUUGGGUUGAACUCUGAUUUUCUCCGUAAAUUUGCCGCUUGGUUUGAGGAAAACAAAAGCAGUUACGUAUUGAGAAUCUCCAGUGCUCAACCUAACAUGUGUAAGAGUAAAUCGGAGCCUCACCUCCAGAGUUCUAGGCACUGAGCCCUGGACUGUCUGAGUUAUAACAUGAGAAGUCGUGUCAGAUAGGGGAGUGCUGUGGAAUUUUAGCCAUUGUUGGUAUUACUAUGACGGUAGACCUGUUUUCCUCACUGACUCUGGGGAAGGUAUUAGAAAGAAUCAUGGACGUUGUCUCUCAAAGCCAUCACCGCUGAAAAGAGCCCCCAGAAACCAGAGCCCCGGACAGAGGCAGAUACCCACCAAGGCCAGAGUCAUGAGCGUGCAGCGAGUAGAGUCCGGCAAGGCUCUGCUGCCAGCAGGCCUGUGCUUAGGGAUAGCGGUCCACCGGUGCUGUCUGGAAAUUAUUGAUAAUUUUAUCAUUGAAUUUGGGUGAUGUGCGUGUAGCUCAAUAGGAUAAUGGAGCAUGCGCCAGAGGCUGGAAGCCUCACCCCCUCCCUGACGUGGGUCUCUGCUGCCUGCUGCCCUGGGGACAGGAUCAGGGGGGAAUGAGCUCGGCAGCUGUGCACCGAGGCACAGGGAGAGGCCUGGGCACCUGCAAAGGUCAGCACUCACUCCUUAGGUGUCCCCAUGACGAAGGGGACACAAAAUUAAAUGGCAAAAAAAAAAAAAAAAACCCAAAAAACAAACAAACAGAAAACUAGGCAAAGUUGAGGUAGAGAUAACAAAAGAAAGGAAAAAAAAGCUCUUCCCACUUUUGGGGGGCAAGAGGCCCCAUUUUUAUUUCAUUUCAUUUUCACUGGGCCCUGCAAAUUAUGUAGCCAGCUCUCAUGCUUGGUCUUUGGACACCAUGCUUAAGGAUUCAGGGCCAUCCUUCUCAUGUACUCUGAGACAUGAGCUCCCAACGGUGGGCUCACGGAAAGAGAAAGGCAGAGUGUGGAGGUAAGAGUCUGCAGUCAGUGUCUGCCUUUGACAUAUUUGUUGUGACAUAUGUAUUAUGUUUCAGGUAAUGGAUAACUACUCAUCCUCUUUAGGGACUUGAUAGUGUUCCAUAUAAAGAGGAAACACCUGAAACCAUGGCUUGAGAUAUGACUGAACAUUCAGAUUUGGGAUGACAUCCUUGUAAUUCCCUAGAUUAGCUCUGGUUUAUAGGUCCAUUAACUCCAGUGUCAGGUGAGACUUUCUUGUGGUUUGUUUUACUUUGAAUAUCAACCAUUAUAAUACAAUAUUGCACUGUAUAUUAGAUCACAGUGUUCUUUUUUAGCAUGACUAUUUUCUCUGCAAGCCUUCCAUCAGCCUUACUGACAGAGAAGGAUAACUUUAAUACUGGCUGUUUUAUGUGGACGCACUCACACGACAGCGUACAGAAUAUACUAUUGUUUUGUUUAUCCUUUAGCGAUGGGUAGGUAACAGUUGAGGUACUCUUUCAGGAUACACACUCCAGAGGUAGUUUUUAUUUUAAUGAAUUUAACCAGAAGCUCACAUUCCAGGGGAAGCUAUUCCAAGCUUUCGACUAUCUUUAGAACAUUUGCUGAUUAGCAUGAAUGAUGUUAGAAAUGAUUUUUUUUCUUUUUUUACUGGUGAAAUGAGCUAUAUUCAGUUAUGUAGACUGACUAGAAAUAAUUCUAGAGAAACAACCUCCCUUCCACGUAUGAGUUAUGAGACUAGGGUCCCAGUCAGACAACAACUACUGAAGUGGUACCCUGGCCAAAGGACUCCAUCAAAUUCUGUGCCUACGUUCCCUUAGGACAUAAUUUCUUGUUCUCUUUAGAUCACAGUGGUAAAUACUUUUUCCAUUAUGACCUAAUACACACACAUGCACAUUGAAAGGAAGAGUUUUGGGGCUCUUGGGUGGCUCAGUCCGUUAAACGUCCAACUCUUGAUUUCAGUUCAGGUCAUUAUCUCAUGGUUCUUGGGGUUCAAGCCCCACAUUGGGUUCUGUGCUGACAACAUAGAGGCUGCUUAGAAUUCUCACUCUGCCCCUCCCCCACUUGCCCUUGCUGUCUCUCUCAAAACGAAUACAUAACCUUAAAAAGAAAAGGGAAAGUUUCCAGACAAAGCACUUCUUACCCCCACUUUAUAUAAUGCAUUCUAUUAUUUUCCAUCUGAUUCAAUUCUACUAUAUUUCAUUUUGUUAAUUGCUGGUUGCAGUCCGCUCUGUUUAUUUCAGAAUACCCUAGCGGGAUACAAAUAACAGUUCUGAAAACUCUAGCCCACAGAGCUAGCAGAAUCCUGCCACUAGAAUAUUGUUGCAUAUGCCAUAGUGAGUUUUCCUGCAAGGUACUCAUUAGAGGGCCUGACACGGCCAGGAGCGAGGGAGUCAUGGGGAUACAGGACAGAUGGGCACAUGUCUCUGUGUAAAGGAGCUAAUGAAUGUUUGUGUGUGCACCCACAUGUGGUCUGGGACUUGUUUUCAUCGUAACAUAACAGCCAGGUAGCGAACAGGUGGAAGAGGAGACCUCUGUUCAACCUGUGUUCUCUCACCUAUGUUCAACCACUGGACAUUACCAAUAACAGCCAGAAGGACCUAGCAUUGAUGGACAACUACAUUGGUUUAGGUCAGUUUGCAAGUACAGUAAAACCUGGAGUCUUCUGCAAGCCGAGCAAACAUUUCUAAUAAAUUUUAACUUGAUAAACGAGUGAUGUCUUGUAACCCAAGUAGUACAUGAUGCUGAAUGUCACAUGAUCAUAACUGAGCCAAUGGUUCUUGAAAUUCGCUUUGAUGUACAAGUGCUUUGGAUUAGAAGCCUGUCUCUGGAAUGAAUUAUGCUCGCAAACCAAAGCUUUACCGUGUUACUUUUAAAAAUAUCAUCCCUCCAAAGGGAGAUCAGAGGCACAGAGUCACAAGCCAAGGAUUGUCUGGAGCCACCAGAAGCUUCAAGAGGCCAAGAUCGGAUUCCACCCGAGGGCUUUCAGAGAAAAUGUGGCCCUACUGACACCUUGAUUUUGGACCUCUGAGUUUAAGAACUGUGAGAAAGAAAUUUCUAUUGUUUUAAGCUACAAGUGUGUGGAGAUUUGUUAAGGCAACCCUAGGAAACCAAUACAGACGUUACACAGACCGAGACUACAGACGUCUCUUUGAUAAUCCUGUCAGUUGCCCGAUCCCAGCCAGAAACACCUCCCCCCGGAACAAAGGAGCAAAGAUCAGUUAUGUAUCCUUUUUGCUAGCUUACGUAGAAUCAGCUUUCAGGAAAAUAUUACAUCUUGUCUGAUCCAAAAUAUUUCAAAACACCACUCACCAUCUCUGAUGGUAUUUAUGGCUCAACAUUCUUGAUAGCAACCAUAUAAAAUUUAUUUCAAAAAAACGUGAUGGGGAUUCUUAACUAUACACAAACUUUUUUGAGAGACAGAGAGAGACAGAUGGAGAGCAGGGGAGGGGCAGAGAGAGAGAGGGAGACACGGAAUCUGAAGUAGGCUCCAGGCUCCGAGCUGUCAGCACAGAGCCUGAUGCAGGGCUCGAACCCACAAACCGUGAGAUCAUGACCUGAGCCGGAGUGGAGGCUUAACUGACUGAGCCACUCAGGCACCUCUGAAUUCUUCUUUAAAUCUUUUUAACCCUGGAAACAACUUAAUUUAUUAUUAGGGUUUAAAUUGAACAUGAGCAAACAUUAUUCCAUCUCAGCCAUCUAGGUGGAAAAAGAAACUUUCCCCCUUACAGGCACUUACUCUGUUCCUGGGGACAGAUUCAGACUGGGCUGGCCUGGGUCCCAUGACCAUCUGUGCGUCAAUCACUGUGGAAGCUGGGGGGCUGAGGUGCUUUGACUAGCAGAGCCCCUCACGUCUGUGUUGUGGGGGUCGGGAAGCAUUGCUUCUCCAAAGCAAAGGUGGUUAUGCUAUUACCAGAGGGAGUAAAGCACAGAGUGAUUCAGACAAACAGGUGUUCACACAUACAUGCAAAUACAUCCACAGAUGUGUUGAGACAAACUGAAAAAUUACUGGGAAAAAGUGUAGGUAGCAAUGUGUGUGUUAGCCUCUGUUCUGGAUGAUGGGAUUAUGGGGAUAUACAAACAUGCCUUGCUUACAAGUUGUCCAGCCUGUACCCUUUCACCUUGUUGUAAACAAAAGUGUUUAAGCUUCACUGACACCGGGUUUGUUGCUAUACAUGAAGGUUUUGGCAAUAUAAAGCUUUGGUUGAGCCACUGGGGGUAAGAAGAAUUCCACGCAGAAAAUUGUGGGUGCUCUGUGACUCCAAGAAGUCCACCUGCGGGUGGGGAAUGGAUUCCUUUGAAGUGUGUGAUGUAAAUUAAAUGGUCGACCAGUGACGGGGGAAGAAGAGCAGGGGGCGCCAUGCAGGAAGCAGCACUGGACAUGGAUUUCCUCGGGGGCUGCGAAUUUGCUUCCUCUCUUCUCCUUCCAUCUCCCAGCUUACCCUGAACAGGGGCCCAUCUUUUUCCCCUAUGGUACCGUCAUUCUCCGUCCUGGAUUGCACAUUUUUCCUGACUAAUUCACCCACUCAAGCUCAGUUGGGCAGGUUAAAACCUCUUCCUCUGACAAGGAAUCCUUCUUUAAGUCACACGAUCCUCCUACCCAUGAAAAUCAACACAUUAUUCAAUUACAAACAACCCUAAGAGCUAUCAUUUUCUAAGCACUUAUCAUAUACCCACAUGAUUUCAUUGAGUUCAAUAAGUCCUGGGUUACUGUUUCAAAUUUCAGAUGAGUAGCGGAAUUAUGGGAAGGUUAUAUAACUUGCGAAAAGUCACAUUGCUUGUAGACGGCUGUCCUGGGACUCGAAUGUGAGCCAGAUUCUCAGCCCGUGAUCUUGAAAAGGGAUGGGCUAAUGUUGCUUGUUGAGGAAGGUCAUUGAGAGGAUGUGGCAGCCAGUUGACCCGUGCGCUGGACCUCAGCAAUGAAAGGCUCACUUCCUCCCCUGUCCUUGGAAUGUGCACUUUGCUUGGCUUCCCUGCUCCCAGAAGCUGCCCCAAGGAUCUAGCCUUGAGAGACUGAUGUGGACUUGAGACCAUCUGGACUGUGUACGUGAUUGAACAUAGUUAGGGUCUCUGCAUAAAUGUUUUAGAUUGGGUGGGCAAGUAGAAGAUCUACUCCUCUUGAGGCCACCCAAGACAAGUCUUGUCUGCAAGCUCCCUUGCUCGUUGAACCUGCCACCUUCCGAUCCGGAGUGGCCUGCCUCUUUCGUUGGUCUCUUUCUGACCUCUGAGAAUGGGGGCCAGUUUCAGAUUCUACCUGGAAGCUCUGAAGGAGGUCACCAGCCACCACUGCCACACCCUGGCUGUGCCAUCUUCACAGUAAGUCACCUCCGCCUGAACCGUCAUCUUAUUGUCUAUAGUCAGGAUAUUUCUAAAUCCUGCCCGGCCUAUUCUGUCAUCUCUUGGAAAGUCCUAUGAGAAAGAGCUUUGCGCAUUAUACGUCACACAUGCACACGUGGGGUGUCAUAGAUUGAGCCUCUGGGAGACUGAAGGGGGGAGGCACGUCUAGUGAGGCUCGGGGACAAGAAACUUGGAGGUUUGUACACCUGGUGGAGAGGCAUACGGGGAUGAAACAUACAUACUGAGGCUCUAGCUGUGUGUAGGCAUGGAGUCCAAGUAAGAUACGGUCAAGUCCUGGUUUGCCCAUGCCUGAGGGCUUUCCUGGGACAUGGGACUUUCUGUGCUAACCAAGAUCCUGAGCAAACCAAGAUGAAGUGGUUGCCCUGGUUAAGGUAAAAUUGGCUUCUUAACGAGAAGUGCGUGUGAACCGGCUGUUUAAAAGCAGAAGGGAAAUCGUCCCACGGUAGCUGGGCUUUGAGGACAUGGCAGCCCUGUUGUUCCAACGAUGCCAUCUGUCCAGCCCCUCGGAAGAGCAGACGCACGGGGUGCGUUUUCCGCAGCAUUGAAAGAUUGGUGGGCCACCUGUUCUUCUCCAAACUCUUGCAUUCUGGCAGUGGGCUCUUCCCCUUCCCUGGGCUAACAGGCACGUGGUGGUCCAUUCCCGCCGUAACACCCAGUCUUCUCCAGGAUGAAAGGGAGAGCCCUGCCGGGAGUUAAGAGCCAAGAAUGCAGGUAUUUUGCAGUUUAUGCUCAGCCUUGCUUUCGAAUGAUGUCCCUCUAACUCGCUCUUUCCUUAGAAGGCUGUCUCUCCAGGGUGUUCCUUAGUCUUCUGACUAGCGAGUUUGUGACCUCUCCCCACCUUACGCAGUUGGGACUGAAUGCCCCGAGUGGUCUCCUAGCUUCAGAAAGAACCUGGCUCAUGUCUCCCUGCCCCCACCCAAAGCAUUCCUGCUGGAAAACCCUGCAACCUCUUCUAGCUCCUUGGUGCUCAGCCAGACUGCCCAGGUUCCCAACCUCUCACUACCAUCUCUCAUCAUCUGUGUCAUUUAAAGCAAGGUACUUUGCCUGCCUUUCCCUCAUUAAGAAAGUGAGAGUGAUAAGUACGUCACCUAAGUUAACAGGCAGUGAAAGGUUAAAUAAUUGAAUACAUGGGAAGGGCUUAGAACAGUGUCUGGAAGCUAGUAAGUGCUCAGUAAGUAUUCAUGUUCUUCCUUUUUACCCAACCUAAGGUGGUAUUCUCACCAGUUUCUGUAGAAAAUGAGGUUUCAAGCUUCCCUUCCUUGGUGUGGUACAAGAAGCCUAAGCUUUGGAAGUGUGCAAUUAUCUCCAACAUUAUGUAACUCCCGUACGUCCAGUUUCCUAGUCUGCUAAAGUGGGCUAGGAAUCAACUAAGGAGGGUUCAAAGAGAUGAUGCGUGACAACCCUGUCCUUUGGAACCCCCACAUAACUUACACUCUAUCUACAGUAUAGCGCCGAUCCCCCGACUGAUGUUAUGUUUGUCCCUAGACUGUGACCCUCUUGAAAGAAAGGGUUGUGUCUUUCCUACCUGCUCAUUUCCAGGGCUUACCCCAGUGCCUGGCAUAAAAGGAAAAUGAAUGCGUGUCCGCUGAAAUGAUGGCAGCUAGCACAAUACUUGGCUUGUCUUUGGUGAUCAGUGGAUUAUAGUUUCGUUCCUAAGGUUACAGAGCUGGUUAGUAGCACAUGGGGACUGAUCUUGACUUUUUCUUCUCCUUAAGCUGAUUAGUAAAGGUGCCUUCGAAGGAACAUUAUUGAGAAAAUGAUUAUAAAAUGUCUUUAGUUCAUGAGCAGAAAUAGCACUUAAAUAGAGGUUACAUUACACAUUUGAACUACCUUUCUGUUUUCCAAAUUAAGCCCACAGUAGAACAUUCAUUGUAUUUCCUCUUCGGUUCCAAUACAUGUCAGAUGAGGUGGAAACUUUUAGGACACAGUCAUCAAUAUUUCUUGAUAAGAAUCCUGCCUCCUUUGUAAUUAAACUGCCCUCUCCUGCUAAUUUGUGUGCAUCCGUAUAAUAUCCCUUUCUUCCAAUUAAACACAUCACUCAUUGAUGAUGCUUCAAGUCUGAAGCCAAGACAAGUGAAAAGGGAUAAGACCUAGAAGCAUUCAAAUUGGACAUUUCCCCCUGAGUUAAGGCCUUUUUAAUCCUUUAUAUCUUGGCAAGUAGUUAGUCACUUUCGCAGUGCUAGCAGCUGUACGAUGGGAACCGAUUUGAUGGGUAACAUGUUUUAUAUUUGCACAUGUCACCAAUGCAACACGGAAACAUUUUUAAAACUAGGGAAGAAGCACGAACAGCCCAUUUUUCCCAGCACAAGUUUGUAGUCUAGAGCUAUUCAUCUCAGAUGAAACCAACUUUCUAUAGCAGCUUCAAAUGGAGGCAAAUAACGCUUGGACGGGGACCGUCUAUUCCAUUGAUGUGGAAUUAGAAAAAGCUAUUGAGUCAACUUCUAUUUUUGCAACAUUAAAUGGAAGCCCUUCUCAUGCAAUUUUAGAAAUUCAGACACCCAGCUCCAAAACAAUGAAACUGAUGGAUCGUGGUCAAAAUUUGAGAUGGGAUGUGUAUGGAAGUGGAAACAUUUUCCAGAAGAAUUUGAAAUGGCAAAAUAUGGCGUGCCUUUAAUGAAAUACUGCCUUGUAAGUCUGGGCAAUUGAUUCUUAUCAGCCUCCCCACACUGAAGUUUAUUUUUCCAUCUUGACUCUCUCAGUUAUUCUGUUUCUCAUUUAAUGAAGACUGAUCUCCCAGAUCCUCGUUUCAUUAAUGUUGGCCUCUCGUGAAUGAUUGAAACAGAAUGGUGGUGAUAAUAUGCAGAGUUUAAUAGGGGAGAGAAAGAGCUAAUUACAUAUGUUAUCAACGGAAGCCAGGAAGGACCUGGAGAAAAGAUACAAUAAAUCUCAGAGUCACACAUCAUAGCAUGAAGUACGAGGCCUGCAAGGAGGAUCUGUAUGGUUGAUGUCAAGGUCUCAGCUAGAAAAUCUUGCACAGAGAGCCCCCAAACUUUUACCUGCAUUGUUCCCUUCUGGUCUCUCAAAUAAUUUGUUAGAUGACUUUUGAAAAAGCCUAAUGACUCAAAUGUCAUACUCCAAAGAGAAGGACUAUGUAAUCACUGAACUGGCGGGAACUCUUCAUAAUCCCAUGAGACUGGUGGAAGGAAGAGCCAACCCUAGGCAGGCCAUCUGUAUGAACUGUGUUCUGGAACCUUCCCUAUACUGGGCUCCCACCUACUCUCUACCUCCAUUACAUUUUUCUGUCAUAUCCUCCAUUAAUACUCAGGUAUAAAUCCACUGUCUGGAUAUGAAGCAGCCUUGGAGAUCCACACCAACGAUCCCAUUUCACUAGGAGAAAAAUGAAGCCAGAGUUUAUGAGUUUGGAACAGAACAUACAACUGGUAAGUGCCAGGAUUACAUUUGUUGACUUUUUCUCUGUAAUCAAUGUCAACAGUUCUAAGAAUUAUUAUAAUUUUCAACAUUAGCAGAAAUGUUGAGAAAGCUAGAAUAACAGUGAAUGGGCCAGCCAGAAAUACAGUCAUGCCACACAUCAAAGGGGGGAAUUUCUCAUGUCUGGUCCAAUGUGACUUGUGGGGGAGGGGCUCAGUACCCUGUGGUCAUUCAAGGUUCCAGGCGCCUGCCAGUAUUUGUCUCCAUUAUCUGUUAGAGCCAUAUCAUCCUCUGAAUUCAGCCUGCAGAUCGAAAAGGCAGCCGGGAAAAGAGGAAGCGUGGGGAAGGCUCACCAGUCUCAACCACACAUCACUUCUGUGGCUGUUCCAUCGUCAAAAAUUCAUCACAUGGCCAUGUUGAGAUGUGAGGGGCCUGGAAAAGUUGGUCUAGCUAUAUACCUAAGAAGACAAAUGGAGCACAGAUUCUGGAAGGCUCUUGCAGUCUUAGCCAGUCCCAGUGGCAGCCUCCAUAAAUGUAGCUAUUGUUACUAUUAAGCUCACUUCACUGGGUCAAGGUUCUGGCGCUCCUACAGUGUACUUGGAGGAGAAGAACAAAGUCGAAAGUUUCCUUCUAGUUUGUCUUGCUACCCAAAGCCUUCACAGACCCGAAGGUGACGCAGGCUAUUGGUCACUCUACACAGUGGCCAUCUAGGGACAGGUGACCCAGAAAAACAGUGCUAAGGCCACCCUAGGGCUGCUGGUCUCUGAGAGAAGAAAAGAGAACAAACAAAACAAAGAAAAACUUAAUUCCGUCCUGUUUGUUUUAAGGUCUAAGGGAUUUCUAAAUAUUGCCAACUUUUUUUUUUUUUUUGUAUGAUGAGAAUAUUUUGUUCUGGGUCCCCUGCUUUUUAGCUGUGAGACUUUGGGAAGUUAUUUGAAUUUCGUAAGUCUCUAUUUUCCCACCUACAAAAUGAAGAUAAUAGUUGUUCUAUCUCAAAGGGUUGUUCUGAGGAUGGAAUGAGAUGAUGCAUGGAUGUGCAGUAGUGAUGUGCAAGGUGCGACCUUCCUUGUCUUCAUCCUCCUCCUCCUCCUCCUCCUCGUCCUCCCCCUCGUCCUCCCUCUCUUUAUCGUAAUGUGAUUACUAUUCCUAUUAUCAUCCAUAAUCACAUCUAACAAAUUUUGUCUCUUUGAUUUUCCUUUCGGCCAAGGGUAGCAGCGUGAUGUGGUUGCAAAAGCCUGGACUUUGGAGUCCAUGAAGGUUGGAUUCACCCUGACUCUAAAACUUGCUCACUGAGCAGGGGACCUUGGGCAACUCAUUUGACUCCUCUGUGUGUAAUUCUUCACCUGUAAGAAAAGGCGAUGAUUCCUAAGAGUAAAAGGUUGUGAAGAUUUUGGUAAAGCGUUCAUUGCUGUGGUUGGCAUGAAAUGAAAGCUCAUUUCCUUGUCCUUUAUGGGAAUUCCCAGGGGCUUAAGAAUUUAGUAAGCUAUAGCACCCAGGGACCUCCGAAGAAUUGACAUACAUUCAAAUAGUAUUUUUAUUGACGGAUGUUUUAUUUGUUUGUUUGUUUGUUUAUUUUGCCUUUAUUAGUAAGUCCAAUAAUUAAGUGUGAAAGGUCUAGGAUCUGGAACAUAUGAAAUGCUUAUAAGUUGUUGUGGUCCAAGAAUGAACAAAUGAAUGAGUGAAUGAAGAAAAAUGAAGCUCUUGAUCCUGGGAAAGUUAAUUUAUGGCACAUGAUGGCAAAUUUUGAGUUAAUGUUAAAAUCAAGCCAUUCCAUUUUUUUGUUCUUUACUCUUUACCUCUAAUCCUUUUCUCAGAAAAUAACCGAUCUCUUGCAAAAGGACUAAUUUACUUUUUAAAAAAUAUUGCUUGGGAGGCGCUUGAGUGGCUCAGUCAGUUGAGUGUCUGACUCUUGAUUUCGCCUUAGGUCAUGAUCCCAGGAUUGUGGAAUCGAGCCCUGCGUCAGGCUCCUCACUAGGGUGGAGGUUGCUUCAGAUUCUCUCCCUCCCCACCGCUUUCUCUCUGACCCUCUCCCCGACUCAUGCUCUCACUCUCUCUAAAAUAAGUAAAAUGGAAAAAAAUGAAAAAAAAAUAUUUCUUGGGCACCUGGGUGGCUCAGUUGGUUAAGCGUCGAACUCUCCAUCUCAGCUCAGGUGUUGAUCUCAGAGUUGUGAGUUCGAGUCCUGAACUGGGCUCCACGCUAGAGGUGGAGCCUAUUUAAAAAAUGUUUCUUCCUGUGAUAAAAUAUAUAGUAUAAAGUUUGCCAUGCUAAUUGGACAAGUCAGUGGCAUUAAGUACAUGGACAGUAUUGUACAACCAUCACUAUUUUCCAAGCCUUUUCAGCACCCCAGACAGAAACUCUGUAUCUGUUAGCAGUAACUCCCCAUUGCUGCUUCUUCCCUCCCCCCCACCCCUUGGUCAUAUCUCAUGAACUUUCUCUUGCUAUGAUUUUGCCUCUGCUAGAUAUUUUAUAUAAGUAGAAUCAUUUUCUUUAUCUACUCGUCUGUCAAUGGUCACUUAGAUUAUUUCUACUUAAGCUAUUGUGAACCAUGCUGCAAGGAGCAAGGGGAAACAGGUAUCUGUGAGAGUCCCUGCUUUCAAUUCUUUGGGGGACAUACCCAGGGGUAGGGUUCUGGCUCAUGUGGUCAUUCUAUGUUUAACUUUUGGAGGAACUGCUAAAUUGCUGUGCAUUGUGGUUGCCCCAUUUUACACUCCUACUAACAAGGUGGGGGCGUUCUGGUUUCUCCACCUCCACAGCAACACAUUAUUCACUGAUUAUUUUUAUUACAGCUAUUCUAGUGGGUGUGAAAUGGUAUCUCAAAGUUUUGAUUUACAUUUCUCAAAUGGCUAGUGUGUUCAGCAUUUUUUCAUGUUCUUUGGCUAUUUGUAUAUAUUCUUUGGAAGAAUGUCUAUUCAAGUGCCUUGCUCACUUUUGGAUUGUUUUUUUUUGUUUGUUUUUCAGGACAAAUUAAUUUUAAAUAAGCUUUCAGUUCAUAGUAAUUGGGUCUAAAUUAUGUAUAUCUUCAAACUUCUUUAAUUUUGUUUAUUUGAUCUGUCAGAUUUAGAGAAAGAUGUUUCAAAUGUUCCCACCUUAAUUACAGCUUUGUAGAAUGCCUGUAUAUCUAACAGUUUUGCUUUACACGUUUUGAUGAAAGGUUGUUCGAUGCUUCGGGGUUCAUUGUGGUUUUGAGAUCUUGGUUAAAUGUACCUCUGAUGAAUUUAAAAUGUUUCUCUUUUCUUUUUGCACCUGCUUUGCUUGAAUUUUACCUCGCUUAAUGAUGCAUUGCUCACAUUUAAGAUUUGUUUAUAUUAGUUUGGAGUAUUUUGGUCAGCUAAUUUUGCAUCAAACUUGGCAUCAAAUUACUUUAUGUAUAUUUCUAUGAACAGCUUAUGGUAGGAUUUUAUUUUUACUCAAUCUAAGGGAAUUUGUUUUUACUUAUUUAUUAAUUUAAUUUAAUUUAAUUUAUUUAUUUCAAAAGAAAGAGAGAGAGCUUGAGCAGGGGAGGGACAGGAGAGAGAGAAUCCCAAACAAGCUCUGUGCUAUCAGCACAGAGCCUGACACAGGGGUCGAACCCACGAACUGUCAGAUCAUGACCCGAACCGAAAUCAAGAGUUGGCGGCUUAACCAACUGCACCACCCAGGCGCCCUGAGAAUUUGUUUUUGAAACUCUGUUGUCAUCAUUGGUGUGUGGGGUAUUAUUCUUGCUGUCUUUUAUGUACUCCCCCCUCCCCGCCCCAUCGAGUUCUUACGUUUCAUCCUUUUUCUACUUAAUUACUUUCUAAAUAUUCAAGUUCCCUUUGUUUUAGUUUUUCUCUUAUUUAUGGUCCUUAAGGUUUACAUCCUAUUACUUUUCAUUCUACUAGUGGGUACCCUUAAUUUUCUCCAAACACAAGAUGAGGAACAGAUUUGGGGAGUGAUGAUUUCCAUUUUGGAAGGAGUUGCAGGUGGUAGUUUGUCACUGACAUGGGGGGUGGGGGCUCCAUCUCCAGGUUUUAAAGCUCCAAGGCCUGGACAAAGUAUUCUCCGAAGGGGUCCACAGCACACUGUCCUUGGCUAUCACAGCACUGUCCCCCUGUCUUAUAACUGACUCCUCCUUGUCUAUCGCUAGUGGAGGUAAACACUUUAUCUUGUUCACAUAGGACUGCUGUGUCAGCAAAAUGAAUUUUAGUAGAGACUACUGGGGCUUAGCCCUGGGGCGAUCUUCCCACAUUUCAGGGCAAGAACAGUUUCUUUCUUCUCUUUCUUUCCUUCCUUCCUUCUUUCCUUCCUCCCUCCCUCCCUCCUUUCUUUCUUUCUUUCUUUCUUUCUUUCUUUCUUUCUUUCUUUCUUUCUUUCUUUCUUUCUUUCUUUCUUUCUUCUCUUUAUCUUUGAGAGAGAGACAGAGACAGAGCAUGAGCGGAGGAGGGGCAGAGAGAGAGGGAGACACAGAAUCUGAACAGGGCUCCAGGCCCUGAGCUGUCAGAGCCUGACACAGGGCUCCUACUCACGAAUCCUGAGAUGAAGACCUGAGCCAAAGUCAGGCACUUAACCCACGGAGCCACCCAGGUGCCCCAGGGCAAGAACAGUUUCAAUGAUUUUAUCUCAGCUCUUCAGAGGCUUAUCCUGCCGAGAGGUUUCAUGCCCUUGGGCGAUUGCUGGAGGUCUGUGAGAAAACAGUGAGCUCCCGGCCUAGGCCUCGCUGGGCCACAGGCAGCACAGCAGUGGGCGGAGGGAGAGAACCUGCUGGUGUCUUACUGCUGCUGGAUGCCGUAGCCCAUGUUUGGUGAGUGCAUUGAAAUCUCCAGAAAGCACAUCUGAGGCCAGAAGUCACGUUGCUUUUUAGUUCAUUCUCAAGUAUCUCUGACACAGAGGAAGCAUAUUUACGUCCAUUAGUUCUCGUGCCCUGUCCUUAGUCAUCUCGGGCACCGAAAGGGAGAGCGGGACACCCGGGAGGCCAAUUGUGGGAGAGCAUGGGAACCUGUUUCACGAAGCUGUGCAUCCUCUGUGUUUGUGCAAGACAGCCUUGCUCUCAGUCACAUACCCACCAUGGCAGAGAGAAUUUGUGGCAAGGAUAAUUGAAAUCAAGAUCUCUCGUGGCUUACUUCCCACACUGGGAGGUCUGCUCACUCCUCAAAUGUGCCACAGGGACCGAGUAUGUGUAUGUGGGUGCAGAGGGCAUGUGGUGGACAGGAGGAAAGGGUAAGGUGGGCAGAGGGGCAUGCUGAGCCCAGAGGGUCCCUCCUUAAAGACAAUCUCACGCGGAUGAGCUGCAGAAGCCUGUGUUGCACCAGAAGAUUUUGCUUCCUUGCCUGGUUUGAAAGCCUGUUGUUAUCUCUGGGAUCGUUUUUAGAAUUGCAAUUAACAUGGGGCAUGGAUUUCAAGUGAUUGAAAUUGUGGUAUUUACGUUCAAGACUACUGUCUAUUUCAGUAUUGGGUUUGGAGCUGGCUGGGUAUAAUUAGAUACCAGUGUGGUGCGGUACCUUUGGGUUUGAUUUCACUUCAGAACCCCAGACUCAGCCUCGUUUCCCCUCUAAGGAAACCUUAUCUGCUAUGAGAAAUCCAUAUUUUAGUUGCCUCCUCUUUAUCCUGGUGAGGGGGUGGGGGUGUUUUCUGCUCCAGGGUUGUGGAGAUGGCUGGACACAUGAUAUCUGACACGGUACAGAGGAGAUUGGGAGUGGUUCUUUAAUUGUAUGUGCUCACAGCCACAGGCUGUGGUGUGCUCACACCACAGGCCAUGCAGGGCCACGCAGGGGUUGCUCUGGGGAGCGGCUUGAACAACCAAGGGCGGAGAGAGGGAGGCUUUGUAGAAUAAAGAGGAUGAGUUGUCUCUUGGAUCCUGUAGGAGUAUGGGAUUGGCUUGUUUGAGUAAUUCUAUGGGAGUGUAGGAAACAAAAGCCCAUGCUCAAGACUACGGGCCACCUGGGGUCUCAGUUGGCUAAGCAUCGUCUGACUUCAGCUCAGGUCAUGAUCUCACUGUUCGUGGGUUCGAGCCCCACAUCAGGCUCUGUGCUGACAGCUAGGAGCCUGGAGCCUGCUUCGGAUUCUGUAUCUCCCUCUCUCUCUGUCCCUCACCCACUUGUGCUCUGUCUCUCUAUGUCUCUCAAAAAUAAAUAAAUGUAAAAAAAAAAAAAAAAGAAUAAGCAGGCACUGUGCCUGGUCCCUUGGAUAGGGAAGGUUGUUGGCUAGAAGACCUUAUCUGUGGGAACAGAGUUGGGGGUGGGGAGAAUUUGCUGUUAGACCACUUGGGACCUUCCUUCCCAUUUUUACCAGAUGUCAGUAUCAAGCCUUAAUCUCAGGCCUGACAUUACAGUACAACACCACUAUGCAACUCCAAGAAAGAUCAUUCUUUAGAUAUUUAUUUUUGAGAGAGAGAGACAGAGAGAGGAGGGAGGAAGAGGAAAAGAAGGAGCAUAUGCGAGUGGGGGAGGGGCAGAAAGAGAGAGGGGGACAGAGGAUCCGAGGCGGGCUGUACAUUGACAGCAGAGAGCCCGAUGUGGGGCUGGAACUCACAAACUAUGAGAUCAUAACCUGGGCCGAAGUCAGACGCUCAACCGACUGAGACACCCAGGGACCCCCCCAAAAAAUCAUUCUUAUCAUCGUCUUUAGAACAGCACCUAGGCACUCCUGGGCACCCUGAUGAUAGGAUAUAAAGUUCAGAUAACCACCACUCUAUUUCUGUUUUCAUGAAUUUGGCUUUUCUAGAUUCCAUGUGUAAGCGACAUCACAUAGUAUCUGUCUUUCUCUUUCUGACUUAUCUCACUUAGCACAAGGCUCUCCAGGUCCAUCCGCGUUGGUGCAAAUGACAGGCUAUCCUUUCUGGUGGCUGAAUAAUAUUCCAUUGUAUACAUAUACCACAUUUCCUUUAUCCAUUCAUCCAUUGAUGGACGCUUAGGUUGUUUCUGGGUCUUGGCUGUUGUGAACCAUGUUGCAGUAUCUACUGCUUAAGUAUUGUUUUAUUUCAGAGGGAGAAGAACCAGAUAAUAUCUGCUGCUUUACUUACUUGGAGAUGUGUUAGAUGUGGUGGUACUCAAGGUGUGGUCCCCAGGCCUGCAGCAUCAGCAUUACCUGGGAGUUUGGCUAGAAAUGCAAAUUCGUUGGCUUUAUCCAAAACACUGCUGUCUGAACCUUGGGAAAGGGCCCGGGAAUAUGUGUUUUAAUAAGCCCUCCCAGUGAUUCUCCUAUUCUUGUAGACUGAUGACAGUUACUCUCAAUCUAAGUGGAAAGGAGAGAGCAGUAAGGAGAAAAAAAAAAAAAGGUGAAUAAAGGCCAAAUAGUUCUACGCUUCCCCUACCUCAGCCGCUGGUAGAUCGUAAGCCUGUUCCUGUAAACAAAACCCUUUACCUGCCCUGGAAACGGCAAAGAUGAAAGAAAACUGUUAACAUUACAGUUAAUCCUGCAAAACGGCAGGAAAAGGAGUGAGAGUAAUUUUCAGAGAAAACAGUUUUCACAAGAGAAAUCAAAACGUGGGUCAAACUGAUGAUACCAGAAUAGGUGAAGAGAGGCAAAGUACCAAAAAAAUCAGGGCCCGUUUGGUUUAAACUGAUCAAUCAAUUUAAAAUUGCAAAGGUGAGUUUAUUACACCUUCUGCAGUGAGGGAGAAUACCACCGCCACAGAGUCUUAGUGGUGUCUCUGAGUGGGGAAAUUGGAGAAGGAUCUUUAUCAGGCUUUUGGGUCUGAGCUGGAUACUUUUAUUUAUUUAUUUGUAUAUUUACUUAUUUAUUUAAUUUAUUUUUACUUAUUUGAGAUAGACAAAGACAGUGCAAGUAGGGGAGGGGCAGAGAAAGAGAGAGAGAGAGAGAGAGAGAGAGAGAGAGAAUUGCAAGCAAGCUCCACACUGCCAGCACAGAGCCUGACGUCGGGCUCGAACUCACAAAACCGCGAGAUCACGACCUGAGCUGAAACCGGGAAUCAGACGCUUAACCUACUGAGCCACCCCGGUGCCCCUGAGCUGGAUACUUUUAGGGCAGGUCUGCAAGAUUGCAAACUGGUCAGGACUGGGCACAGUUCACGGUGUAAGAGCUUUGGACGGGCGGGGGCAACGUGACAACCUGAAGUAGACCUGAUGAGCAAGUUGUAAGUCUUCGUAAGUAAUAGAAACAAAAUUAAGAAACUCAUUUACAAAAAUGCUUCAUACUACUUCGUAUCACCUCAUUUAAUUAAAAAACAAAAAUUCCAAAGAGCGCCUGGGUGGCUCAGUUGGUUAAGCAUCAGACUCUUGGUUUUGGCUCAGGUCAUGACCUCACGGUCUAUGAGUGCACUGAGCGUGCAGAGCCUUCUUGGGAUUCAUUCUCUCUCUCUCCCUCUCCCUCCCUCUCCCUCUCUCUCCCUCUCCCCUUGCUCUCUCUGUCUGUCUCUAAAAAAAUAAUUAAGUAAACUUAAAAAAAAAUCUUCCAAGAUUCAAACAUUUCUAAAAUAUGACAUAAUCAGCAUCAAAGACUGAAAGCAUGAUCUCCAUGCUAAAAUAGAUUUUAUUUUAUUUUAUUUUAUUAAACGUUUAUUUAUUUUGAGAGAGAGAGAGUGCUAGCAGGGGAGGGGCAGAGAGAGAGGGAGAGAGAGAGAAUCCCAAGCAAGUUCCGCGCUGUCAGCCCGCGGGGCUCGAACGCGCGAACCAUGAGAUCAUGACCUGAGCCAAAACCUAGUCAGACGCUUAACCAAUUGAGCCACCCAGGCACCCCUAAAAUAUAUUUAAGGUAUACAAUGUAUUGAUGUAAUGCAGUUCUAUAUUCAAUAUGAUUACCACUGAGGCAUUAGCUGGUACCUCUCUCACAUCCCAUAAUUAUCAUUUCUUUUUUGUGGUGAAAAUAAUUAAGAAAAAAAUAUUUCAACAUCAGCCUUAGCCUCAAAAUUAUGUGACUUAUUAGCCCUGAAUGUAUGUAAAAAUAUUUGUAAAUUUUGUCAACUCCUGCUUCUUCCUGAUUAUCACUGCUUAUCUAGAAGCAAUUAUGGACUAUUUUCACUGCACCCAAUUCAAGAGUACUUCUGUCCCGUGGGUUUCUUAAUUUAGAACACUAUUUUUUCAUGAUGCUGUCCUCCACCAAAACUUGUAUUUGUAUUAUCAUCCCCCAAUCAAACAACUUUUCCUUUAAUGUUGAGUUUUUAUCAUUGAAUUUGCAACACAUUUACAAUAAUUUCAGAAGUGUUUCACUUUUGUGACAGGAUGAGCUUCAGAAAGCUUUGCUAGAAUUUCAUAAACUGGGUGAAAAAAUUGCACCACUUAUGGAAUCAACCUAAUUUUCUACUUGAAGCAUCUCAUGCUUGCAAAGUGCUUGUUUUUCUAAUUGUACUGGGACAUGAACAGCUGUUGCUUUACUUUUUUAUAGGCACAAGGAAACUUGGAAUAAGUGUGAGAAAAAUUAUUUUAGAAGUGUCUAAGUGAUCUCAAUUGUAUUAUUUUCAUUUGAUCUAGAUGACAAGUCAUGUUUCACAGGGAUAUGUAAAUAUACUUUCUGCAUAACUGCAUGCAUGAACUUGUCCUCAGGCACAAUGUUCUUUAAAUAACUCUGAAAUAACAGGGUAUAUUGGUCUCUGACCCCUGUUCAUGCUAAUUUGUCAUCUCUGUUCCCGGUUCCUGACACAGAGCUCAUAAAACCUUUGUAGUUCCCCGAGUGAUAGGAGCAUUCUUUGUUCUAAUGAGGUGACUCUUGAUGGAGCUCCUCGAUAGGGCCUGGUCACCAGAAAUACCAAGCCAUGGUAAGAAUCAUGGAAUUUCCAGGGCAACUUCUCAUUCUCCAGGGCGGAGAUGGGCUGGAAAAUGAGUUAAAAAUCAAUCAUGAUCACAGGAUUAAGACUCUAUAAAAAUCCCAAAAUUAUGGGGUUUGGAGAGCUCCUGGGUUGGUGAACACAUCUAAAUGCCUGGAGAGUAGCACAGCCCAACUCCAUGGGGGCACAAGUUCCUACACAUGAGACCCUUCUGAGCCUUGCUCUCCGUAUCUCUUCAUCUGGCUGUUCAUCCAUGCCCUUUAUUAUGUCCUUCAUAAUAAACUGAUCAAUGUAAGUGAGGGUUUCCCUGACUUCUGUGAGCCAUUUUAGCAAAUUAUUUAACUUAAGGUAGGGGUCCUGAGAACUCUGAUUUGCAGCUGGUUGAUCAGUAUGAGUGACAAACUGGGGCUUGUAACUGAGUCUCAAGUGGGGCCAUCUUGUGAGACUGAGUCCUUAACCUGUGAGGUCUGAUGCUAUCUCCAGGCAGAUGGUGUUACCAGGAUUACAGGAUACUGAACUGGUGUUGGAGAACCAAUCAGUGUGGGAAAAACCCACACAUCUGGUGUGAGAGGUGUUACGAGUGAGGGUCAACGAAAAUCACGACGAGUUUUUCCUGAACAGUAGGUGAUAACUUUUGACACUGAUGGGGAUACUUCUUCAGCAGACCCUUAUCUUUUGAUUUUCACUGUCAGCUUAUUGCUGCCUACAGGGCUUAAUCUGAAAAAAAAAAAUUACCAAAAACUGAAAUGAAGUAAUGCCUGUAGUUGGACACCAUACAAUAAAUAGCAAAGCCACUAAAGCAAGAACACCCUUUCUGCACACUGUAUAAUUUAUAAUGGGACAGCUCUGUCUCUCCGUCUGCACAUUUGGCACACUCUUAACUUGCAGCCUCCCUCCUUUGCCAUUGACCUUGCCAGCGUGAGUUCAGAGACUUUAUGCAUCUUGCAGACUGUAGCCCAGACCGUGGGGUCAGCCAGGGACAGACAGUAGCACAGAAUCUUUCUCUUACCUCCUCCUAAGACCAAUGGCAUUAGCUGUUCCCAAACAUUCAUGUUCAAGCGCACUUCAUUUUAUCAUCAGUUGACUUGCUUGCAGUCAUUUGAGAGACAAACGUUACAUUUGUUACAUCUGGAAAAGGUUGGGGGUAGCAUGUAGGUUUAGCCAUUAGCAUAUGUGUCUUACAUGUUGCCAGAUUGUAAGAGAAGCUGGAACUUCAAAGUGAAACACCUGUUAAACCCAGCUUGCAUUAUUUUGAUAGAACUGUUAAUCAUGAUGCUCGAUUAGAAAAUGGGCAAGUGCAAAAGUUGACGAGACCUGAAGGCAACGGAGAUAAAGUGGUACUGAGCUGGGAAAACCAGGUCACAUGGUCACCCUACCUACACCUACACCCACACCCACAUCUAUUUCUGUCUAUAAAUGUCUCUCUGCUCUCUUAAGACCCAGGUAAGAUGGGCUCAUCCUCUUGCCUUGUAAGUGCCCAGUGCCCUUUCCAAAAUGUUUGUGGCUACCAGGGCCUUGCCUUGUCAUGGUUACCUCUGGCCCUAACUUUCUGAUUCUUCUGAAUUAUUGUUCACACCUCUGUUUUCUUUUUUUUGAUUUUUUUUUUUCAACGUUUAUUUAUUUUGGGGACAGAGAGAGACAGAGCAUGAACGGGGGAGGGGCAGAGAGAGAGGGAGACACAGAAUCGGAAACAGGCUCCAGGCUCUGAGCCAUCAGCCCAGAGCCUGACGCGGGGCUCGAACUCAUGGACCGCGAGAUCGUGACCUGGCUGAAGUCGGACGCUUAACCGACUGCGCCACCCAGGCGCCCCUCACACCUCUGUUUUCUAUUUUAAUUUACAUUUUGGCAUCAAAGGAAAUUCAACUCCUUUUUUGAUUUCUACAAAGCAGCAACUUCUGUGGCAGAUGUUAUUGGAUGUUGGUUGUUGGAUGACAAAUUUGGACAUUGAAAGAGGAGCAAACACCUUAUGUCCCAAGUGACUUAAAACUGAAUAUUCUGUCUCUUCGCUUCUCAAAUUCCUCUUUCAUGCCCUCAUCCAUUCUUGCCCUCCUGGCACCACCUUCACAGGACCCCUCCCUCUCUCCAUCCAAUUUAUACAAUUUUUGUUACGUAGUGUGAUUAACAUUCACUGGAUUUGUACUCAAACUCAGCUCCAGGCAUCCUGAGUGGAGACAAAUCUUUAGGACUUACUAGGACUUAUUUAAGACAAAUUAGGACUUAUAAGGAAGUCCCAAAUUAAAUACUGUUUUUUUUUUCCUAAUUUAUGUGUGGUUGAUGGGGAUGGUUUUGUUUUUCCAUAUACACUUCUAUACAUCCAUAUAGAUAUUAUACACACACACACACACACACACACACACACACACAUAUGUCCAUACAUACAUAUGUGUGUAUGUGUAUUUGUGUAUGUAUUUCUAUAUUUCUUCCAAAACAUUUCCUCAGCCUGUGGGUUUGGAUGAGAUCACAUUAACAUUAACACCCAAAUUUCAUUUGCUCACAACAUCCACUUCUCUGUAGGGCCUCACUCACAGCCGCCCCAAUGAUGAUGGUUCCCAGGCGUCUCAUCACACAAAUAAAUGUUCUUUAUUGGAUGCUGCUGUGAUUCUAUCAGAGGCCCUCCACAUCCAUGGGGCUUCCAGUGGUGGUUAGCAUGUUUUCCGAUCCCUAGAGCCCCUCCUGGCACUUUGCCACAGUUCCUGAGAUCAUCACCAACAUGGUGGCAACGGGCCCAGCACAGCAGUGAUGUGAUCUUCCUAAAGGUGGGCCAAGAGCUCAUCUCCCAGACGCCGUGUCAUAGCUCUUCAUCUGGAGCUCCCCGUACGGUUCACAGCUUACCCAUCUUUCUCCUGACCCUGUCUACAGGCAUCUCCGUCCAACAAAUUCCUCCUGGCAGUCAUCUUUCCUCACCUACAUUCCAAAUGUGAAUCAAGUGACAUCGACACUUGUGUGUCCCUGGCCCCACACACAGCUAUGUGUACAUAUCAGUUUAGAUUCAUGCGGGAAACUGGCCCCGGUUUUUUUUGUUUGUUUGUUUGUUUGUUUGAUUUGUUCCUAGAUUCUUAGAAUCACUGGUGCAGCAAGAGCUGUUUUCUUCUUUCUUUCUUUCUUUCUUUCUUUCUUUCUUUCUUUCUUUGAUUUAUUUUUGGUUGUUGUGGUGGUGGUGGUGGCAGCUGUAGGGGAGGGCUGGGAAAAAGAACUAACAUAUUAUAAAUACUUUUGAUUCUAAGGUGCAUCUCAAUUUUAAAAACUUUCAAAAGUGAAAAAAAAUCAAACUUAAACUUGAAGAAAGAGAUCUAAUUUAGUGGGAUUUGGGGGGUGAGGCAGGAGAUAUUUUGGGGAAAUUUGCUUUUGUAUUUCCUUUAUUCCAAAAAAACCCUGCCGUGGUGCCUGGGUGGCUCAGUCAGCUAAGCGUCCGACUUGAGCUCAGGUCAUGAUCUCGCAGUUCAUGACUUUGGGCCCCACAUGGGGCUCUGUGCUGACAGCUCAGAGCCUGGAGUCUGCUUCUGAUUCUGUGACUACCUCUCUCUGCCCCUCCCCAACUCGUGCGCUGUCUCUCUCUCACAAAUAAGCAAACAUUAAGAAAUUUUGAAAAGGGGCGCCUGGGUGGCGCAGUCGGUUAAGCGUCCGACUUCAGCCAGGUCACGAUCUCGCGGUCCGUGAGUUCGAGCCCCGCGUCAGGCUCUGGGCUGAUGGCUCAGAGCCUGGAGCCUGUUUCCAGUUCUGUGUCUCCCUCUCUCUCUGCCCCUCCCCCGUUCAUGCUCUGUCUCUCUCUGUCCCAAAAAUAAAUAAAACGUUGAAAAAAAAAAAAAAUUUAAAAAAAAAAAAAAAAGAAAUUUUGAAAAAAGACUACCUUAUACCUUGGUGCAAACUUAUUAUAUAUUCAAUAUGUAUUUACGAGAAGUAGAAUUUUAGAGCUAGACAAGGUGAAUUUCCUUAUUAACAAGUUGGGGCUCAAAGACUUCAGCGAUGUUGCAAGGGAACAGGACCGGAUAUGACUCAAUAGGCAAUAUGCAGUUUUUCUGCCUUUCUGUUCACAACAUUUUAUCCAAAGAAAGAUGAUGUGCAUUUAAAGCAGUCAUUUUAUCAUGAAAAGCUUCUUUACCAUCAGUGUUGCCCUUAUUUUGAAGAGCUGAAACAUGCACUUAAUUCUUUGGAAGAUGAACCGUCUGUAAUUCGGCAAGAGAAGUUUGGGAAUAUUUUUGUGUUACUGAUGUAGAAGGACAGCUGUAACCAAAAGCAAUAGUUUAUAAAUAUUCAGUGUGUCUUGGGGUGCCUGGGUGGCUCAGUCGGUUAAGCAUCGACUUCAGCCCAGGUCAUGAUCUCGUGGUUCUAGGGUUCAAGCCCCCCAUCGGGCUCUGGGCUGACAGUUCAAAGCCUGGAGCCUGCUUCAGAUUCUGUGUCUGUCUCUCUCUCUCUGCUCCUCUCCUGCUCCUCUCAAAAAUAAAUAAAAACAUGGGGCGCCUGGGUGGCGCAGUCGGUUAAGCGUCCGACUUCAGCCAGGUCACGAUCUCGCGGUCCGGGAGUUCGAGCCCCGCGUCAGGCUCUGGGCUGAUGGCUCGGAGCCUGGAGCCUGUUUCAGAUUCUGUGUCUCCCUCUCUCUCUGACCCUCCCCCGUUCAUGCUCUGUCUCUCUCUGUCUCAAAAAUAAAUAAACACUUAAAAAAAAUAAAAAUAAAAAAUAAAAAAAAUAAAUAAAAACAUUAAAAAAACAAAUAAAUACAAACAGUAGAAAAAAAAUUUUUUAAAUAUUCAGUGUGUCUAACAAUGGGAAUCUUUUUUGAUGAAAUAAGCACAAAAACUUCUGGAUAUAUUUCACAUAAUAAAAUAAAUGUGAAAUUAUAUAAAAGUCAAAGACUUGUUUUAGCCAGAUUUAUAUGAGAAGUUAAAGAUAUCCUGUUAUCCAGCCAUCUUGGGGUUUCUCUUUCCUUUUCAACAUCCUGAUUUAUUGGAGAAGAAAUACAACCCAAGAGAACUCACCGUAAAAUUACUCAUAUGAGUAGGAGAGCUCUGUAAUGUAGAUGGAUAUAACAAUAAAGAUUAGAAAUUUUUUCUGUUAAUGAUCAGUUAUGAAAGUGGUAGAAAACAGAUAGGAUUAAUUAAAUCAAUGGAGGGGUGCCUGGCUGGCUAAAUCGGUUAAGCAUCUGACUCUUAGUUUCGGCUCAGGUCAUGAUCUCACGGUUCGGGAGUUCAAGCCUCACGUCAGGCUCUGCAUUGACAGUGAGGAGCCUGCUUAGGAUUCUCUCUCCCCCUCUCUCUCUGCCACGCUCCUGCUUGUGCGCGCUCUCUCUCUCUCAAAAUAAAUCAACAUUAAAAAAUAGCAUCAAUACAAAAAUAAAUAAUAGAAUGAAUGUUGUACAACAUUCUUUUUGUACAAAAGGAAGGUCAUUUGCCUGCAAGAAACUGAGAACUUAAAUUAAGGAAGUAUUGUUACCUGUUUUAAAAAAAGAAUGUUCCAAGGUAGGCAGCAAAAGGCUAAUUAAAGUGGUGGUUCCAUAGGCACCCAGUUACCUUUUCCCUUUCUAUUCCACCUUCCUUGGCCACAGUUUCCGACUCUACAGUGACCUUAGGGUCCAGGAUAACCAUUUGUUGUUCCCAUCAUGUCACAUUUGCAUUCGUCAGUUUCCAGUUGGCGAGAAUUGAAUCUACUUUAGCCUUUAGCCACUGCACACAAAAAUGACUGCGUCCCCGCAUUCUAAAGGGCUUAUAGAAUCAGAGAAGGCUGAAAAAACAACCUCCCGUCUAAGCUUUCAGGAAUGAACUCCCAAGUCACAUGAAAAAACCAGGCCACCGAGGGUCCUGCUGUCCCUACUGCGACCAAGAAGCUGGUUGCCUGGUGAGAGAGCUGCCCCUUCACUUGCUGGAUUCAGACCCACACGGCUACUGCACAGUCAGAGCCACCCAAUCCCUGGAGUCACCUGACCACAAAGCUACAAUGAUUGGAGAGUCGGAGUCACUGCUGGGGUUUUCGGAACCAAGGUGUUUCUGCUUCAGUCUGCACCCACGACUUCAGUGACCGAAAAUGGGGUCCUCAGCUAAUGCUUCCCCGGCUAACUGGAUCCCACACAGUGAGGCUUGCCGGCAUAAACAGUAGAACGAGCACAUCUGCAUUCUGCUUACUCCUGCCUUCCAGAUCUUUCAUGCAUGCAUCAGAGGGGUCAAACAUUUACCAUGUCCAGAACCUUACUUGCAAGGAAAUCUGGAGAAAGUCAUUUCUUAAAAUAUUUUAAAAUGUUUAUUUAUUUUGAGAGAGAGACAGAGACACAUCAUGAGCAGGGGAGGGACAGAGAAUGAGGGAGACACAGAAUGCGAAGCAGGCUCCAGGCUCCCAGCUGUCAGCACAGAGCCCGACGUGGGGCUUGAACUCACAAACUGCAAGGUCAUGACCUGAGCUGAGGUCGGAUGCUUAACUGACUGAGCCACCCAGGCGCCCCUGCGGAAAAUCAUUUUUAGCUUUCUCAUCUCUGAAAUGUUGAAAGACAAUGCUCGCAGGGAGUUGCAAUAGACAGUAAGCCAAUCUUCCAACCCGCUGAAACAUUCCAGGAGAAGGAAAGGGGAGCGUCAAAAGACAGCCUCUCCCAUGAGAUCAGCUGGCUUUAGAAAGCUUUUCCUGAGGCCUUAACCAAUGAUUUCCAUUUGCCAUUCAUUACCCACUCCUUCCUGUAAAGGAGACUGGAAAAAUAGUAUUUUAGCUGAGCAUAUUGCUUCCUGUAAUAAAACCAGAGUUUUAUCAAUAAGAAAGAAGUAAGUAGGAGCGUGCCUGGGUGGCUCAGUCAGUUGAGCGUCCGACUUCAGCUCAGGUCAUGAUCUCGCGGUCUGUGAGUUUGAGCCCCGCAUCGGGCUCUGUGCUGACAGCUCAGAGCCUGGAGCCUGCUUCAGAUCCUGUGUCUCCCUCUCUCUCUGCCCCUCCCCUGCUCAUCCUCUGUCUCUCUCUGUCUCUCAAAAAUAAAUAAAUGUUAAAAACAAAAAAAAUUUUUUUUAAAAAAGAAAGAAGCAAAGAAGAUCAUGGUUACCUGGCAAGUAAUUAACAGCUUCAGCUGCAGCCUACCCUUUUUAUUUCUCAGCAUCUAUACUCGUCCUUCUUUUCUUCCAUAGAACACAUCACCUCUUUCCUAAGGAGACAGCCCAAGUCCUCAUCCAGGGAAGGCACCUCACUCAAGGGCCAGAGAGAGAAAUGUGGCCCUCCGUAUCAGGUCCAAGUGUGGUCUCUUAUGUCCAGGAAUGUAUAAAAAUAGAAAAAAUUAUUUGCUGCCGGUGCAAUUAUGAUGAAGAAACAGGAUCGUGAUGGUUGAACUCUUCCUUUCGGAAAGGGGUAAUGGGCAGAUGUAUCAGUCACUAUUUCAUAGCAAUGAUGAAAUCCUGCUGGGCAAGAUUAGCAAGGCUUCCUGCUCUGGCAGAGCCGUUAGCUUAUCUGGAAGUUCUGUGCUCCAGGGGGUUACUUCCCCACUGGUUCCAUUCUGAGUUUGCCUCUUUCAUGGGACAAUAUUAAAUAAAGUGAGUACCUAACACAUGCCAACAGCUACCAUUUUCCUAUAUUUUCCCUGAUGUGGCAGACACCUUCUGACCUUCAAAGUACAACAGGCAACGGUUUGAUCAUGCAUUGCCCACAGCAUCACCAAGGUCAACAGCUUUCCAGAUGUUAACAGGUAGAUUCUCCCAGCCCAAAGCAUAGCCGCCUUCCCAAGACAAGUGUAACUACGAAUGUUUCUAUGAAUAUGCACCUAGAUUAAAACAGUGCACUGAGCUUUAUCGUGAAACUAAAAAGAAGUCAGUAGAACACAAAUAAUUGCUUAGGAGGGAAAACAAAAAAUUUUAAGCAUCAAUCUCCCCCCAAAUACAGGUUUAACACAAUUCAAAUUCCAGUCCUAACAUUCCUGCAUGAUUCUUUGAAACUUAGCAAGUUCUUCUAAAGCUCAUCUAGAAGAAAAAUGCAUAAGAACCAACUAGAAAAUGUUUGAAACAAGAGAGAAGAGGGUAACUUGCCAUCAAAAAACUUGUAGAUGAAUGCACAUAGCAUUAUUUUUCAUAAUAGGCAGAAGGUAGAGACAAAUGUCCAUCAACAGGUGAAUGGAGAAGAAAAUGUGGCACAUUCGUACAAUGGAAUAGUAUUCAGCCAUGAAAAGGAAGGAAGUAGUGAGAAGAGCUACAACUUGGAUGAGACCUCACAAACAUUAUGUGAAGUGAAAGAAGUCAGACACAAAAGAUCGCAUAUUGUAUGAUUCCUUUUUUAUGAUAUAUUCAAGAUAGAUGAGUCCAUAGACACACAGAUUAGAAUUGGGGGGAAGGGAAAAAUGGAGUGUAAUUACUUUAGAGGUGUAGGGUGUUUCUAUAAAGAUUAAAAAUAAAUUGAAACCAAAAAAUAUGGCAGUUGCCUAACAUUGUGAAUACACUAAAUACUACUUAACACGGAAUGUUAAAGUGACUAAUUAUAAUUAAUAACAUGAUUAAACAAUGGCAAGAGGACCUAAAGAGGCAUUUUUGGAAAGAAGACAUAUAGAUGGCCAGCCGACACACAAAAAAGAUGUUCAACAUCACUAAUCAUCGUGGAAACGUAAAUCAAGAAUCAUGCACAACAUAUAUCACCUCACAGAAUGGCUAGAAUCAAAAGACAAGAAAUAACAUGGGUUGGCAAGGAUGUGAAGAAAAAGGAACCCUCACGUAUUGUUGGUGUGAAUGCAAACUAGUGCAGCCGCUAUGGAAAACAGGGUUUUCCCUCAACAGGUUUUUGAGGGUUCUUCAAAUAUUAAAAAAAUAGAAUUAUUAUAUUAUCAAGUAAUCCCACUACUGGGUAUUUACCCAAAGAAAAUGAGAACACUAAAUUGAAAACAUACAUGCUCCCCUAUGUUUACUGUAGCAUUGUUGACAAUAGCUAAGAUAUGGAAGCAACCCAAGAACCUAAGUGUCCAUCUUUAGAUGAAUGAAUAAUAUAUAUAUAUGUAUAUACGUAUAUAUGUGUGUGUAUGUGUGGUGUGUACAUAUAUGUGUGUGAAGGUAUAUAGAUAUAUAGACAUAAUAGAAUAUUACUGGAAUAUUACUCGGCCAUAAAGAAGAAUGAGAUCUUGACAUUUGCACCAACAUGGAUGGACUCUAGAGGAUAUAAUGCUAAGUGAAUAAAUCAGGUGAAGAAAAACAAAUACUGUAUGAUUUCACUCAUAUGUGGAAUUUAAGAAACAAAACCAAUGAAUAAAGAAAAAGGAGACAGGGGCGCCUGGGUGGCGCAGUCGGUUAAGCGUCGCGUCCGACUUCAGCCAGGUCACGAUCUAGCGGUCUGGGAGUUCGAGCCCCGAGUCGGGCUCUGGGCUGAUGGCUCGGAGCCUGGAGCCUGUUUCCGAUUCUGUGUCUCCCUCUCUCCCUGCCCCUCCCCCGUUCAUGCUCUGUCUCUCUCUGUCCCAAAAAUAAAUAAACGUUGAAAAAAAAAAUUAAAAAAAAAAAAAAAAGAAAAAGGAGACAAAUUCUUUCUUUAAUGUUCAUUUAUUUUUGAGAGAGAGAGAAAACGCUAGCUGGGGAGGGGCAGAGAGAGAGGGAAACAGAAGAUCCAAAGCAGGCUCUAUGCUGACAGCAGAGAGCCUGACGUGGGGCUCGAACUCACGAACAGUGAGAUCAUGACCUGAGCCGAAGUCGGACACUUAACCGACUGAGCCUCCCAGGUGCCCCAAUGUUUAUUCAUUUUUGAGAGAGAUUGCAUGAGGGGAGGAGAAGCAGGGUGGGGGGGGACACAGUUUCUAAAACAGGCCCUACCCUGACAGCAGCAAGCCCAAUGAGGGGCUUGAAGUGAGAUCAUGACCUGAGUCAAAGUCGGACAUUCAACCAACUGAGCUACCCAGGCACAUGGCCAAUUUAAUUAGCAGAGAUGAAAACUGAGAAAUGUUAAUAAUGGUAUGGACACACAACUAUCAGAAUUGUGCAGGGGAUCUAUUAAUAAAAGGAAAAAAGAUGUAAUGGACACUAGAGGAUAGAAGAAGUCUUUAAAAAUUUUUUUAAAUUUUUAUUUAUUUUUGAGAAAGAGAGAGAGAGUGCAAGCAGGGGAGGAGAAGAGAGAGAGAGAGACACAGAAUCCAAAGCAGCUCCAGGCUCCCGGCUGUGAGCACCAGAGCCUGACACAGGGCUUGAACCCACCAACCAUGAGAUCAUGACCUGUGUCGAAGUCAGACGCUCAGCCGACUGAGCCACCCCGGGACUCCAAAGCAGUUUUUAACAUAGCAUGCACACAACAUUUCUAAGGAAAAGAAUUUUAAAAAUAUAAAGAAAGUAUAUAACUUCCAACAAGUAGAGAGAAAACAUGGCAUGAGAGAAAAUAUCCAUCAGUCUAAUUGAAAUCCAGAAAGGAGAAGGAAAUUAACAUUCAAGGGUUGGGACAAAUGAAAAGCACAAAAUAAGAUGGUUAAAAAAAUACAUCCAAAUAUAUCAGUCAUUAUAAUUGAUAAAAUGACAAAAAAAAUCCCUCCCUAGUUUAAAAAGAUUGAGAAAAAGUAAAAAAAAAAAAUUAUGUAGUUAAAUGUUGUUUAAAGAAGAAAUAGAACAUAAAAAUUCUGAAAAGGUGAAGUUAAAGGAUGAAGCAAACUGGUGUAGCCACUCUGGAAAGCACUGUGGAGGUUCCUCUGAAAGUUAAAAACAGAACUACCUAUGAUACAGCAAUUGCACUACUAGGUAAUUCCCCAAAGAAUACAAAAAUACUAACUUGAAGGGGCACAUGCACCCUGAUGUUUAUAGCAGCACUAUUGAUAAUAGCCAAAUCGUGGAAACAGCCCAAGUGUCCAUCGACUGAUGAGUGGAUAAAGAAGAUGUGGCAUAUAUAUAUAUAUAAUGGAAUAUUAUUUGGCCAUAAAAAAGAAGAAAAUCCUGUAACAAUGUGAAUGUAGCUAGAGAGUACUAUGCUAAAUGAAAUAAGUCAGUCAGAGAAAGAAAAAUACCAUACGACUUCACUUUUAUAUGGGAUUAAAAAAACGGAACAAACUAUCAUGGUGGGGGGGAAAGAGAAAGGAAAACCAAGAAACAGACUCUUAACUACAGAGAACACACUGGUCAUUGCCAGAGAGGAGGGGGGUGGGGGGUUGGGAGAAACAGGUUAUGGGGAUUAAGGAGUGCACUUGUGAUGAGCACUGGGUGAUGUAUGGAGGUGUUGAAUCACUUUAUUAUAUACCCAAAGCUAAUAUUAUGCUGUUACCUAACAAAUUAAAAUAAAAGCUUUUUUUAAAAGGAAGCUUUAUUCAGUCAGGCAGCCAACAAAUAUUAGCAUUCAUUAGAUUCAUCUAAAUUUUCAGAUACAUAUUCCAAAAUCAGUAAACAUUUUUUAGAAAGAAUUAAUGAAGGGGCACCUGGGUGGCUCAGUCGGUUAAGCGUCCGACUUUAGCUCAGGUCAUGAUCUGCGGUUUGUGAGUUCGAGCCCUGCGUUCAACCCUGUGCUUACAGCUCGGAGGCUGGAACCUGCUUCGGAUUCUGUGUCUCCCCCUCUCUCUGCCCCUCCCGUGCUCAUGCUCUGUCUCUCUCUGUCUCUCAAUAAUAAAUAAAUGUUAAAAAAUUUUUAAAAAGAAUUAGUGAAGUACUAAACAAUAGGAAGCAAAUUGACCUAUAUUAAUAGCAGCUUAAGGUGAAUUUAAGGCAACAGCACUAAUGGAAAUAAAACUGAGUUUCGGGGUACCUGGGUGACUCAGCUGGUUAAGUGUCCAACUCUUGAUCUCAGCUCAGGUCUUGAUCUCAGAGUCAUGAGUUCAAGCCCCACAUUGGACUCUAAAGCCUACUUUAAAAAUAAAUAAAAUUUAAGGGGGCACCUGUGUGGCUCAGUCGAUCAAUUCCAACUCAUGUCUCAGGUCUUGAUCUCAUAGUUGUGGGUUCAAGCCCCAUGUUGAGCUCUGCGCUGGGCACGAAACCUACUUAAAAAAAAAUCUGACAGUUACAAAAUAUACAAAAUAUCAAAGGUUGAAUUCACAGAAAAGAUAUUUAAAACAUAAACUAGUAUGAACCCAACAAUUUAACUUCAAAAUGUAUUCGAUAGAGAAUAUUGAAGGAACUAUGAGGAGAAUCGUCAAAACCAGGCUACCCUGUCAGUAACUGAUGGGUCAAGUGAAGAAAACUCAGUGAAGAAGCACCUGGGUGGCUCAGACAGUUAAGAGUCUGAAUUCAGCUCAGGUCAUGAUCUCGCGGUUCGUGGGUUUGAGCCCCAUGUCGGGCUCUGUGCUCAAAGCUCAGAUCCUGGAGACUGCUCCAGAUUCUGUCUCCCUCUCUCUCUGCCUGUUCCCCACUAGCAUUCUGUCUGUCUGUCUGUCUCUCUCUCUCUCUCUCUCUCUCAAAAAUAAAUAAACAUUAAAAAAAAACCAAUGAAGACUGAAAGUUUUGAUCAACACAAUUAAGAUACUUAAUUAAUGGACUUGGAGAAAAUUUCACUAUUUAGUAAAAAAGCCAAGUGACUGAAGAAUAAUGGAGUACCAUAACACACACAUAAUUACAGGAAGUUGAAAAAUUUGCAAAACCAACAAAACCAUUAUUUGGGAAAUCAACAUCUAUGGUAAACCUAUAAAAAGAAACAAAUAAGUUGAAAGACAGAACGUUUUUAUUUUAGGGUUUUUUUUAUUUAAAAAAAAAAGUUUUUUAAUGUUUAUUUUUGACAGAGAGAGAGAGAGAGACAGAGCAUGAGUGGGGGAGGGGCAGAGAGAGAGGGAGACAGAAUCCAAAGGAGGCUCCAGGCUCUGAGCUGGCAGCACAGAGCCCGACGCGGGGCUCGAACUCCCAGGCAGCGAGAUCAUGACCUGAGCUGAAGUCGGACGCUCAACCGACUGAGCCACCCGGGUGCCCCUAUUUUAGGUUGUAUCUACCUACUCCCUAUAAUGAAAGAUGGGGAUAAUGUGUACCUGUCCACUUCUUCUGACUUCCUUUCUUUUCUCUUGUGUUUUCAAGGUUGCAGACAUUAAUGUUGUAUUCUGUAAAUACAUGUGUGAGAAUGACUGGAUCCCUGUCCUGGACAGCAGUUGGCUUCACCCAGUUUCAACAAGAUGAAUAUUCCAAGACUGGCCUCGGGUGGCUCCUGCUCAUACUUCCAUAAGGAUAUUAAGGUGAUCAGCAAGAUGUCAACAAGAGGGUCGCUACUAGUAUGUUUCUAGACUCCUGCUCUGGAGAGUGCCUCUUUCUACUCCCUAGGCAAGGAAACUAAGGAAAGUCUCACCUCCAAAAGUCUGUGAACAAUUUAAAAGGAGAAAUUUGGGUAAGACGAGCUCUUCUGGCAUGGACGUGGUACAAAUUUACUAGUUUGAAUAAUAGCACAGAUAUAUAAAGAAUAUGGUUCACACUGCUCAGUUGCCCCAAUCCCAAGUGGCUUGAGAGCUCUGUGGCUCUUGAAAUCUAAGAAAACUCCCUGUCUCAGGAUGGGGCACUGCUUAUUAAUUUCCCAGCUGAUAGUGAGAGAUUUCUGUGUGCCCUUAAAAAACCCACAAAACCCACUGUAAUUCCUUUUUCUAAACCAUACAGAUAAACUGUGGAUUCGUGAAAAUCUAACAUGAAAAGUCCCUUUGUCAUGGACAGUCUCACCUUUCCAAAAUCCAAAAGUCAUUUUUAAAAAUCUGAUAAAUUCUACCACAGAAAGUAUAUAUAAACACCAUAAACAAAGUCAAAAGAAAAAUGUCAAAACAGGGGAAAUAUGUACAAUUUGUAUCAAAGAUAAAAGCCUCUUCUUCCCCAUGAAAUGAUGGACAGAGGAGGUGCACAGAUUGUUCACAGAAAAAGACACAGAAGUGGUCCCUAAACACAAAAAAAUGCACAAAACAGGAUAACCAAACAGAAGGAAAAAGCAAAUAAGAGGUACCAUUUUUUACCAAUUAGACAAGCAAAAUCCAGCACUUUGAUAACACAUUCUGUUGAUUAGCUGCGAGUAAACAGGCUCCAACAUACAAUAAGGGAGUCAGAAAUGGUAUUACUCCUAUGGAGAAAAAUUUCAGCCUAGAUAAUGCUGACUCAGAAAUUUUACUUCUGGGAAUUUAUUCCAUACACAUCUUUUUUUUUUUUUUUGUUACAGCAAAAAAUAGCAAAAGCCCAAGUCUUAUCAAAUGUUUGCUCAGUGCUGUCCAACAAAAAUGUGAGUCAGUUUGUAAUUUUUAGUAUUCCGGUGUCUACCUUCAAAAAAAAUAAAAAUAAUCAGGUAUGCUUUAUUUUAAUAACAUAUUAGCCCAAUAGAGACAAAAGAUUUCCACUCUGACAUGUAAUCAAUAUAAAAAACUAUCAAUGAGAUAUUUUACAUGACUUUUUUUCAUACUAAGUUCUCCAAAGCCAAUGUCUAUUACACGCAACAGACAUCUCAAUCCAGGCUAGCAAGACCUCAGGCAUUGAACGGCCACAUGUGGCCAGGGGCAGCCCAGUUAAAUGGUUAAGUGAAUUAUUAAAUAAAUUAUUAAUCUUAGACUGAGUUCCCCAGAGAGUGAAACCUGCUGCAAAAAUGUGAAGUGAGGCCAAGAAGAUACAUUCCAAAUGAAGGAGCUUAAUGAAACCAGCACCACUCGGUGUCAAGAGUGUUUUCUGGGUGCUGGAUCCUAUAAUGCCCAUACAAUCCUGUAAUUCAACUAUGAUGCCUGCAUCUCAGGUCAGUUCCAGGGGAUAAGUGAAGGAGGAAGUAAGAAUCUAUCUGUAGACUCCUGUCGCCCACUGGGCAAAGGUUCAUGCCACAGGGUUUAAUUCCAGGCAUUUAUAGGCUGUGCAUUCCUGGGCACCCACCUCUCCUGCAGCAUCCCAGUCCCAGCUAACCUGGAGGACUGGGGCAGGAAACAUCAGAGAGGGUGGUAGGCGAGGCAUCUCUAGGUUGCGCACUCAUGAAUUUGAUUGUAUGACAACUAAUUAUCAAAACGGUGAGCCUGGAAAAAGUGGAUAAUGGUCCCAGAGACAAAUGUGGCUCAGAGGAUCCGGAGUGAUUCAUAAGACGUGUCUGAGGUGCACACUGAACAUUCUCUAAGAUAGAUCACCUACCUCAUGGUAGGUCAUGAAACAAGUCUCACCAAAUUUAAGAAGAUUAUAAUCAUUCCAUACUUCCCAAAGUGAUCUACAGAUUCAAUGCAAUCCCCACUGAAAUCCUGAUGGUGCUUCUUAUAGAAGUGGUGAAAACAAUCCUAAAAUUUAUUUUGAACCACAAAACCCUAAAGAGCCAAAGAAAUUUUGAGCAAGAAGAACAAAGCUGGAGGCAUCACACUCUGAUUUCAAAACAUAUUAAUUACAAAGCUAAAGUAAUAAAACAGUAUGGUAGUGGCAUUAAGAAUAGACAUAGACACUAAUGGAGGAAAAUAGCGACCCCGGUAAUAAUCCCACACAUAUAUGGUCAACCGAUAUUCAACAAGGAUGCAAAAGGUACACAGUGGGCAAAGGACAGUCUCUUCAAUAACUUGUGUUAGGAAAAUCAGAUAUUCACAUACAAAAGAAUGAAGCUGAACCCUUUUGUCUCACCACAUAUGAAAAUCAACACAAAAUGGAGGUAAAACUUGAAACAGUAAAACUCCUGGAAGAAAACAUAGGGAAAGAGCUUGCAGGCCUUGGACUGGAGAAUGAUUUCUUAGACAUGACACAAAAAGCACAGGAAACAGAAUGAAAAAUAAACAAGGGACUACAUCAAACUAGAAAGUCUCUGCACAACAAAGAAAAUAAUUAACAAAAUAAAAAGGCAACCUAUGGAAUGGAGAAAACAUUUGCAGACCAUACAUCUGAUAAGGGGUUAAUUAUCCAAACUAGGUAAGAAACUCCUACAACUCAAGAGCAGAGAACCCAAAUGGCCAGAUUAAAAGAGGGGCAAAGGAACCGAACAGAUAUUUCUCCAAAGAAGAUAUAUGAAGGCCCAACAGAAUAUGAAAAGGUGCUCAGCAUCACUAAUCAAUAGGGAAAUGCAAAUCAAAACUGCAAUGAGAGAUCACCUCACACAUAUUAGAAUAACAAUUAUUAAAGAAAUAAAAAGACAAGUGUUGGCGGGGGUGUGGAGGAAAAGAAACCCUUUGUGAAAUGUUGGUGGGAGUGUAAAUUGGUACAGCUACUAGGGAAAGCAAUUCAAAGAUUAUUUUCCCGAAAACUUUGGAAAUAGAAUUACCAGUUGCUAUAACAAUCCCAAUUCUGGAUAUAUACUGAAAUCAGAAAUCUGUACGGAACUGAAAUCUGAAUCUUAAAGAGAUAGCUGCACUCCCUGGGUCACUGCAGCAUUAUUCAUAAUAGCCAAGACAUGGAAAUAAUCUAAAAUGUUCAAUGAUAGAGGAAUGGAUUUUUUAAAUGUGGUAUGUACCUACAAUGAGAUGUCAUUCAGCCUUAAAAAAAGAAGGAAAUCCUACACUUGCAACAGUAUCGCUGGACCUGGAAGACAUUAUGCUAAAUGAAAUGAACAAUAGAAAGAUAAAUACUGCAUGAUCUCACUUAUAUGAAGAAUUGAAAAGAGUCAAACUAAUAGAAGCAGAGAGUAGAGGGGAGGCGAUAAUCACAGGGUAGAAAGUUUCAGUAUGCAAGAUAAAUAAGUUCUGGAGAUCUACUAUAUGGCAUAGGGUCUAUGAUGAACAAUUCUGUUUUGUAUACCUAAAAAUUUACUGAGAGGGUAGAUCUUAUGUGAAGUGCUUUUACCACAAAGAUAAAAACAAAAGUGAACAUAAAAACAUACAAAAACCAAAGGGUCAGGAAGAAACUUUUGGAGGUGACGGAUAAAUCUAUGGCGUUCACUGUGGUGAUGAUUUCACAGGUGUACCUUUGUCUCAUGGCUACAAGUAAUCUUUGUAUUUCCAAAUUGUCAUACAACGGAAGGUUGGAAAGACUAAAAAAAACUAACACAAGUGAUUUUUCUAAAUGAAUCAGGAUAGGAUUGAUGGAGAAAGUGGUAGAAGGAAAACUUAAUAGAUACCUUUUAUAUAAUUUCAAUUUUUAUCCCUCAUGACCAUAUUUACCAUUCAAUACAAAAAAAAUUGAAUGAAAUUGUAAGUCUGAAUAAGGUAGUCAGGUGAGUUGUUCUCAAGCACUACUUUUUAUUUCUUUUGGUUUCAUAUCAUAAUGCAUUCAAGGUUUCCCACCAGUUCUUGUACCAUUUCCUCUCCCUUAUUGAGAUUUUAUUUUCCAUCCAUGUUUUGAUUUAUCUUUGUUAACUAGAUUCAAUCAGUUUAAGAGUUCAGGGAUCCAGGAAACUCUAAGUUCUUAUUUGCUUGGGAAUGUCUGAGUUGUUCAUUUUGCUCUGGUCUGUUUUCCUGAAAGGCUAACUGGACCGUGUUAAACAUCACUGCACUGUUUUCUGGCAUUAGCUGUUUUGGGGAAGAAGUAUGAGGUCAGCUUGAAUUCUUUUCUCCUUGACGUGACAGGAUUUUUCUACCCAGUUGACCAUAAGAUAUAUUUUUUGUCCUUGACGUUCAGGUUCAAGACGCUAUGUCUCGGUGUUUAUUUUUUGUAUCAGUUCUUGGGAAAGUUUUUGUCCUUUCGAUUCACAGAUUCAAUCAUGUUUCAUACUUGUGGUUUGUAGUUGUACUCCUUUCCUUGUUUUAUUGAGGUCAAAAAUACUUAUUUUCUGUUUCUUUCUCUUUAUUAUUUUCAGCGGCGUUUUCUUCCAACAUUGUAUUAUGAAAAUAUUUGUGCAUGCCGAAAAGUUGGAAGAAUUUUACAGUGAAAAAGAAUCAUAUUAUCUCCUGCAUGGGUUCUAUAACUGACAUUUUGCAAUAUGUGCUUUAUUACAUAGCUGUCCUUUCAUCCAUCUUCAAUAAAUUUUAUUUUUUUAAUGCAUUUCAAAGUAGGUUUCAGAUAACGGCGCACUUCCCAGUGAGUUCUUCAACAUGUAUUUUGUUAACUAGAACCCAUUAUUUGUUUGUUUUCUUUCACAGUAAUUUAAAAAAAUUAACAUACACCCAAAUACACACAUUUUAAUUCCAUGAUUUUGACAAAUGCAUAAUGCAUGUAACCUAAACCCUUAUCAAAAUAUAAAAUAUUGCAAUGACCCCAUGUCCAUUCUCAGUCAACACCCACCCCUAGUCUUUUCUCCCAAGAAGUAACCGCUGUUCUGAUUUUUUUCCACCAUAAAUUAGUUUUGCCUAUUUUAGAACUUCAUAUAAAUGGAACCACACAGUAUGUACUUUUUUGUGUAAAAUUUCUCCUCCUCGGCAUAAUGUUUUGGAGGUUCACCCCUGACGUUGCUUGUAUCAAAAUUUCUUGCUUUUUAUUGCUGUGCAGGGGCAAUGUUCAUUGUAUGAGCAUACUGUAAGUUUUUCUCUAUCCAUUCUUCUGGGGAUGGACAUGGGAUUCCAACCUGGGGCUAUGAUGCAUAAAGUUGCCAGAAACAGCUUUACACCUGUAUUUUUGUAGCUAUAUGUUUCCAAUUCUUUGAGUAAAUAUCAUGUGGAAUGAAUGGGUGGGUCAAAUAGAGGUAUAUGUUUAAUUUUAUGAGAAAUUGAGAAUUUUUUUCUAACGUGGUCAUAUCAUUUCAUAUUUCCACCAAUAUCAUAUGAAAGUUCCAGUUACUCCCCAUCUUUGCUCAUAUUUGGUGUUAGUUUUAAUCUUAGCCAUUCUGGUGGAUGUAGAGUGAUAGUUCAGGAUGGUUUGGUUUGCAUUUUCCUGAUGAAUAAUCAUGAUGAAAACUCUUCCAGAUGCUUACUGUCCAUUUCUAUAUCUCCCUUUGCUAAGUAUUUGUUAAAGUCUUAGGCCAAUUUUUAGAGAAUUGUUUGAUGUGGAUGUUUUAUUUUCUUGGAUUAUGGCUCUUUGUAAGACAUAUGUUUUUCAAAUAUUUUCUUUUGGUUGAUGGCAUUUUAGUAAUUUUCAUCAAAUCUUUAAUCAAGUUUUAGAUUUACAUUUAGGUCUCUGAUGCAUUUCAUGUUGAUUUUGAUGUAUAGCAUGAGAUAGGGGUUGAAAUUCAUUUAUUUUACACAUGGAUAUCAGUUAUUUCACCACUCAUUUCCUAACAAGGUUUCCUUUCCGUAUUGGAUUGCUUUGGUUCAUUUGUCAAAAAUCAAAUGACUGUGUAAAUGCUGGUCUAUUUCUGGGUUAAAUACUCUAUUUCAUUAAUCUAUUUGUCGAACUUUUUCACUGUCUUAAUUAGUAUAGCUUUAUAGUAAGUCUUAAUGCUAGGUAGUUUAAGUCCUCCAAAUGCGCUCUUCAAGCAGACAGCAUAAUCAUAUUCAGUCUCCCAAUCCAUGAACACAGUAUGUCUCUCUACUUUCUGGUCUUUCAUUUUUUUUCAGCAAUGUUAUAUGGUUUACAGUGUAUAGGUACUGCUGAUCUUUUGUUAGCUUUCCCCAAGUAUUUAAUGUUUUUUGACAGUAUUGUAAACGAAUUUGCUACACUUUCAUUUUCCAAUUGUUUGCUAAGAGUACAUAGAUAUACUUUGGAUUCAGUAUAUUAACCUUGUGUCUUGCAACCUUGCUUAAUUAACUUACUAGUUCUAAAGUUUGGGUUUUUUUUUUUUAUUAAUGUAACUAUGUCAAUCUUUUUUUUGACUGUUUCUCAGGUUUAGGUAUCGUUUACAAAAGGCCUUUGUUAUUCCAAGAUUAGGAAAAUAAGGUCUUAUUUUUCUAAUACAUGUAUACAUUUUACAUUUAGAUUUUCAUUCUACCUAGUAUUUAGUUAAAUGUGUGGCAAGAUGAGAAUGUAGCCUUAUACCAAUCUAAUAAUUGAUACAGUAAAUUGUUUUAACACCAUUUAUUCAUUAAGUUUCCAUCUUUGCACUGAAACUGAAUUGUUAUCUUUAUCUUACACUAAGUUUCAAAGGGUCUUUUUCUGGAAUUUGUAGCUUAGUCUAUUUAUUUGUUUGUAUAUAUAUAUAUUUUUUUACCAGUAUGGUGGUUUUAUUAAUCAUGGAAGUUUAUUUAAAAAUAUGUUGGCUAAUUCUAUGCAUUGACUCCUCCAGAUAAAUGUAGAAUUAACUUAAAUUUUAUGCAAUAUCCCAUUGGGAGUGUUAUUAGAAUUGAACUGAAUUUAUGGACUAAUUUGAGAUAACCAUGUAUCUCUGAAUAUUGAGUAUUCCUACCCAGAAAUACAAUUUACGUCAUUUUUUUGGAAGUUGUUUUAUGACUGUGGUAGGUAGAGCUUUAUCAUUUUCUUCACAUAGAUCUAGGUUAUUUUCCUCAAGCUUCUUGUAAGUAUUUUAUAAUUUGCUAUUGUCAUGGGAUCUUUGUAUUUUACAUUUUCUAACUGAUUUUUGGGAAGCAAUUGAUUUCUCCAAUUUCUGUCUUUGUUGAGUUUACAAUAUAAUUGAAUUCAAAUCCAUAAAAUAUAAUAGGAUUCUUAAAUAGCUACUCAUAUAAUUGCCACUUCCGUAGAGAAGAGAAGGGAGGCUGUAAGAUACCAAUGAAUUGCCUUGUACUCUGAAAGCCUGCUGCAUGAACAACCUGAGACUCACUUGCAUUUUGUAUCUGCAGUUGAGAAACAUCAUAAUAUAUACCAAGAGUUUUGAAUUUAAAGGGUUCCUUUCACAUUAAAAACACAAGGUUCACAGAGGCACCUGGGUGGCUCAGUCAGUUAAGCGUCCGACUGUUGAUUUAGGCUCAGGUCACAAUCUCACUAUUUGUGAGAUCAAGCCCCGAGUUGGGCUCCGUGCUGACAGCACAGAGCCUGCUUGAGAUUCUCUCUCUCCCUCUCUCUGCCCCUCCCCCCCAAUAAAUAAAUAAACUUAAAAAAUUAUAAAAGCACAAGGAUCACAGAAAUGAACAAUUGUGCUUUCCUUGUUAAGUGUUUUUCUUUUAUCAAGUAGAAAGUUACAAAAAAAUGAAUCUCCCAGUUGUUCCAUUUUUGCUGAUAUAUUCUCACCUCUAGAUCAUGUUUGUGAAUCUAGUCUGAAGAUUUUAAAUUGAGUUCAUCAAUUUACCAGGCCUGAGGGAUACAAAGCCUAGCCCCAAGCUCCCCUCCCCUUUUUCGAAAGCAGCAGUUUUUUAUGAAGGGGCGAGCAACCCGAGUUUAGAAAAAUCCCAAAGAGUAUGCUAAUCAGAUCUCUUCUUGGGCACAAAGAAACCUUGCUAAUUUUUAAAUGCUGCCUGCUAUCCAAAUUACAGAGUGGUCACAUUUUUCCAUUACAUGGUUUUAUAAUAUUUAAGCCAAAUACAGUUUUCUGGUGUUAACAAAGGGAUGAAUAGGCAGGAAUACAUACCCACCUGUGCCUCUUUAAAAAAAACCUCACACAUUUGAAUCCACAAAUGUCACCCAAUUUUCUAAAGUGCCUCACCAGCCUUUUAUCCUCAUAAAACUCCAUAUAAUGAGGCUAAAUGCAAUGCAGAUGUCAGGGGGAAAUGCACUAACCACUUCCUGUCAGCCAUACAGGUAUUCAACAAGCCCUCUCCCCAAACCUUCCUACGGUGUCCCAGGCAUUUAUCUUCUCUGUGGGAAGCACUUGAAUCUGACAGCCCAAAGUGUUUUGUUUCAUUUUUAGUGUCUCAUAAAGCUUUUCUGAGGUGAAAAAAAAAAAAAAAAAAAAAGCAGAUAAUGUGGCUAACAAUGAUUACCACUCUUUAUUUUCCUUAUUCUUGGGGUGAAGACUGCCCUAAUUUCAAAUCUCAUCGUCAAAAUCAGACACAGGCUAAAACAUUCUCUGGACUUCAUGUCCUAUAAAGACUCUAAGCUGCCCAAUCAGUCUCUUUCACAUGCUCUUCGGGGUUUAUAAAUAUUGUCAUGAAUGAUUAUCAGUCAUUAUCAAUAUGACCUUGGGCUCUGGUUCUUUGAAGACUUUUAAUUUAAUUUUUUAGUGCAUUUUCUUACAUUGCAACUUACUAGCCCAACCUUGUAUUAAAUGACCUGCAACCAUGGUCGUAUGUAUUGUGGGCUGUGGCAUCUGCCUUUCAAUGUGUCUCCCUAGUGAAACCUAAGGGAAUUCAUUCAAUACAUAACUAUUUAGCUCUUACUGUGUGCCGGUCAAUGCCCCCUGCCUUCUAAGUCCAAUGGGGAUGUGAUCAAGUCAAGAAUGAAUUACACAAGACAUCCAGAUGGCCAACAGGCACAUGAAAAGAUGCUCAACGUCACUCCUCAUCAGGGAAAUACAAAUCAAAACCACACUGAGAUAUCACCUCAUGCCAGGCAGAGCGGCUAAAAUGAACAAAUCAGGAGACUAUAGAUGCUGGAAGGGAUGUGGAGAAACGGGAACCCUCUUGCACUGUUGGUGGGAAUGUAAACUGGUGCAGCCGCUCUGGAAAACAGUGUGGAGGUUCCUCAAAAUUUUAAAUAGAUCUACCCUAUGACCCAGCAAUAGCACUGCUAGGAAUUUACCCAAGGGAUACAGGAGUACUGAUGCAUAGGGACACUUGUACCCCAACAUUUAUAGCAGCUUUUUCAACAAUAGCCAAAUUAUGGAAAGAGCCUAAAUGUCCAUCAACUGACGAAUGGAUAAAGAAGAUGUGGUUUAUAUAUACAAUGGAGUACUACUUGGCAAUGAGGAAGAAUGAAAUCUGGCCAUUUGUAGCAAUGUGGAUGGAACUGGAGAGUGUUAUGCUAAAUGAAAUAAGUCAUACAGAUAAAGACAGGUACCAUAUGUUUUCACUCUUAUGUGGAUCCUGAGAAACUUAACAGAAGACCAUGGGAGAGGGGAAGGGGAAAAAUAGUUACAGAGAGGGAAGGAGGCAAACCAUAAGAGACUCUUAAAAACUGAGAAUAAACUGAGGGUUGAUGGGGGGGUGGGAGGGAGGGGAAAGUGGGUGAUGGGCAUUGAGGAGGGCACCUGCUGGGAUGAGCACUGGGUGUUGUAUGUAUGGAAACCAAUGUGACAAUAAAUUUCAUAUUAAAAAAAGAAUGAAUUACACAUAGUGAGAUAGGGUGAAGGCGAAGGAGGGGUGUUCAUGGAAGAUGAGGGAUUAAGGAAGGCUUCCUGGAGGACAUUAUUCAUUUCAGGGUAAUUCCUGAGGAUUAAUAUUGAGAACCUGGAGGGGUAAGAAUUGGGGGAAGCAGAGAAAAGGGAAUGUGAACAGAUCUGGAGGCAGAAUAUAGCUUGGUACAUAUAAGGAUGAUCAAUCAUGCAGACGUGAGUCUGGAGAAUACUGAGCUGUAAGUACUGAUAGUGCUAAGAGGCUACAGGUUAAGGGAUUUCCUUGAGGACAGUGAGUACCACACAUACUAAGAGGCUUUAUGCAGAGGACCACACUGGAUUGCAGAUCACUCUGGCUACAGCAUGGGAAAUGAGUAGGUUAAGGGCUAGUUAGGAAGUGGUAUUGCAGUACUCCAGGCAAGACAUAAAGGUUUGGUUUAAUAAAAGCUAUUGCCUAUGUAGGAUGGAGAACCACGAAUGACUUGAAAACGAUGAAAAGGAAAAAUUGUCAGAACUUGGGAUAUAUUGGCUGCGGCAUGAGAUGGGGAGAGAAAUCAAGGAUGAUUUCCACGUUUCCAGCUUUGCGGUUGUAACUGAACCAACGUGAGUUCAUUCCUUGGUAAGUCAGAAACUGCACCAGGUUGAGAUUCCCCAUAAAGAAAACUUUUAUUUGCAGCAAAUGAGGAGGUCAUAGGGAAUGGCUUCCAAAGCCGUGACUUCCCGCAAGUGAAUGAAUGGGCGUCUUUUGUUUAGAAUUAGGAUGAAUAUUUAGAUAGGGAAGCCUUGUAAUCCUGUGUAUAGGUGGGCAUAAGGUAGUGAAUGUGUCUUAAGGAAACAUGCCUAUGUAUAUUGUAUGGUAUGUAAAUGAGGCUGAGGCUCCUCCCUAGGUGGAGAUUUUAGUAUUAUAAUGAGGUAAAAGGUGACUGUGGGUCAUUCCAGAGGUCACUCCAUAGUCUAUCCGCGCAGAUGCAAGUCAAGUUUAGCUCAAAUGGUCUGGGCGGUCUGGGCCAGCGGGAGGUCUUGUCCAGGCCAUUGCCAUCACCUGGGGGGUGGUCUGGGGUCUCAUUUGCCUGAGUUAAGAGGAAAACCCAAAAGAAGAGCUUAGGGGAAAAUGUUAAGACAAAGGUUAGUGAAUAUAAGCAGGUGGGUGGUAAAGGCCAGGUCUUGGGGUCUAGUGACACGAUGACAUGUUUUAUUGAAAAGCCCAUUGCAGAUUUCUUGGAAAAAGAGCACAGUUUUUGGAUACACCCUCAGCUCAGUCCCUCGUUAGCACUGUGUGUCCUUGUAUUCAUUCCUUAAUCUCUCUGAGCAUCAAUUAUCUAUAAAAUGAAGAUACUAUUGCAAGGAUUAACUGUAAAUGCCAGCAUGUUGAAAAUAGCCUAACAGUACUAAUCAUAUAUUUGGGCAUCAAGAAUGAGAGCAGCUAAUAUAGUUGGCAUCUUUGUGAUGUUAAGUCUUUCUCUACACAAAGAAGGUGUAUCUCUCUAUUUAUUCUGGUCUUUUUUAAUGGUCUUGUGAGAAAAAUUUUUUCUAAGUUUUUGCUCCUAUUUUAAGUGGGGUGUUCUUUUUUAUUACAUUUUCUAAUUGUUCCUUGGUAGUGGACUAGAAAUUCACUUCUGUGUUGUGAUUUUCCAUUCAUCUAAUUUGAUUAUUUCCAAUAAUUUGGCUACUGUUUUUGGAAAAGUUAUGCAAAUAAUUCUGUCAUCGAUAAAAUUUUUAUUUCUUCUUUUCCAAUUCUUAUACCUUUAAAUUCUUAUUACACUGACUAAAGCCUUUAUACUGAUACUGUGUAAUAGAAAUAUAAUGUAAGCUCCAGAUGUAAAUUUUCAAAAAACCCAACAGGCUUUAUUUUUGAUAGCAGUUUUAGGUUUACAGAAAAACUGGAGAUUACAGAGAGUUCCCAUAGACAUCCUUAAUCCCCCGCCCCCACAGUUUCCCCUAUUAUCAAUAUCUUCCAUUAAGAUACAUUUAUUGUAAUUGAUUAAGUAUUGAUACACUAUUAACUAAAGUCCAUAGUUUACAUUAGGGUUCACCUUUUGCAAUGUACAUUCUGUGGGUUUUGACAAAUGCACAAUGACAUAUAUCCACCAUUAUAGUAUCAGACAGAAUAGUUUCACUGCCUUAAAAAUUCUCCUUUGCUUCACCCUAAUCUCUCCCUCCCCCUGAACCUCUGGAAGCCACUAAUUUUUUUACUGUCCCCAUCACAUUGUCUUUUCCAGACUGUCGUAUAGCUGGAAUCAUACAGUAUAUAGCCUUUCCAGAUGGACUUCUUUCACUUAGCAAUAUGCAUUUAAUGUUCUUCAUGUCUUUUCAUGGCUUAAUAUCCUUUCUUUUCCCUUCUUUCCUUCCUUCCUNNNNNNNNNNNNNNNNNNNNNNNNNNNNNNNNNNNNNNNNNNNNNNNNNNNNNNNNNNNNNNNNNNNNNUUUCUUUCUUUCUUUCUUUCUUUCUUUCUUUCUUUCUUUCUUUUUUCUUUCCUUCUUUCUUUUUCUAAAUAAUAUUCCAUUUUAUGGAUAUACCGUAGUUUGUUUAUCCAUUCACUUAUUGAAGGACAUCUUGGUUAUUUGCAAGUUAUAGCAAUUAUGAAUAUAGAUUCUAUAGACUUUAAUGCACAGGUUUUUGUGUAGGUGGAAAUUUUAACUCAUUUAGGUAAAUACCAAGAAGCACAAUUGUUGGAUCAUAUGGUAAGAGUAAGUUUCUUUUGUAAGAAACCACCAAACUGUCUUCCACAGUGGCUAUGCUAUUAUGUAUUCCCACUAGCAAUUAACAUUGUUCAUGUUCAUGUUGCUCCACAUCCCGGCCAGUAGUUGGUUUUGUCACUGUUUUGAAUUUUAGCCAUUCUAAAAUUGUUGUUUUAAUUCACAAUUCCUUAAUGACGUGUGAUCUUGAGCGUCUUUUCAUAUGCUUAUUUUCCAUCUGUGUAUCUCUUUGGUAAAGUGUCUGUUCAGAUCUUUUGCCUGUUUUUUCAAUGGAUUGUUUGCUUUCUUAUUGUUGAAUUUUCAUACUUAUUCAUAUAUAUUUGACACUACUCCUUUAUCAGGCAUGUGUUUUGCAAAAACUUUCUUCUUUGGCUUUGUCUUUUGAUUUUUUUAACAGUGUCUUUUGCAGAGCAAAAUUUUAAAAUUUUAAUGAAGUCUCAUGUAUCAUUUUUCUUUCUUUUAUGAAUGAUGAUUUUGGUGUUUUAUCUAAGAAGUCACUACCAGGGUGCCUGGGUGGCUCAGUCAGUUGAGUGUCUGACUCUUGAUUUCAGUUCAGGUCAUGAUCCCAGGGUCGUGGGAUUGAGCCGUGCCUCAGGCUCUGCGCUGAGCAUGGAGCCUACUUAAGAUUCUCUGUCCUUCCCUCUGCCCUCUCCCUGGCUCAUGCUCCCUCUCUCUAAAAUAACAUAAAUAAAUAAUAAUAAUAAAAAGUCAUUCCCGAAUGCAAGUUCACCUAGAUUUUCUAUGUGAUCUUCUUAUCUAAGAAUUGUUUAACUUCUAUUAUGAUUUCUUCUUCGAUCUAUAUGUUGUUUAGAAAUCAUUCCUAAAAUUUUAAAUACAUGAAUAUUUUAAAUAUAUAUAUUUUUAAAUUACUUAUAACUUUAUUUCAGUUUGUCUGGAAAAUAUGUUUUAUUUAUAUAUUACUUGUCCUUUGGUAUUUUCCCUGUUCUAUGGCCUGGUAGAGAAAUAAUUUUUGUAAAUGGUGUAUGUCUGCUUGAGAAAAAUGUCUUUUCUGAAUCAUUGAACCCAAUCCUGCUUGACAAAAAAGUCAGCAUAUUAACUGUGUUUUUGAAGUUCUUUGUGUUUUAUUUGUAUUGCUUAUUGUACCUAUCAAUAGUGAGAGAGGUGUGUUGAAACCUCCCACUUGGGUGACAGAUAGAUUCCGCUCUCUUUAUUUCUAUCAAUUUUGCUUUGUAUGUUUUGAGCCUAUGUUAUUAAGUGCUUACGUAUCCAUCUCUUUGGUGAAUUGAGCAUAUUAUGAAAUGAUUCUAUUGUUCCUAAAGAUGCUCUUUAAAAUUUAACUCAACUUCUUCUCAUUUUAUGUAGCUUGCUCAAGUUCACUUAACUAGCAUGUGGCAAGGCAGAGUUCAUGCCCUCACACCCGGGAAGUCUGGGGCUAGAGCUUAUGCUCCUAACCAUCUGCUCAAUCUCUCCACCUCCAGGCAUCAGCACCUGAGCAAGACUUUCACUUGUCUUGCUGCCUUCCACAACAUCUGUGGCAAGUACCAGCUGUACCUGUCAGAUGAAAUGGGGAUAGGCUGCCACAGGUUCCAGACGUGACAUUUGUACUUAGAAGAGGAGCUUCUAAAAACCUUUGGCUCCAUCUUUACCCAGACUUGAACCUGCAGGUUCCCUAUAAAAGUCAUUGGUGGCUUCAUUCCUACAGCUCAAACUUUUCUAGCUCUAUCUCCAACCCCAGUGUGUUUACUUGAAGUCGCUUCACUCAAGUCACCACUUUUAUUUUAUUUUCCUUCCAUUGUCCCUACCAUGUCCCCCUUGGCUUCUAUUCUACCAGCUCCUUUAGGCCAUGCAUAUUGAACAGUUUGCAAGGAUGGAGUUUGGACUCUCCCCUUCAUGAGACUUGGCUGAUCAUUGUAUCAGCCUGCCCCCUGCCUGAUACUUGGUUAGGAAAACAAGCUCAGAAAACAUAGAACAUAGAACCUAAGUCAGGGUCUAGCCCUUCAACUUCUCCCUACUGGAUGGAAAGAUGGACAAGAUUUUACCGAUUAGAGUAGCUCUCUAUUCUUACUUUGGAAAGUUUCUUUUCUCAGUCCUCCUAUACACAAAUUAUUGUACAAAUUUUUGUGGACAUAUGCAAAAAUAAGAUGGACCCCCAUUGGAAAGUUGGCUUAGAUAUCAAGUCUCGUGACUCCACACACUAAGAAGGUAUGAAAGAGUUUUUAACUACAUAAUGAGGCCUUUGGGGGAAGGGGAAGGAGUGUCUCUCAUGCUGGUCUAAAAAUGACUUGAGAGAACAAGAAAAGGAAAUUGAUUUGGGGUUUUUUUUUAACUUUUUUUUUUUUCAACGUUUAUUUAUUUUUGGGACAGAGAGAGACAGAGCAUGAACGGGGGAGGGGCAGAGAGAGAGGGAGACACAGAAUCGGAAACAGGCUCCAGGCUCUGAGCCAUCAGCCCAGAGCCUGACGCGGGGCUCGAACUCACGGACCGCGAGAUCGUGACCUGGCUGAAGUCGGACGCUUAACCGACUGCGCCACCCAGGCGCCCCUAAAACUUUUUUUAAUGUUUAUUUAUUUUUGAGAGAGAGAUACAGAGCAUGAGAGGGGGAGGGGCAGAGAGAGAGGGAGACACAGAAUCCAAAGCAGGUUCCAGGCUCCCAGCUGUCAGCACAGAGCCUGACACAGGGCUCAAACCCAUGAACCGUGAGAUCAUGACCUGAGCCAAAGUCAGAUGCUCAACCGACUGAGCCACCCAGGCGCCCCAACUUAUUUGGGGUUUUUACUGUGGGUGGGAAUUGAGGCCAGGGAAAGGACUUUUAUAUACAAGAAUGGGCUUAUGUAGAUUUUGAAACUCCCACCCGGUGCCAAGGAGGGAGCACCCAGGCUUUCUUAUCAACUUUCCACGAUGCAGAGCAGAAGAGGAAGAAGGAGAGAUGAGGCUUAAAAGUUGUCGAACAUCAUGGGGCACCUGGGUGGCUGAGUCACUUAAGCGUCCAAUUCUUGAUUUCAGCUCAGGUCAUGAUCUCAUGGUUUGAGCCCACAUUGGUCUCCGUGCUGACAGCACAGAGCCUGCUUGGGAUUCUCUCUCUCUGCCUGUCCCCUGCUCUCAAAAUAAAUAAAUAAACUUAAAAACUAUUCUUUUAAAAGGCUGUCAAACAUCAAAAAAAAAUCAGACUUGGUACACAAAUCUAUACCUCUGAGUUGUAAUCUCUUAUUUAUUGGCCAAUUACAAUAGCUCCACUUAAAGAAUAAGGUCCCCAAAAGCCAAGAAAUAGUUCUAUUUUCUAAAACCAAAGCUAAAGGAAAAAUUGUUCUCCAAGCUACUCCAACGCCCUGCCAACAAGUUAUGUUUCUGGGUCUGAGACAGACCAGUCACAGACAUGUGGAUAGUGCUUGAAGUGGUACCCCUGGCUGGCUUUAAUAUCCUCUUCCUGACUGUUGGUGGGAGGGACACAGCUCAGACAGGGAAUAAAUGCCAGCCCCUCCGUGUUGCAGAAAGUGAGCCAUACAAAGACAUUGCCAGGACUCUUCAUGUCAGGGACUAAGUUCAUAUAUCACCUCACAUUAAGUGACUAAUCUGAUCUGUUUCCAUGAUUAUAGUCAGCGGGCAAAUGAGAGACCAACUGACCAGGAAGGAAGACCAUGCCACAUCACUGGGAAGAAGGCGUGUUGGAAGGCAAGUGAGGGGUAAGUGGGACAGCAUCCGUCCGUUAAGCGCACGAAUCAUCAUGGCCAAACUUCCUCUUGAUUGACACAAUAUUCUAAUUGUAACAAACAUCCUUGGGAACAAAUAUAAUAAAUCUGCUCUCGCAUAAGUGGAAGGUGGUGGGGGUUGCUGCUUUUGCUUUUGGCAAAUCAAAAAAGAGGAAAACUCCCCUCUCAUGGAGGACGGAAUCUGUCAGAUUCUAGGGCAGGGGCUCAAUUCCUUAGCGGCUGGGCAGCAGCUGAAAGGAAUCCAGGUGGUUUCGAAAAGAGACUUUGCUGUGCCCCCUCCCUCUGGACUCAGUACCGAUAUCGUGAGGCAAGUGGAGGAGGGGAGGCAGGGGUGUGGAGGAAAGCAGGCUCCAGCCCAGCCCUGAACCAGCACUCUGGAUGCUGUUCCACUUCAGGGGUCAUUAGCAAGGCUCUUGACCUAAGUCCGACUGCGGACAAUGGGUGAAGAUGGCAAGCAGAACAAAGGCAGCUGGACAGCUACCUGCAGGUGAUUUCUCUCAGGGCAAGGAGGGAUUCUUUUCAAAGGAAGAGGUUGGAAAGCUGUUACCAUGGUAACUCUCCAAGUUCUGAAGUGAUGUAAUCAGAUAACGCUCUCGAGAGCAGAGGGUAGAUGGUGGAUUUAGCACACAUGAACAGCUAAAUUCUACAAGUAGAGCUUUUUCUUUCUCUUUUAUGGUAAAUUUCGAUAUUAAGAAAGGGGAAGAAAGAGGGAAAGAAGGGAGGAGAAAGAAAGAAAGAAAGAAAGAAAGAAAGAAAGAAAGAAAGAAAGAGGGAGGAAGGAAAGAAAGAAAGGGAAGGAAGGAAAGGAAGGGGGAAAGGGGGGAGGGAGGGAAGAAGGAAAGAAGGAGAAAGAAAGAAAGAAAGAAAGAAAGAAAGAAAGAAAGAGAAAGAAAGAAGGAGGGAGGAAGGAAAGAAAGAAAGGGAAGGAAGGAAAGGAAGGGGGAAAGAGGGGGGAGGGAGGGAAGAAGGAAAGAAGGAGAAAGAAAGAAAGAAAGAAAGAAAGAAAGAAAGAAAGAAAGAGGAAAAAAGAUACAGAAAGAAAGAGAAAGGUAACAAAAUAAAGCAAAAUAGACAAAAGAAAGGAAAGAUAUAAGGAAGAAAACUCAAACAUAAUUUAUUCUAAAUAAAUAUCUUUAGUAGCAAGAAAGAGCUGCCUAUGGAGUGGAAACUGAGAGAAGGAGGUUUGAUUCUCUAUGAUUUUGACCUUUGUGUUUUAUGAAGAUUGAUAGAGGAGUUAAUUGUUAUUCUGAGCACAUCUGGAUGAGUAUUAUUGUAAGACAUACUUACCUGGAUACAACUGCGUUAUCAUCAGUUUAACGUAAGAUUUCUUCCAUUUUGUCUUCAAUGGCUUGCUACUAAUGAUGUUGUGAAAUAUGAUUGUACAUGUGCUUGAUAUUGAUAAUUAAUCAUAAGCUACUUUCACUUCUGAGACAGUACAGCUUACUCUAUUCUAAAUUGUAAAACAUUGUUCUUGAGAGAAGACUUUUCAAAAUGACUCAAAUUAUUCAAUGAAUUGUUUGACAUCACAGGCCUGUCAAGUGGGUUGUUCACUCAACAUCCUUGGCCCCUCCCCCUUUGUCCUACUCCCAGCCCUCUAUGCGCGGGAUGAAUGUGGUUCGGAAAACAACACACUCAGGACUAGUGGCCACACUCCAGUUCAUGACCUUACUGAGCUCCCAUCACUGCCAAGGGGCCCUACACACCGUCCUUGCCACAUUCUUCUAUCCUCCUAGGUGACCACUUACCCCUCCCACCCCGCUUCCUCAAAUCUCCAAUAUGAGGAUGAACAUUCCUCAUCCUCAGCUUCAACUGUUCACUCGUCCUCAUUUUGCUGAGAAAACAAAACCCAUAAAAAGAGGAUUUCCUCAUCUUCCCACCCAAUUUCUUAACCUGUCUUCAUCUGUAAGGAUAGAUUGCCUGCCUCCUCCCCUGUUACACGAAUUGUAUCCAGACUGUGGGCCAGGACCAGCUCCUCCAUAUGUGACUGGAUCCUGUGGCCCCAGAACACUCAUUACCGUUAGCUCCACCCAUCAAUCCCGUCCUCUCUCUCCUAUGUCAUCAAGUUUUUCCUCCCAUCCAGAUCAUUUUCAAUAUCACAAAAAAUGUGUUCUUUUGUCUCCCCUGUGUCAAACAAAAAGAUAAACGCAAACUUCUCUUGAUUCCUCUAACCCCCAGCCUGCCUUGCACCCUUGUUGCAAAAUUGUUGAGAGUUCCCCAUUCUCACUCACGACGGCCUCUUUCACGUGCUCCCACUCUCUCGGACCAACUCCAUUAACGCCUUUUCCCCUCAUCACUCCAGAGAAAAAGUUUUUGUAGUAGUCAUCGAUGAAAUCACAUUGCUUAACCCACAACCUGUGCGUAGUCUUCCUCUUAAUUGACUAAGCACCAUUUUAGGAAGCUAGUUAGUCCCUUCUUCUUGAAACUCUUUUUCCCCUUGGUCUCUAAAACAUCCAUCUCCUGCUUUACCUUCAACAUAACUCAGUUUCCCUUCUAGUCUCCUUUGUUGACUCUACUUCUUUCAGCCUUUAAAUGUUCCACUUAUUUGUUCCCCUGGUGGAUACUCUGAUGAUGCCCAAAUUUCUGUCUCCAGCCAACACCUCUUUGAACUCCAGACUCGGGUACUCAAAUCUCCAUGUAACAUUUCCUCUUGCAUGUGUCAUAGGUAUCUCAUACAGAGCCCUUGGGUUCUCUCCUGUUCACACAAACCAUCCCCUCUCCCAGGGCUGUGAGCAAUCAAUGUUUGUGUCUCCUCAAAAUUAGUACGUUGAAGCCCUAAACCCCAGUGCGGUGGUAUUUGGAGGUGGGGCCUUUGGGAUGUAAUUUAGUUUAGAUGAGAUCGUGAGGGAAGAGCCCCCAUUAGGGUCCUUAUGGGAAGAGGAAAGGACCAGAGCCCCCUCUGUGAGGAUAAAGCAAAAGUCAGGAAGAGGGCCCUCACCAGAAUCGAAAUCUGCCUUGACACCUUGAUCUUGGAUUUCCCAGCCUUAAGAAUUGAGAGAAAUAAAUGGCCAUUGUUUACACUAUCUGCUGUACAGUAUUUUACUAUAGCAGCCCAAGCUGACAAGAAACCCAGUACCUCCCACUGCAUCUUGUUGCUUAAGUCAAGGUCAAAAUUUGGAGUCAUCUUUGAAUCCUCUCCUCUCAUAUUUCAAAUCCAACCCCUUAUCAAAACUUGUUGGUUCCAAUUUAAAAAUAUAUCCAAAAUGCAGCCACUCGUCAUCUCCUACAUUGCUAUCAGGCUCCUUCAAACAACCACAUCAUGCUUCGCCUUAAUUAUUACAUAAUUUCUUAUCUGGCUUCUCUACCUCCACUCUUACAUGUUGUCGUCUCUUGACACAGUGGUCAGAGACCUUCUGUAAACAUAAAGUCAGAUCGUGUCAUUUCCUUGCUCAAAACCUUCUGGUGGCAUCUGAUCUUACUGGAAUAAAAUCCAAAUUCAAACAAGGUCCUACAAGACCCUGCACAAUCUGUCUCCCGCCUGCUUCUCAGACCUCGCCAUGUACCACUGUGAUUCCUACUCACUGUUCCCUGUGCAUACUGACCUUCUUGACCACACCAAGCAAAUACAAUUCUGUUGUAGUGGCCAGAACACUUUCCCCCUAGAUACUCACAUGGUGUAUGCCCUCGUUUUAUUGAGGUCUUUAUUCAAACAUCUCUAAGAGAGGCUUUAUCUGGCUACUCUAUAUAAAUUAUUCCAUUCCAUCCUCUUACUCUCUUUUACUUUUUUUCACAGUGCCAACUUAUAUUCUAUAUUUAUCUCUUUCUCAUCUGUCACUUCAGAAUGGAAGAUUUAUAAGAGACUUUGUUUCUUUUGUUCAUUGCUGUAUUCCUGGAAAAAAGACAAUGUUUUUCACAUCGUAGACUCUUAAUAAAUAUUUGCCAAAUAGAUGGAUGAAUGAAUGAUUGAAUGAGGCAUUAUGUGAGGAUCCUACACUCACAGAGUACCUGAGUUAUUUUUGUGGUUACAGACAAGAUUCCCAGCCUUAUGUGGAGCCAGGAAAUUAACAAUCAGGUCCUUGAUGGCUGAUACACUUACGCACCUUUGGUUACAUGAUACUGCUGUUGAGCAUGGAUUCCAGCUCCCACUGAUCAUCUCCCUAGGCCUCAGAAAUAUCUUUCACAAAAAUCACAAACCCUAGACUCAACAUUUACAGAUGCCACCUCAUUUGGAUGUUGUAUUCUAGCUGGACUCCCAUCUCUCCUACUCAUUGCCCACCUCCUCCCCAUUCUCAGGGGAAGAUCAACCCCCCUUAGCAGAUACCAUGUCCAGCUCACCAUUCCAAGAACUUCUAUCCGUCCCUUUUGGAAAUAUGAAGAAAAUACCCUCAUGAGGGUGCAGAGGUGAGGUAGCCCUUUCCUCAAGGUUUUGUCCAAGUCUUGUUGAUGCCAGAGUUUGGAGGAAAGGAGGUGAGUAGAAGGAAUCAGAGAAAUAGGAGGAUACAGCCAGAGCUUAAGCAGAGGAUUUCCCUCCGUUUUGAAAUUAAUUAUGGAACACACAGAGGUUGUUUUGAAGCCCGCAGGCAAACACUUAUAAAGACAGAAGAACUCUGAAGGAGCUAAUUCUAAAAAAAGAGUUGUCCUUUGUUUGAAGAAUACGUUGAGUUGUUCUCCCCACCCUCAAAGCUGGAAUAAAUUCAUACAGUCUAAUAUCCACGGCUCCAGAGAGCUCAAGAGAUGAUCCUGAAGAUCAGAAGGGCUUUAUCACUCACCUUUGUCAUGGCCCCAAAAUGCGUCUCCCAGUCUUGAUGGCAUCUUGCUGGGGAAGUUAUCUGAGAAAUUACCGGUCUGUCUCCCUCAGAGAAGUCUUUAUCUAUUGCCUCAUAAACUGAACUUCUAAGAGCUGAAUCAGCCCAAUUCUUGGCAAAAGUUGGAAUGGAACCCUUACGAACUCAUUUGUGAUGACGGUUGGGAAUGAAACAGAAGAGCUGAGCAGCAGUUGUUGGGCUCCGUGCCCACAUAACCACCCCGGUAAGUACCAAGCAUAGCUUUCAUUUCCCCCAUAUUAGUGAAAACUGAAAAGAAUACAUGGUUAAAGCAUAACAAAGAUGUUGGAAUCAGAAAGACACUGACUCAUUGAUUCCAGUCAUGUCCCAGCCCCUUCUUACCAUAUCUCCCUGGGUGAGUUUCCUAACCCUUCUGAAGCUCCACGCCCUUAUAAGAAAUACAAGGUUCAAUAAUAUCACCUACCUCACAGUGUUAUUCUCAGAUUGCAGUGAGAUUAUUAAAAUGUUGAGUAUAGAGUCUGUCAAAUAGUUCAUAUGCAAAGGCUGGUUGUAUUUAUUAGCAGCUAUUGCUACAAUGAUUCUGCAUAACAACCCACCCAAAACUCAGUAGCUUACAGUGGUCCACAUUUAUUCUUUUGUCCAAGACUCUGCAGGUUGUUUGCAGCUUGGGCUUGACUGGGCAGCUCUGCUUGAGCUGGGGUUCAGCUGGGCUCGGCGCCAGGGUGCUAGUUGGGUUCAGUUCUGUUCCAUGUGUUUUAUUCCAUGGUCAAGGCUAAGGAUCAAUAGCUACAGGCUGUGCUCUCCUCAUGAUGGGUCACUGGAGCACCAUGCCAAGCCAAAAGACACACAUUGAAGCCUUCUGUUUACAUCACAUCUACUGACAUUACACUGGUCAAAGCAAGUCACAUGGCAACCCCAGCAUAAUGGGGUAGGGCAACUCUCACCCACUAUAGGAAAGAGAAGGAAGUGAAUAUUUGAUAAACAAUAAUUUGAACGACCAUCCUACAAUAAUGAUGCUAAAUUAAUUUAGUGGUAGUAGUAAUAUUAUGAGUAGUAAUAGUAAAGAAAAAUAAUCAUUGAUUCCUUCCACUGAUUUUGUUGGGCUGCCAAACUGUGCCAGGGGCUGUCUAGCUCUCCCAGGUCAUGUUAAGCUUUUCCCAACCAUUUAGUGCCUUGGAUGUGUGGCUUAAAGGAUGGCCUCAAAGACAAUGACCUGAGUUGUGCAGAUUAUUUCCAUCAGCUUGGAAAUAGACAAACAGAAGCUAAACGAGUGGCCAAAUGCAAUGUACACGGACUAACUCACAGUUUUGGUGACUCCUUGGACGUCUCUGAGCAUCGGUUCUUCUAAUCUAAGAAAUGGAAAGAUGUUCUCUUACGUUCCUCCUACUUUACUGAGUAUUUUCCACAUAGAAAAAGACUUUUGCUUUCCACCAGUCAGUCUUAUGCAUUUUAAGCAGAACAGAAAAACAUUAAACAUAGUCAGUUGAUGUUCAUUAGAGGGAAGGCUGGCAUCAAAUGCCAGGUUCAGUUCAGCCAUGGAGUAACUCAAAGACAAUGGAAAGGAUUCACAGGAUGUAUUGCUUGGCCCUUGCUGCGAUGGGUAAGGCAACUUGAAGAGGAUAGUCUAGGGGCGCCUGUGUGGCUCAGUUCGUUAAGCAUCCAACUCUUGAUUUCAGUUCACGUCAUGAUCUCAGGUUUGUGAGCUCAAGCCCCACAUCAGGCUCUGCUGACAGGGCAGAGCCUGCUUGGGAUUCUCCUAAUCUCUGUCUCUCAAAAUAAAUAAACUUAAAGAAGUGGAUAGUCUAACAUAAAACCAGGUGUCCUAUCUUAGGAAUUCCCCAUCAGACAGAGUGAGAUACGUGGAGCAGAGGAAGGGAAGCUGGAUAAGAGAUACGAAGGAAAAGAGAAGAUACUUGUCAGAUGUUAUCUAGCAAUACAACCUUCUUGCUGUUUCCCAUUCAUUUUUCAAGCCUAAGGGAAGAAGAAGACCUAUGAACUAUUCGUGGAUGACAGCUAUCAACUCUAUAGAAACAUCAGAUGGAAGAUUGCCUUACCAAGUUCCAUCACCUGUGCUGUCUGAUUCCACUGACUAAAAACAAAAACAAAACAAAACAAAAAAAAACAAAAAGCAAAACAAACAAACAAACCAACAACAACAACAACAACAAAACAGGAAAAGAGCAAAAGCUAUAACCUGAAAAAUAGAAUUUGGGCAUGCAGGAAGGUUUCCCAUCUUAGAAGGCUGAUUGAUAAAUAUCGAAAUAUCUUAAGAUUUCAUUGACAUCUUGCCUCUCUCACUCUCUUUGUAUAGAGAAUGAAGGGGAGAAAAAUUGACAGGCAUUUAUUGUUAAGAAGGAACUGCAGUCCCACUAAACACCACAAGAAUCCAGCCAGGUAAGUACAAUAACCUCAUACUUUCAAAAAAGAAUCCAGGAUUGUUUGGGUUAAACACAUUACUACCCUCCAAAACGUUAUUAGAAAAUGAGAAUUGACCUCGGACCUAGACUCUGAUUUUUUUCACCAUAUUACAUUUUGAUCUUUAAGAUAUGCAUGCAGAUUUUGAAAAUUUUAUUGCUUUUAGCUAAAAACAAGGAGACAGAUGAAAUUAAUGUUCACAAAGUCCCUUUCAGUCCCAGACAUCUGUGAGUCUAUGAUAUACAGCAAAUUAUUUCCUCCGCAAGCCCAAACUGGAGGCUACAUUGUAUAUAUUUUCCCCUUGUUUUCCUAUGUCAGCUCCCUGACUGCCCCUCACAGCCACUUUGCAAGUCUUGAUUGCCAAGCAUUUAGUUUCUUUUUCCUGUUUGUCUGGAAGACAGAAAGCCCCAGGAAGGGAUUCUUGGGCUUUUGAUAGAAGGCGCAUGAAAUAUCUGUAAUUAUGGAUUACAUUUUGUACCCAAUAAAUGGCUGAAAGAAGUCCAAUGAUAGAAACUUUUAGAAGAUAAUUGAAUGUGUCAGCUGGAUCAAAAAAUUAUGUACUUGCUCCACCUCUGCAAAUUGUGAUAAAUAGUCUGUUGUCUGGAGAGGUUGCCUGGCAUUUUCUUUUGCAUUCCAAAAUCACUGUCGCCCUUGUCACUGAAUUUUUGGUUAACGACUCAAAGAAACCCUUUGGACUAGAAUGAAUCUCCUAGAUGCCACCAUCUGAACAUAGUUACCUGGAAUACAACAGACUUUAAUAAUUCAAAACUUCAAUUUAUUUCUAUCAUUAUCCCAGACAAAAGAAGUGUAUAUUUUUAGCACAUUUAUUGGUGAAAAAUGGGGUGUGCCCCACGCUUGAGGAAAAAUUAGCAUUUCUCUACUUAAAUAAUGAAGUAAGAGAAAAAAAAGCAUUUUUUCUUCAUUAUUUAUGUAUCCAAUUGUGUCCUUUGCAUAACUGCCUUGGAAUAGAAGCACCUUAUUAAGAGGGACAAUGAGUAGUAGCAGUAGAAUUCCCAAGCAGAAGAACAAAACAAAAUAUAAAUUAAUGUUUUCUAUUAAACCCCAGCAGUAUAUAGUGUGGCCAGACCAAGGAGAAUCGAGCUUGUUUAAACAUUUAUAAAUUGUAAAGAGCAGUCAGGGUAAAUGGAAAUAAAGAGUGAUCAAAUGUAGAAUGAAGUUAGAAUUUUCUAAGCUGACAAGGAAUGGUAGAAAUAACGAAGGAGGGAUGGGGUAAAUGGGUGACGGGCCUCAGGGAGGGCACUUUUUGGGAUGAGCACUGGCUGUUGUAUGUCAGAGAUGAAUCACUGGCUUCUACCCCUGAAGCCAAGAUUAUACUGUAUGUUAACUAACUCGAAUUAAAAAAAGAUGUAUAUAUAUAUAUACACACAUUUUUUAAUGUUGUCCAUUUUAUGUCCAUUUAUGUAUGUAUAUAUAUAUAUAUAUAUAUGAUUAUAUAUAUGUAUAAAUGAUUUCAAAAGGAAGAAAUAAAAUGGACAACAUUCAAAAAAAAAAAAAGAAAUAACAAAGGGGAAGAUCAGUAAGAACUUCAUGUACGAAUUACGAUUUCUCUCAAAAUUGCUUAACAGGCAAAUAAACCGGAGGAAAUACUCGCUCUCCACAGGACAAAGGGUGAUAUCCUUAACAGGAAAAGAGCUCCUGCCAAAAGGUAAUAAUAAAAGCAUUAAGUUCCCCAUCAGUAAAGGGGGGAAGGGAGUAAAGACAAUUGAAGGCACAGAUACAUUGAUGGCUAAGAAACAUUUGAACAUUUUUCAACCUCCCUCAUCAUCAAAGAAACGGAAAUUUGCAUAACAGGGAAAUGCUAUUGUUAACCUAUCAGAUUACUAGAACACUAAAAAAGAAAGAGAGAGAGAGAGAAUAUUCGAAUGCGGAGAUGGAGUGUAGUGACACAGAGGAGCUCAGCUCAGCUGGAAGGAAUACAAAGCGGUUCCAGCCCUCGGCAAGGAAUGUGGCGUGCAGUGUGUGAGCCUUGAAAAUAUUUGUAACGCUCACCUCCAAAAGUCUACUUCUGGGAUUCUAAUGAUGGAAAUGAUCCAAAACAGAGAAAAGGGGUUUUCUGCCAGAGACAUUCAUUGCACUGCUGUUUAUAAUAUUAAAAUUGGGGGAAUAAACUAAAUUUCCCAAAAAUAAGAGUGAUAUUACACAAAUCAGAAUAACAAAAUGUAGCCACUCAAAUAUCUGUGAAAUAUUUUAAGAUCGUAAGAUGCCUAGGUUUUAGUGAAAAAUAUAAAAUUAGAGUAUAAAGUUUUAUAUGUGGAAUGAGAUCAAAGGUAUAAAAUAACGGAUAAAAAUGACCAGAGUGGAUUAUAAUAAAAUGCUAAUAAAGGUUUUAUCUGGUUAGUAAGAUUAUGGAUGGAGUGACCAUGUAAUUUAUUCUCCAAAAGGGGACACACCCAAAUGUCUAUGAGAAGGGACAUAUCAGGGGACAACAUUCUGGCAGUAAAGCCUAAUGAGAAUGUUACUUUUUAUUAAGGUCCCUAAAUAUUUUUCAGACAAAGACUAGUUUUAUAAGUGAAUUCUUUCUAGGGAUGCCUGGGUGGCUCAGUGGGUUAAGUGUCUAACUUCAGCUCAGGUCACGAUCUCUCAAUUCUUGAAUUUGAGCCCCACCUCAGGUUCCACACGGCUGGUGUGGAGCCUGCUUGGGAUUCUCUCUCUCCCUCUCUCUCUCUCUCUGCCCCUUCCCCACCUGAGUGCUCUCCCUCUCUCUGAAAAUAAAUAAAUAAGCUUAAAAACUUUUUUUUUUAAAUUAAAAAAAGAAUUCUUUCUGAUUAUCAAAGUGACAUAUGUUCACUGUAGAAAAUUUGAGAAACAGAAAUAUAUGAAAUUUGAGAAAUUACACUGAUGUAAAUGGUGGGUAAAUAGUAGACCUUUCUAAGAGCUCAUUUGCGGGUGGUUUGGAUGAAGUGUGGCUGAGAAUCCGCUUGGGAUGAAAAGCAGGAGAGGGCAGUGGGCAGAUUUAAUGUUGGAGAAGCGUGUACUAGGUCAGCAGGAGUUUUGCAAAGAGGGAGUUCCCUGUCUCUGGAGUCAUCUGAGUUGAGGCUGGCUGACUCCAUUAGGCGGGUGUUCUUAAAAAGAAACUGAAGGCUGCCUAAGAGACACCAACCCUGAGGUCUGGGGUUGUUUGGAAGACCAGGCAUGGACCAAACCCAGAGCUUAGCUUUUCUGUAGGGGCGAGGUCUAACCUGGAGACAUAGGGAUGUCCAGACAGGUCACUGCUGGCGGCAGCCGCAGUCGAGCAGUGUGUGGGCAGGCAGGGAGUGGGGAGCUCAGAACGCUACCUUCCAUUUGAGUCUACUCUUUUCAAAAGCAGUUUUACAUACCUGUAUACUUUUUAAUGUAGUGUUUUAUUGAACGUGGAACGUUCUCAGAAUUCCAGAAGUCCUUUAUUGUCCCUUCUAAUUAUAUCCUCCUUGCUCCCUGAAGAAACCAAUAACCAAGUUAUUUCUUAUUCCUUUGGCCUGUUCGUAAGUCCUUCUAAAUGGAAUCACACAGUAUACUCUGUCUUGGGUGUGAUUUCCUUCACCCAACAUGAUGUUUGUGAAAUUUCUGCAUACUGUUACUUUAUCGCAUUUAAUUCUCACAGAAACACCAAAAGGGAGGUUAAAAGUUGGUCAGCAGCGGUGUCCGGAUGGGUCAGUCACAUGAGCAUCUGACUCCUGGUUUCAGCUCAGGUCACGAUCUCAUGGUUCAUGAGUUCGAGCCCCGUGUCAGGCUCUAUGCUGACAGUGCAGAGGCUGCUUGAGAUUCUCUGUAUCCCUCUCUCUUUGCCCCUCCCUGCUCAUGCCCUCUCUCUCCAAAAAAUAAAUAAACAUUAAAAAAAAAAAAGAAGCGAUCAGCAGUUUGCCAUAGAGAUAAGGAAAUAACCCCAAGGAGAUCAAGUGACUUCAGCAAGAUCUUAUAACCAGUAGCCAUCCAGUAAGUUGUCUCUAGGUUAGUACCCCUGGAGAAGUAUGGUUUUGUAGGGACAAGGUGGGAACUGGGUUUACUCAUAUCUUGACUCUCCUACUCACCAGUUUGGUGGGUUGGGGCAAGCCACUGAGCUUCUCUGAAACUUGAGUGCCUCCCUUCUGGAAUGGAACCCUGACAUCAGUGCCUCCCAGUUAACAUUUGUCACGUGGAUGAACAAAUGAGUUUAGUUGUCAGCAGCAAAUGACAUCAGGCGUAUAAAAUCCAGUAUGAUGCUUGGCACUUCCGGGCCCUCAUCAAAGAACAGCUAUAGGUGGCCCUUAAAAGGAAGUCUCCUACAAGGGGAGGCUCCCAGCGCAAGACUAAUUUUUGGAUGCAUCCGUUAGAAUGCAUUAAAUAUAAAUCAUCUGGGGAUUCCCAACGUCUGAGUACUUGGUGUUGUGCAGGUGAUCUGAAUGACCUAUACACUCAGCGUCACCCAGAAAGUUAAGUCUAGUGACAGCUUCUCUUAUUAACCCUCUUAAAGGCGCUCAAAGUGUUUCUCAGACCCCCAUUUGCUCCUGGCUUUGGUGAUAUGUAGAAACGUGUCAGCUUUUCAAAGCUGAUCUCUUCCGGACUUUUUGACAUGCACGUAGUGCUGGUGAAUUUGCAACAACCUCUGGGACAGCAUAGCUUUGCUCAGGCGGAAUGUAAAAGCCAUCCAGCUGGCAGACCAAGCUGAGAAAUCCACGUUCAUCUAAGUUAGUUUGUGCCUAAAUGCUCUCUGGGGUUUUACUUAUUUUUCAACUUGCUCUUGCUGUGAAAGUUCCGUCUUCGAAAUGUUAAGUCACCGAGCCAUAAAAAGAUGUGACAUGACCACAGGCAGUGUCAGUUGGUGUGCGUGCUGCUAGCUGUGGGGAAUUUGGGUGUGGACCCCUAAAUAUUGUGGCAUCCUAUCCUUCAAUAUAUAAUAGUUAUCACUACAUUUUAUUGAGCCCUUAAUACGUGAUAGAUUCCGUUAGCUACUCGCUCGGUGUUUCAUUUAAUCUUUACAAUAAAUCUCAUGAGAUAGGAUUAUCAUCAUCGUUUUAGAGAGAAGGAAACAGACCCAGAAGUGUUAAAUAACUUUUCAAGGGCAAAUAAUUCCUAAGUGGCAGAGCUGGGAUUGGAGCCUAGUGCUGCCUGAUUUCAAUGCUGGUUCUUUCCUCUGUGACUUGAAGCAAGAAUGAGGAGACUCUUUAAAUUUUUUUUUUUUAUUUUUAAUGUUUAUUUUUGAGAGGGGGGAGGGGGGGAGAGAGAAAGAGAGAGAGAGAAAGAGAGAGAGAGAGAGGCAAAUGGGGGAGGGACAGAGAGAGAGGGAGACCCAGCAUCCAAAGAAAGCUCCAGGCUCUGAGCCAUCAUCACAGAACCUGAUGCGGUGGUUGAACUCAUGAACUGCAAGAUCAUGACCUGAGCCAAAGUCAGACAUUUAACCAACUGAGCUACCAGGUGCCCCAGGAAUGAGGAGACUCUAAUGAAAGAAGUCUGGGAUGUGGGACCCCGAAGAUGAAAUCUGGCUUAUAGAUAUGCUUGGGUCUGUGGGUUUCUCUGGAGUCCUAAUGACUUAAUUAUUAAAGAACACAGCCUGCCGUGGCUGGAGGGGAGCAGAUGCUGUCACAACUGCCAAGAAGGAGGUCAAGUGCCUCGACCUUGACCCCAGUCAUAUCAGUUCAAAACAGGCUGCCUGCAGGCACUCUGGAGAAACAGACACAGCUUUCCAGAUUUUUCCUCUACCACCAAGGUGAGGUGCACUCUCCUAAUCUGUCUUGGUUCUUUAUUUAGCACGGCACUUCUGUUCUGCCAAAGCAGCCAUUCCAAAUAUGAGUGCUUAAAAUAAUGAUCAUAAUAUAAACAAAACAGCAAACUCACCCUUAGGUAACCUCCAAUAGCGAGAAAGGAAAUAUAAACAUGUUUCUCUCCCUGAGGGUCAGGCUGUCCUGCACCUUGAAGGUAAGAGACCUGUCUCUGUGACCCCACCCCUUGCUCAUUCUCCUUUGUCUUUAGAGCCCCCUUAGAACUUUAAUUUAACCUCUGUCCAAACUGGCACUUAAAUCCUGAAUUCACUCCUUCUUUUUAUUUAUUUAUUUAAAAAAAUUUUUUUUCAGUGUUUGUUUUUGAGAGACAGAGACAGACAGAGCAUGAGCAGGGGAGGGGUAGAGAGAGAGGGAGACACAGAAUCCAAAGCAGGCUCCAGGCUCCCAGCUGUCAGCACAGAGCCUGACGCAGGGCUUGAACCCAUGAACCGUGAGAUCAUGACCUGAGCCAAAGUCGGACACAACCGACUGAGCCACCCAGGCGUCCCUCAGUCCUUCUUUUUAUAUGCACUCCCCCACCAUCAUUGAAGCCAUAUCAUCUUUCGCCAGGACUGCUUGCCCCAAGGGACCAAGCUCCAUUCCGAUCCCCUCCCCCACCAUAAUUUAUUCUCCUCAAAGCAGCCAGAGUGUCAUUUCAGACACAAAUCACAUACUGUCUGGGGCAAAUUUUAUUUUCCAAAGUCAGCUAUCCUGGUCCAUCUCACUCCAAAUGUUCUUACAAGGGGAUGUGGAGGUUCCUCCAUGAAUAGUAGAGUCUCUAUUCUCUCCCUUUGAUGCUGGGCAGGUUUGGGGGACUGGCCUCCAAGGGUGGAACACAGCAGACUUCCAAGAUUAAGUUAGAAGAAGCAAUACAGACUACCACUGGGCUCUUUCCUGGGAUGCUGCCCUGGUAAUCCAGCCGCCAUAUUUUGAGGAAGCUAAGCAGACACACGGAAGGGCCAGGUGUCAUCCAGCUGAGGUCCCAAAUCCAGGAUCAGCCACCAGACAUGAGUGAGCAAGUCUCAGAUGACUCCACACCAAAUGGUGGAGACGCCAGCCGACUUCACCAGGCCCUGCCCCCGUUACAGAUCUCCGCCCAAGAAAGAGGUCACUGUAUCAAGACACUAAGUUUAGGGGAGGUUUGUGACACAGAACUGGGAACCAGAACUCCAUCACUCUUUUGCUUGAAACCCUCUAGUGUCUUCCCUGUGCCAUGGGAAGAAACUCCAACAUCCUUACUUGGGUCUCCAAACCUGUGCGUGAUCUAGCCCCUGACAGCCCCUCCCAUUUCGUCAGCCCUGUGCUCAUUGCUUCUUUCUCUCCAUUGAACCCACAGGGCUUGUUCUGACCUCAAGGCCUCUGUUCUUACCGUUCCUUCUGCCCAAAUGCUAUUCCCUGGGGAUUGGCAUAUCUGGAUUCCGUUUAUAAUUCAGGUUGCACUUCAAAAAUUGCUUCCUUCACUGGUUAUCAAAGACUGGCCCUUGGGUCCCUUUCAGAUUAGGGGUCACACAUGUUAAGGUUAGGUGGUCAUUGUGACAUUUUUUCCCCCAGCCAUGUUCAGCUACAGAAAGGCAAGCAUGGAUGGCAUAGGAGCAGAGUAGAAUUUAAACAGGUUUGGGGUCUUGUCCGGUGAGUUCAUGACUCCUUUGAAGGUGACUCUGCCUCAGUAGUCACUACUCCACAAGGGUGCUUUUCGCCAAGACAAUAUGCUAAUGUUGAAAUAGUCACAGUCUCAAAGAUGUGUUUAUCAGGUGCUGUUGGACUAAUUUUUGGCUCACCUGCAGUCACAGAGGGAGAGAAAGAGAGAGAAUACAAAUUCCAUGCUCUCUUCAAUCAUCUUCAAUUCUUUAUUCCUCAAAAAUGCACUUAUUGAGGGUCCACUAUGAGCAAGGAGGCUAUAUUCUAGUGGGAGGAACAAAUACUAAACAAAGAAUAAAAUAGAGUGUGUCAGCAUGUGAUAAUAUAGGAGGGAAGCGGGAGACUUGAAUGAAAUGUGUCAGUUAGCCAUAUAGCUCGGCAUGGAAGAGUGUCCCAGGAAGAAGGGACAGCAAGUGCAAAGUCCCUGGUCUGUGAGCAUGGGCGGCAUGUUUAAGAAUUAGCAAAAAAGAGGGGCGCCUGGUUGGUUCAGUUGGAUAAGCGUCCGACUUUGUCUCAGGUCAUGAUCUCAUGGCUUGUGGGCUCAAGCCCCGCGUCAGGCUCUGUGCUGACAGCUCAGAGCCCAGAACCUGCUUCUGCUUCUGUGUCUCCAUCUCUGUCUCUCUUUGCCCCUGCCCCACUUGCACUCUGUCUCUCUCUCUCUCAAAAUACAUAGACAUUAAAAAAUGUUUAAAAAGAAGUGAGACAUGGAAAUUUCUAAAAUUUAUAGGGAGUAUUUCCAGUGAGGUAGCAGAACAGAGUGGUAUGUAGAAACGUAUAAAAAUGUGCUUGGAGAGGGAGAGAGCAAUCAACUGCUUGAAACACUGAUGGAAGAAGAUGCAUGUUGAGAAUUACCUGCUGCAAUUGGAGAUGAGAAGGUGAUUGGCAUCCUUGACAAGAGCUAUUUCUGGGGUGGAAAAAGGAUGAAACCUGGAUGCCAUUGGGUUAGGGAGAAGGUAGGAGAAAAGGAAAUGAGGAUGAUGACUUUAUUCUAGGAUAAUUUUCCUGGAAAGGGGGUGCAAAAAUGGGUACAGUAGCUGAAGAGAGAUGUGGGGCAAGUGAGGAUUUUUUUUUAACAUGAGAAAAUAUAAAAUGUGCACUAAUGAAGAAGAGUGAGGGAGGUUGAUGAUGCAAGGCAGAGAGGAAACAGCAGGUACAUCCCCAAAGGAGGAGUUGGCCAGAGAAAGGAGAAAGGAAGUCAGUCCAAAGAAACAAGAGAAUGUGAGAUGUUUGUGUAUGUUGGCAGAUAGAUAUGGUGAUGGAAAUGUAUGGAAAUUACUUUCUGAUUGCUUUUAUGAUGUACAAUGAAAUAGGAAGCAAAGCAACUAUUUGGGAGUGAAAAUUAAAGAAGAACCAUGAAGAUUUGAGAAGAAGGAAAUGGUCAACCAGGAGAGUAGACAAGUGAAUGGAUUAGGGAAAUGCAGUGGAAUUAGUGAAAGCACUAAAGGUCCACUGCAGGUUAGUGGUUGAGGAUCUAAAGUUAAAUCAAUCAGUAUAACAUUGACCUACAUGGAAUAGGUGUAAUGUUGGAUUUAAACAGGGCAUAGGUUGUGUUGGCUGCUAUGAGCUGAAGUGUGUCCCCCCACAAUUAGUUGCUGGAGCCCUAAUCUCCAAUGAGACUGUAUUUGGAGAAAGGGCUUUCAGGAGAUAAUUAAGGUUAAAUAAGGUCACAAGUGGGGAUUCCAAAUCUGAUAGGAUUAGUGGUCCUAUAAAAAGAAAAAGAUAGAGAGUUCCGUCUUCAUGCUCAUGCAUGAAGAAAAGGCCAUAUGAGCACACACUGAGAUGGCAGCUGUCUGGAAGCCAGGAAGAAAGCUCUCACCAAGAAUUAAAUUUGCUGGCACCUUAGUCUUGAACUCCCCAGCCUCCAGAACUGUGAGAAAUAGAUUUCUGUUGUUUAAGUCACUCAGACUAUUGUAUUUGUUAUGGUAGCCUGAGCUAAAACAUCAGGUGAGUAUGAUAAAGGAAAGAGAGCCAAGGGAGUUGAGGGUUGUGUGCAAGAGAAUGGUUAUGACCACAGACCAUGGAAACAAGAUUAGGCGAGAAAGGAAGUAAUAAUGAUGUGGGAUGAAGGGCAGUACAACUGUUUAAUAUGAUAAAGUUAAUGACUGUAGAUCUAAAUUGAUCUAAGAGUCCAGAGAGUGGGGUACUUGAGGGGGUAAAGUGGAAAGAUAGGAGGUAAUGGUCAGAAAGUGGGAUGUUUUCUGUAAGAUCGUAGGGGUGGUACUGUAAUUGAUGAUGACAAAGUCUAGGGUGUGAUCAAGGAAAUGGAAAACUGGUAGUUUGAGGACAAAAGUUGAGAAACUAAAACUCUGGAGUGUUAGAAAGAUGGUCUUUGUUAAUAUUGGGAUAAUCAGGGAUUACAGUAACUGUUGGAAUUAUACUAACAGUUGCAGUGAGUGGCCAUAAGCUCAGUGCUUACAUCUUCAAAGAAUGAAAAACAGUACCUGAGAAGAGCAUUUGAAGUGAUUUCAAGAUGGUGGGUAGUAAAUAGUGGAGUCUGAAGGGUGGUCUUCAAAACUGUGGGUUGUUAGGGAGAGGGAAGAAUAGUAAAGUGUCAAUGAGGACUAACGAUUUAUAAUAUAUCUUCCUUAGAGGAAGUCUUUAUCUGUCUAUUUAUCAUCUAUCAAUCAUCUAUCUAUCACCUAUCUAUCUAUCUAUCUAUCUAUCUAUCUAAUCUCCCUAACUAUAUCUAUCUAUGUAUCUAUCAUCUAUCAAUCUUCUAUCUAUUAUCUAUCUCUCUACUAUCUAUAUUUAUCUAUCAUCUAACUAUCCAUCUACUAGAUCUAUCUAUCUAUCUAUCUAUCUAUCUAUCUAUCUAUCAUCUAGCUCCCUAUCUAUAUCUAUCUAUGUAUCUAACUAUCAUCUAUCAGUUUACUAUCUAUUAUCUAUCUCUCUACUAUCUAUCUAUUAUCUAUCAUCGAUCUCUCUAUCAUGUAUCUAUCCAUCUAUCUACUGUCUAUCUAUCUCCAUAUCUAUCUCGCUAUCUAUCGAUAUCUAUUUAUCUGUCUAUCUCCUAUGUAAUCUAUCUCCUAUCUAUCUAUCUACCACCUAUCUAAGGAGGAUAUAUAGAUAUCCUUAGAUAUAUCCAAGGAUGGAUAUAGGAGAUAGAUAGAUAUAGAUAUAUAUAUAGAUAUAUAUAUAUAUAUAUAUAUAUAUAUAUAUCUCCCACCACCAGUCUGCAGAGUAGAGGGAAGGGGAAAGAAAGCAGGCACUACUUGAGAGAUCUGUAGAGAAAUUAGAGUCCACAGAGAACUAAGUUUCUUUUGGACAAAGAUGAAGGGCACAUUACAGGAGAGGCUUGUGAUGAGGAAGACUUUGCUAAUGGCUGCCCAUAAUUCUCGAAGCACAGAGGAAGGGGCCAGGAGCUGUGGGGUGGCAAUGGGGUUAGAUUAGGGCAUGUGUUGAUCUUUAUAGGUAUUAGAGUCAAUGUAAUGGAGAAGUGGGAGUUGGGACUUCUGAUAGCUGACAUAGAAUGAGAAAAGGGGAUUCUUGAAUUAGUCACAAAAUGCUUGGCAUCUGUGUUUGACUGUGCUCCCAAACCCAUUCCCUGCCCUUCUUUGCCCUUCUCUGAAGCCUACUUUCCAUGCAGUUGAAGCAUUUAGGCUACUUUUUCCUUUGACUUCCAGUUUUCCCUGGCUAGUGGGAAGCUCUAGCAGGAGAUCAGAAGGCUAAAGGAGAGAGAGGAAACAGUAUUUUUUCUUUGCUUUCUCCCUGCCUCCUAGCAAUCGUGGCAAUGGUUACCUUCUUCUGAGUGCCAGCUCUGUAGGCAGCCCCUCUUCUAUGGCUCUAUCUCAUGCUGAUCAAGAGCCAGUGACUCUUCUGCCUGUGCUGAUCCCUUGGUAAUCACCAUCUUUGUUGGUUCUCACAUCUCUGCCCAUACCUCAUCCAGCAAACCCUUCAUCAGCUCCUCAGUUGAGUGACCCAUUGGUUCAUGCCUGGUCCCUGGUGGUCUUACCUGCCGACAGGUGCACCUGUUCCCAUAUGUCCAGGUGUGCCCAGGACAGUUCUGGCUUACAUGAUUUGUACCAGUGUAAUUAUUAAUAGCAUCCCUUUCACUCCCCAAAGUAUUCCAGUUUUGAUUAAUUAUAUAGUCACCCUACCUCUGAUCCCCUGGUUCUGUUUGCUAUGCCUGUAAAUCAAUCUCUCCAGAUGGCCUUCUCUCUGGCUGGAGUCUUCUUAAUCUCUUACAGUCUUUCCUGUGAACUGAGAGGCUGGAUAUCUAGGAAAGGGAGGAGGGAGAGGGAGAGCCCAGCUUGGUCUUUAUUUUCAUUCCUCCAACACAGCAGGCUAAAAGCAGAUGAGAGAGCACAGCUCGUCUUGUUUAUGAUUUACAUUUUUCCAUGAUUAAUCAUGUAUAAUGAAGAGAUACUUCCCUAGGGUCACUGGCUCAUUAGCUUCUUACCCUCCCUUAUUUUGGGGACCUAUACCAUCAACCUGAAUAGCAGAGCACAGGUGAAUUGAAAAAUAUCAAGUGGCUUUGCUAUGUUGGGCAAGCCAAGCUAAGCUCUCUUGGCCUUGAUUUCCUCCUUUGCAAAUGGGAGGAUUAACAGCACCUAACAGGGUAACUAGGAUUGAAUGAGUUGAUACAUAAAGAGGUGCAAUAGUGCUGACACAUAGGGAGCACUAUGCACUUGUAUCUUUUACACACACACACACACACACACACACACACACACACACACACUCUGAUGGGGAGAGGUGUGUAUGAGGGAUGGGGAUGAACACUCAGGUGGAGGAGAAAGUGGCUCUUCCUUCCUGAGGAACACAGCACCGGGGCACUGAUGCAUAUUAGGUUACAGAUCACUGUGGUUUCUUGAAACAAGGGGCUAUUUCCUGUAUGGAGAGGGUAGGUGUUUCCAGAAGGGAGAAAAGGAAACUUGUGCCUGCUUCCGUUCAAGCCUCUUCAGAGAAAUCCAACUUUCAUCUCCCAGAGACCAGCCACUCUGGAAAAUGUGGACGUAGUUUUAGUUUUCACCUAUGCUAACAAAAUGAAAGAAAUCAGCAUUUAUUUUUGUGAUCUGACACAAAUUCUGGGCAAGGGGUGUGGAAAGAGAUGUAUCAAUCUGGGUCUAACCAGAAGACAGACAUCACGAAGUAAUUUGGAGCACGUAUAAUAUAAGUGAUCAUUCAGCUAUGACAGCAGAGUAACUAUAAAGAUGGCGGGGGCUGGGAGGAAAUGUCUAAAGGAUACCCUGGGGCUAGGGGGAAUGCUCUAAGAAGGACAAAUUUAGAAGAGGUUCUCAUCUCAUUGGAGAAGCUGUGGUUGCAGGCCAGUGGGUGGCCAAAGAGCUCGCUGGCUUGCAGGAGCCCCAGCUGGCGCACCCGUCAAUGGGUGAACAGAAACGGCUCCCAGGUCAAGGCUGGUGGGCGGGCAUGGAGAGGGAGUCAGGGACCCUGCUGGGGGUGCUUGGCCCAGAGUGCAGGGUGUCCAUAUCAGGAGGACAAGAAACAACACGCGCAGGGCUAGUGGGUGUGAAUGCAAAAGGAAUCAACAGGGGUGCUGCUAUGGAGGGGGGCUGGAGAGCCCUCUCUCUACAGAAACCUAAAACACCUCCGCAUAUGGCUUAGGCUGGUCCGGAUUCAGGUGGGGCCAUGGGCUCCCAGGAAGGGGAAUUCUGGAGGCAUUAGGAGACAGAUCUCACUCUCCUAUUUCUCUAUUAGAUGAACUAUCCCAAUUCCUGACAACUCUUCCUUCUACAGCAUUUAUUCCUGAUCACAUUGACAGAAAACUCUCCUUAGCUAUUGUCUGUUGUGGUGUUCCAUUUUUUUUUCUUUAUGGUAUCAUUUAUUUUUUCUUAAUAUGAACUUUAUUGUCAAAUUGGUUUCCAUACAACACACACAACACCCAGGGUUCCUCCCGACAGGUGCCCUCCUCCAUGCCCAUCACCCACCCUCCCCCCCUCCCACCCCCCUCAGUUUAUGCUCAGUUUUUAAGAGUCUCUUAUGGUUUGGCUUCCUCCCUCUCUAACUUUUGUUGUGGUAUUCCAGAUGUAAUCAUACUGGUAAAGAAUAGCCAAAACAAACAAACAAACAAACAAACAAACAAGCAAACAAGCAAACUUCCUGUGCUGAUGUCGAAGAGUUUCAGGGAAUUUCUGCUAGCUUUUCUAGCAACUGUCCGAAGGUUGUGUUUAAGUGAAUGCAUUGUGCCCCCAGCAAUAAUCACUUGCAUGCAGAUAUAACUCACCUUAGAUAUAACUCAAGCUAUCAGAAAAUAUACUUUGCGUUUGUAUAAUCACUAUGUUAAAGACUUGGAUUUCUUUAUUCUGAGGUAUUCUAAGGUAGCGUUUCUUUGAGCGACAUCCGUUUUCUGUCUCAUUAGCGGGAGGGGUCGUUAGAUAAUCUUCUGAUGGUGUCGGGUAGAUCUGUUUCCUGAAACUAUUCUCCUGGGAUAAACAGAUACUUGUCAUUUUGUUUGCUGGGGUGUCUCUAACUCUCAAAAUGACUGAUGGGCCAUAAUGUUAUUCCAUGGGGAUGAAGAACAUUGGCUGUGGGGUUGGCUUUUGGUUUCCUUAGCAACUCUCUCCUAGGGGCACCAUGGCAGCCACGUUUAUUCAAAGUCGGGAUUCUAACAACAACAAAAACUGACAGUAUUUCAAUUGAGAUUUUAUACACCUAAAUUAACUUUGCUCAAGAGAGAUACGUUUUGCAUUGCUAUCAUUUUUUUAGUUUGUGUGCUAUUUCUCAUUAGAAUAGCAAAUUCCACCCUCAGAGGAGAGUUGGCUGGGAGGGGAGAGAGCUGGGGGGUAGAGAUUAGAGAGGCUUAAUAACCUGAAUCCCAAAGAGGAAGUGGUUUUCUCUUAGCUCCAGUUUCCCAUAUAGCCCUGAGGGGAACUAAUUUAGAAUCCAAGCAAGCCCCGUCAAAUACAUGGUCUCCUUAGUACCGUGUUAUUCAAUCCAAGUAGAAAUAACUUAGUUUUUCCCAUUGUUUUUACAGAAAAGCUGGUCUCUGUGUGAGAUUUAUUACCAUUUCCUACCAGGGUUUCUGAAGUUUGGCACCACUGAUAAUUUGGACUGGAUAAUUGGGGGAGGGGGGGCUGCCUUGUGUAAAAUGUUUAGCAGUAUCCCUGGCCUCCACCCAAUAGAUGCCAGUAGAUCCACUCUCCCCCCACCCCACUGGUCCCCCAGCUGGGACAACCAAAAGUCUCUAGACAGUGCCAAAUAUCCCCGGGGGAGGGGGGCAUGCAAAAUGACUCCAGUUGAGAUCUAUUAUCUAAAGGAGAAAUGCCGUGUGAUCCCAUGAAUAACUCAUUUUCAUGUGAUCCCAUGAAUAACUCCCUUUAUCAGUCCUCACUUUUAGCUUCCUAAACUAGAUAACCGAUACUCCAAGUGCAUGAGAGCCCAUGCCCAGAACGCCCAUUAAAAGGAACUAUGAUAUAUUUGCACAUAAUUUAGUGAGUAUCACAAUAGCAGCAAGAUCCUCACUCGAGGUUGAUUGGACCUGUCUUCUGGCCUCAGUCAUUUCCCGUCUCUGUCACAGCUUUUCAUUAUCACACCCCCUAUUUUUUUUUAUGAAAGUAUGCAUGUCACAUGGAAGUCACUAGCACCUCCCAGCUCCAAGACAUGAAAACUAAAGGCACAAUAAGAUAAAAUAAAAUAAAAUAAAAUAAAAUAAAAUAAAAUAAAAUAGGAGAGGGAGUCAUGGAGAGACUAAUGUGGAUUCCACAGGACACAGUUUUAUAGAAUAUUGAUUCUGCCUGUGCCAACAAUUAACCACAAAAUUAGACACAUCCGAGGGGAAAUUUAUGUAACACUUGUAAGCCCUAGGAGAUCACUGGUGUUUUUUUUUCCCAAGAUCUACCUAUAACAAAAUUUCUAAAUCAAUAAAAAAAUAUUUGUAGCUCCUUGCAUUUCCAUAUGACCAAAACUAUCUUUUAAAAAAUUAAUUUUUCUAUCUAUUUAUUAUUAUUAAUUUGAGAAAGAAAGAGCACACACAUGCAAAUGGCAGAAGGGGAGAGGGACAGGGAGAGAACAUCUCAAGCAGAUUCCGUGCCCAGCACAGGGCCCCAUGGGGGGCUGAAUCCCACAACUGUGAGAUCACAACCAGAUCUGAAAUCAAAAGUCAGACGCUUAGCUGAUUGAGCCACCCAGGUGCUCCCCCCCUCCCUGAAGCUACCUUUUUAGAAUGAAGAUAUCACUCUGUCAAUGCUAUAUAUGAAGAACCAUUUUUGUCUGACCACAAAGAAUGACAGCAGGGUGCCUGGGUGGCUCAGCCAGUUGAGCAUCUGACUCUUGAUUUCGGCUCAUGGUUCAUGGGAUUGAGCCCAUGUGGGGCUCUGCACUGAUAGCCAGGAGACUACUUGGGAUUCUCUCUCUCUCUCUCUGCCGCUCCCCUGUUCUCUCUCUCUCUCUCUCUCUCUCUCAAAAAAUAAAUAAAUACAUUUUUUUUAAUGGUAGGAUUAUCCAAGUUUUUUUCUAGAACCUCCACGGUGCAAUUAGAACUGGCCUGUGCUGGAAUUGAGGCAAUACUUGACAAAUUUGAUGCGAACUGGUGCCAGGCACCAUGUCUCCCAACACAGAUUCAGUUGUUUGUUGGUUGUGUUGGAACUGGUUUUAAUCUUAAGAUGACAAAGGAUGUGGAAAGACUGUGGGUUUCUACAUCUGACUGACUUGAGUUUUCAACCCAUCACUGGCUGUGUGAUGACAGGCACCUUCUUUUACCGUUCUGAGCUUCUCAUCGGCAAAGUGAGAGUAUAAUACAACCAUCACAGGGUCAUCACGGGUUUGGAAAGAACACACAGAAAGCUCUGAGCAGAAUGGCCAGCCUGGGAAGGAGCCACUUCCCUGUGGCCUAGUUACUCCAUGCCGACAUCGAUUCUGACACACCAAGCCUCAGGCUAACACAUCUGAUGUGGUGCCCAGAGUCCCGUCCCAUAGAGAUGAUCAGACCCUUUUUGUUUGGUCGAACAACAACAAAUUCCUGUCUACCUCGGAGGCGUCCAAAUGAUAAUGUCAGUCUGGCUGGGUCAGAUAUACCUGGGAGCCUGUUAAGAACAAUGAUCCUUGGUUCAUACCCUAGAGCUUUUCAUUCAGUGAGCCACUCUUAGGACCUGGGAAUAUGGGCUUUAGAAAGCUCCCAGGGAGCUCCCAAUGUGCCAUUUCUCAACCCAACUGGUUAUAUGGGUGUGUUCAGUUUGUGAACCGCUCCCCCCCCCCAAAACUGCUACAAUUUUCUGCCUGUAUGUGAUAUGGCAGAAAACUUCCAUAAAAGCUUAAUUAAAAGUAAAAUAUCUCCCCAGGUGAUUCUGAUUCACAGGCCAGUUUUGAGAGCCACUGGUUUUUGUAUCUUAUCCAAACCACACUUAAAAGUAAAAAAUGAGGGGUGCCUGGGUGGCUCAGUCGGUUAAGCAUCCUACUUCAGCUCAGGUUAUGAUCUGGCAGUUAGUGAGUUUGAGCCCCGUGUUGGGCUCUGUGCUGACGGCUCAGAGCUGGAGCCUGCUUGGGAUCCUGUGUCUCCCUCUCUCUCUGCCCCUCCCCUGCUCAUGCUCUGUCUCUCUGUCUCACAAAAAUAAAUAAACUUAAAAAAAAAAUAAAACGGAAAGAAAAAAAAAGUCAGAGAGGGAGGGAGCGAAAGCAUAAGAGACUUAAAAACUGAGAAUAAACUGAGGGUUGAUGGGGGCUGGGAGGGAGGGGAGGGUGGGUGAUGGGCAUGGAGGAGGGCACCCGUCGGGAGGAGCCCUGGGUGUUGCAUGGAAACCAACCUGACAAUACAUUUCAUAUUUAGAAAAUAAAAAUAAAAUAACAAAUAAAUGUAAAAGAAAAAUAAAACAGAAACACUCAAGGGGUGAAAAAGCCACAAGGCUAAAGUGCUUUCCAGCUUCUACUGAAGAGCUGUCCUUUGUGGGAACAGUGUUUCUGAAAUCAGAGAAGCGCUCCUCGGUGGCAUAGCCCUCCCCAAACCUCCAACACAGAGAAUAAGGAAAAUGGACCUGUAAUUGCUCUUGCUUCUACUGUAGUCCAACCAGGAAUUAAAAGCUCUCAUACCGUUGACGCACAGAUUGCAGAUUAUAGACAAAGCAGCACACUCUACUUUCCUUGUUGAGAAUGGUUCAUUUUCUCCCGGGGAACUCUAGUGGCACACCGUUUUGUCCAGCAUUGAAGAAGAGAAGGAAAUGGCAUUUUUUUAAGCUCAGUAAGUAUAGUAUUUAUUUGUACUUUCACUUAAGAGAUGAGCCACUUAAGGCUUAAAUGAAAUGUCAAUAUGUCCAAACACAAGGUGUCCAGAGGCAACUGCUGUGAUUUUGACCAGUGGUUUAGUGUCCAAUUUGCUACCUUAUUUACUUAUCUCAGUUCUGGAUAAAUAGGGUAAGCUAAACUCACAAUACUAUGGGAAUUUUUUCUCUUUGGUGAUUAAUAAAAAAAGCAGAUAGAAAUAGCUUGUCAGGGCACGUGGGGGCUCAGUUGGUUAAGGGUCCAAUUUCUUUCUUUCUUUCUUGCUUUCUUUCUUUCUUUCUUUCUUUCUUUCUUUUUUUGAGUUUAUUUAUUUUGACAGACACACAGAUAGCCAAGUUGGGGGGGGGGGGGGGGGGGNAGCAGAUAGAAAUAGCUUGUCAGGGCACGUGGGGGCUCAGUUGGUUAAGGGUCCAAUUUCUUUCUUUCUUUCUUGCUUUCUUUCUUUCUUUCUUUCUUUCUUUCUUUCUUUCUUUCUUUUUUUGAGUUUAUUUAUUUUGACAGACACAGAGAUAGCCAAGUUGGGGAGGGGCAGAGAGAGACGGAGACAGAGAGAAUCCCAAGCAGGCUUUGCUCUGUCAGUGCUCAGAGCCCAAUGGGGGGGGCCUUGAACCUACAAAACACUGAGAUCAUGAUCUGAGCCAAAACCAAGAGUUGGAUGCUUAAUCGACUGAGCCACCCAGGCACCCCUAAGCAUCCAAUUCUUGAUGGAGGCUCAGGUCAUGAUCUUGCCGUUCAUGAGAUCGAGCCCCGUGUUGGGGUCUGCACUGACCCUGUAGAGCCUGCUUGGGAUUCUGUCUCUCCCUCUCUCUCUGUCCCUCCCCCACUCCUGUUUUUUCCCCCUCUCUCUUUCUCUCAAAAUAAAUAAAUAAACUUCAAGAAAAAGAAAUAUAUUAUCAAUCUUAACAAAACAUUAAAUGGAUGAAAUAUUGGUUUUAACCUGAUGAAAUCCUGGGAUUUUUUCCCCCAAUGAAUUGAAAGCCUGAAUGAUAUUCCCUGGAAGGGUAUAUUUAAAAAUAGAUACACUGUGGGUAAGUGGAUUAAGAGGCACAAGACUGAAUCUGAAGUGACAUAGCAGAUAAUUUCAGUUUGUUCCUUGCAAUCGUCUUCAAGGUUGGAAUAAGGUGUCCAUUUUCCUGGUGAGGAAACUGAGGCACAGAAAGGUUACAGGGCUGGAAUUCAUGCAGGUCUUCUUGAACCCACCUUCUUCCCAUGCCUCCCCGGUGAUGUUUGUUAGUGCCUGAAUUCAAAUAUUGGUAGGGGCCUGGGGAUGCCGUCAUGACUGACCAAAGAUGCAGACCAGGCAAUCAGGCACCGUGAAGAAUAACUAGAAAGUGAGAUGGCCAUUGGGAGGAGAAGGAAGGCCAAGCAACAAUGGAAACGACCAGCCAAUGUGGUCUAGGAACGGACCCUAGGAUAGUGCCUAUCUGUGGACUAUACAGCAGAAUUCCCAGAGACGUAUCCACCAUGACCUGUAUUCCAUUAGCAGGUAGAUGCUCACAUGAACAAGCCUUUUCUAAACAUUUUAAAGAGGAAGCAAAAGCGUUUUUAUUCGAGUCCAUUAGGGCAGGUGUCCGGGAGACACAAUCUUCACAAAGAAGAGAGUGCUCACGGGCUAUCUAUAUUUUUUACAUAAAGGGUUACAAAUCGUCAUGACGAAAGGCAUUGCAGAAAGCUACAGGCUUUAACUUACGUUUUUUUGUGUGUGCAAAGUUGUGUGACUUUCGUCUUACGGGAGCCAGGGAGGUCUUUUUUUUUUCCUCAUCUUUAGGUUUGGAAUGCUCCUUUUGGGUUCCUUUGUUCUUCCCAGAUGUACAGUGUGUGCUCAGGGCAGAAACAGAGCCCGUGCUGGGAAGUCUUGCCGAGUCAUUUUGACCUUGGUUAAAAGUUAAGGUAUAGCUUUUCUGGCAGCCCAGGAGCGGGGCCCACAAACAUUCAAAGUUGAAAAUUUCCUUUACCGUGUGAAACUGCUGACACUCUCGUGCGCACCAAACGCGCAAAACACGUGCACGAGAGUGUCAGCAGUUUCACGCGGUCAAGUUUCACGCAGUCAAGUUUACUGAAACUUUGCAGGUCUCAUUUUCACGCACUCUUUGUGAUGGGUUGAAUGGUGGCUCCCCAAACAGAUGUGUCCACCUCCCAGAAUCUGUGAAUGUGACCUUGAACAGAGGGUCUUUACAGACGUGAUCAGAUUAAGGACCUUGAGAUGAGGUCACCCCGAAUUACCCCUGUGGAUCUUAAAUCUUGCAAGUACCAUUAAAAGAGCAGAAAAGACCCAAACACAGAAGAGAGGCCAUGUGAGGACAGAGGCAGAGAUCUGGGUUCUGCAGCCACAAGCCAGGAGCCACCAGGAGCCACCUGGAGCCACCUGAAAUCACCUGGAAGAUGUAGGGAAGGAUUCUCCUCCAGAGCUUCUCAGAGGAAGCACGAUUCUGCCAACACUUUGAUUUCAGAUUUCUGGCCUCCUUAACUGUGAGAGAAUAAAUAUGUUGGUUCUAGUCACCAAGCUGGUGAUAGUUUGUUACAGCAGCUCUAGAGAAUCAGUACACUUUUAUUAUCUCCAUUUUAUUGAUGAAGAAACUGAGGUUUACAAGGCUUAAGUAGAGUGCUCCAUUCACACAGCUACCAAGAGAUCAAGCCAGAGCUAGAAUUUGGCCACAGAGACUGUGCUCAGAACCUCACGCUGGUACCACGAGCCUGUUUCCAGAAACGAGGCCAAAUUCUUUGGGUUGGCCGGGUAACCUCUGUCAACAGGACUCAAGCCACCUUUCUAGACCCUGUUUUCAUCGUGUCCCACCUCCUCUACCCAGCACACCCUGUGUUACAUUGAAUACCUUGUAAUGUAUACAUUUUUAAUAAAAACAACUAUCAUGGUUUUGAGCGUCUACCGAAUACCAGGUUCUGCCCUAGAUUCUCACAUUCGUAUUGAAUUACCACCCCCCACCCCAAACUUAUGAUUUCCAUUUUACAAAUGAAAGGAUUGAGGUUCAUGAGGUCAGUUAGUAAAUACUGGAGGUACUGAGCCCAGCUCAAAAGUCACUUCCUCCAUGAAGCUUUCUGGAUUUUUCUUACCAUAGCAGAAAGGUCCCGCCUCCUCUAUGCUUCUUAUUACUUGGACCCACUUGUAACUCUAUCAACCUUACAUUGCUUCAACAGGUACCCACUGAGCAUGUACUUUCCACCAGGUACUAAAUGGGAGCUCAUGGCCAGGUGGGAAAAAUGGACAUGGAGGACAACGUAACAGUAGACCACAAUGAAUGUUAGGAAGUUAGACUCAGGAUGCAGUCUGAGCACCAAGGAGGACCAUCCCCCCAAAUCCACCCUUAGCUGAGAGAGUGAUGAGGAUACUUAACAUUCAAGCCCCAGGACCUUUGCACAGGACCCUUUUGUUUUCCUGCAAAAGCCAUCUCUCUUUCUUUUUUAUUCCAACCAGUUGGCACAAGCUGAGGAUGAGUGGAUUUGGGAGAAGAAAGAGGAACAUCUGGGGAUAGACCCUCCCGGAAAUAGUCUAUGCACAAUCUUAAGGCUGGUUAGACUCAAGAAGCAGUUUAACAACAAGCUCUUCAGGAUUAGAAAUGUACAAAAGCAUCAAGGUAACUGCUGGCUGGUUUCUUGCCUCCCCUUGGGGGUCAAAAUUAUUCCCAUCAGUCCUGUGCAUAAGUCCUGAGCCUUGAGUAUUGAGUACCUCUUACCAGCACUCUCUCAGCUAAGCAGGUAGGAGAGGAGGGAACCAGUACAGAAAGGAGAUGAGGGCAAUCUUCUCCAAACCAUGAGGUUUUUCAUCACGACUUGAAAAAGCAUCUAUCUCCUGUGAUAGAAAGUCAGUUGCUUGAAGGCAGAUGUUGGGCUUUAUUCACAUUUGAGCGCUCAGAGUGGACCUGCGGUCUGGAGCACAGCAGGUGUGGGCCAGCAGUGGAGGGAAGGGAUUGGAACUUCCUGCCCCUCACUGCCCCACCUCCUUCUCUGCCUUGUAUUCCAGACACACAGCUCAUACUUCGGGCAGCCCACGUGUCCGGCACAUUGCAGUGACACCUUAUGGUUCGAGCCUCUUCCCCAUCUUACACUCAUUCAGCUACCUUAGUUGGCUGGUUCCCUGAACACAUCCCCCAGCUGAGUUCUCUCCUCUCUUCCAGGACACACAUACCCAGGCACUCUCGCCUCUCCCACAGGCUUGCUGUGCAAUCACCGAGUCCCAGAUUCUUGGGCCCAGGAAGCGAGCAGCACCCUUUCACAUUAGCCUAGGCCACCUGCUCGGGCCCAGCUUCCCAGAGAGCCCAUCGGCGGUGUCUGGGCCGCAGUCCCAGCUACGUCCUAAUGAAAGGGUACUUUGGUUCUCCAUCCACGUCUGACCCCAUGCACGUCACUCCUUGGAAGUAGGGUUUGGUCCAUGAUGCAAGCCGGUAACGUCACACCCCUGCUUCCCACCACUGCCACCAGCCUCUGCACAUGAUUAUCGGAUAAAACAGAAGCUGCGUAUCCUCCAUCCACGUGGAGCUCUAAGAGCUCCAGCGCCCCCCUCUGAAGGUUGGAGGCUCAGGGCAGGCCAUACCUCUCACAGGAGAGGGGUCAGAGGGACAGUCACAGGCCCCAGGCCUGGCAGUGGGGCUCCACACAGAAGGCCAAGCUAGCGGGAAGGGCUGCAGAGCUUGGCCGUCUUCCCAAUCUCUCAUUUCGCAGCACUACAGUGAUUUUAAUUAAAUACUCCCCCUACUGACUCAGCAGUGGCUAACAAAGCCAAGUGCAGAGCCAGGAGCCUGAUAAACAGAGUGUUGCUGGAGGUGGUCAAUCUCGAAGGCCGUGGCUGGAGCCCGCCAUCCCUGUCUGGGGCCAGGCCCCAGGGCCCUAGUCCUCUUCCCCUUCUCCAGGACCCCGUGGGGUCUUUGCUGGAGGCAGGCAAGCUGUGCGUUCUCAAAACCUCUUGGCAGAGACUUUUUCUGGACCCCACUGGUCUUGGUUGUGAAUCCUUUACCAAACUCCUACUUGGAAGGCUGCUUAAUUCACUCCAUAAAUCUCUCCUCCUGGACUUUGCACAGCUGUGGCUAGAAGCUGAUUCCUGAGCGCUCUCAGCAGCCCCUGGAAGAAGACAGAAGAGAACAACUGUGAAGGAGAGGAGACUGGAAUUCACAUACCACCGGGCAGAGCAGUGGAAAGGCACAGGCCUUGUACCCAGACUCACCGGGGUUCUGACACCAGCUCUUCUGCUCUCAUCGGGCUCCCUGGGCUAAUUACUCCGCUUACCAGCCUCAGCCUUCUUAUAUACCAAUCAGAAAGAAUACUCUCUAUGUUAUUAGAUGAUUGGAAGGGUUAACUGAGACCAAAAAGUGGCACCCAUCAAGCCUUCAGCAACUGGUGACUGUUACACCUAACGUGCGCACGCGGGUGCUAGGUAGCCCACGGCCUAUGGGAGAGCUGCCAAGACGUUGCAAAUAUUUGUGAGCACGUACAAUAUUUCUGCUCCUUCUAUUCAGGAGAGGAUUCAAGGUCUCAGAGAGGCGGCCUUACCUCUUCCAUUUCAACACCCUGUGUGACUCUCAUAGAGUUUACAGUCCUGGUGGGAAAUUCAGUUAUUAUCCAGUGAGCUGUCACCCCAUACAAGGAGUACAAGGAGGUUACCUCUUCACCACUGAUGUUGAGUUGAGCUUGGCCCUGUAUUGUUUUGGCCAAAUGGCAUGUAGGCAGUGUCUGAGUUCUGAAUCCAGGCCUGAAGAGUCAUUGCAUGCUUCUGCUCAUCAUUCUGGGACUUCCCUGAUCCUGCCAUGAGUCACUGUCCCCUGGCCCGGACUCCUGACUAUAACCCAUGAAGGAAACCUGCAGUCUGAAACAGGGACACCAUAACCAAUCUGCGAACCUAUGAGCAAAAAUAGAUGCCCAGUGCCAUAUGUCAAAAGAUUCUGAGACUCUUUGUUACUUAGCAAUAGCUGAUGAAUCCAGUCUCCCAGGGAAAUGGACAGAGAGCUGGAAAGCAGUUUCCUCUAUUCUUGGAUCUCUUGAUCUAUCCAGGAAUUCUAUCAUUUCUCUGAGCCCAGUAUUCAACCAGGUCAGAAAAUAAGCAUCAUCUUUUCAGGAUCAACUCUCAGACUCCCUCCCAACCCCUGUGCCCACAGUAGACUACACAAAGGAGAAACCAUUGGUUUCACAGCGAUUCUCCCCCAACAUCCCCAUCUCACACUUGAACCCUGACAUUUUAUGUUCUCUGGCUCCACUAGGACAACUUUCCACUGGGGUAGAGGUGGCCAUCUGUAGCAGCUGCGGAGAGAAAAGGUUGGCACUUCAAUCUAUUAUGUAGCUACAGAAAAGUCCAAAGAGAUGAGGAGGACAUAUGAAAGUCCUAGGUAAAUCUCAUUAUUUCCUUCAUUUAUUUAUUCAUGAAUGCAACAAAUAUUUAUUGAGAACCUACUCUUAAGGUUUCCAGAUACAAUACAGGAAGCCAGGUUAAUUUGAAUUUCAGAUGAAUAACACAUUUUUUAGUAUAAAGAGGUCCUAAAUAUCACACAGGAUGUAUUCAUACUAAAAAUAAUUUAUCAUUUGCCUGCAAUUCAAAUUUAACAGGAUGUCCUGUAUUUUUAUUUGUCAAAUAUAACAACCACACAACUAUGACUAGGCAUUGUGUUGGAUGCUAAAGACGGUGGCUGGGAAUGAUAGAAAGAAUGAUAGAAAGGUGGCUGCCCUUCCAAAAGCUUAUAAGAUUUGGGAUAAUACAGGCAUGUGUGUAAGAAUUAUAUACAUACAUGUAUGGAAAAUACGCACAUGGACACAUAUAUCAAUUAGGUAUCCUAUACACCCUUUAAUGUGGGAAGCCCAGGGGCACCUGAGUGGAUCCGUUGGUUAAGUGUCUGAUUCUUGAUUUUGGCUCAGGUCAUGAUCUCACGGUUCAUGUGAUAGAGCCCCAUCUCAGGCUCUACGCUGAGAAUGCGAGCCUGCUUGGGAUUCUCUCUCCCCCUCUCUCUGCUCCUCCCCUGCCUGUGCAAUCUCUCUCUCUCUCUCUCUCUCUCUCUCAGGAGAAAAUGAGAAGCCCAGGUGCUCUGAGCUAUGCAGGUGUAACACAUAUCAGCACAGGGUCUGCCUUUCCCUCAACCCACACCUGUGCCUUCAUAGAUGGCUCCCUAUGCCACUUGACUGAGGAAGAAAAAUUAAGCCUGUGUUUUGGAUGGCUCUGUGUGGCAUCCUAACAAUGGCCCACACUAACUGAUACGAUGUUAGGCUUACUCAAGAAUGGUCCUGAAAAAACAUAGAAGGAAAACUGGCUCAGCAAACACAAUUUAACAGCCUGUCUUUUUCGCCAUUUUAUCUGUAAGAGGAGCAAGCUUGACUUGAGUAUUUAUACUUGCUCAUGGGCAGUGGUUAAUGGUUUGAUCAGUUGGUCAGAGACUUGGAAGAAGCAAUACUAGAGCAUCAGUGACAAAGACUCUCAGGAAAGAGGUCUGUGGAAAUUUUGGAAUGGCCCCAGAAUGCAAAAAUAUCUGAAUCUCAUAUGAAAGCCACCACAUAGUGACUUCUCACUAAUCAGGAGGGAAAACUGAGUCUGGGAAUACCCAUCCACCAGCCUCCUUCCCCAGGGCCACACAUGGGCCUGACAACCUGGGUCCCUCUUUGCGUAAGCUUAUUUGGCUAUCCCAUUGCUGAGUGGCCAACUUUCAACAGCAACAACUAACUCCAAGCCUUUAGUAUAGUAUCUUGGAGGACCAUCUUGGCACCUGGUGUUUGGUUGGUUCCAUCAACCCUCUUCCACCAUGGAGAGACAUAAAUUCCUUCUCAGUGGAAGAGAUACAUUCUGAAUUUUAAUUUCUUUUCUCUGCUAGUCGCACUUCUGCUAAUUACCUGUACAUGUCAUUGUAUAUUAUAGUGUGUGUGUGUGUGUGUGUGUGUGUGUGUGUGUAACCAGUCUCCUGAUCCAACUAAGAAAUAAUACCUUCCUUGGAGGGGAUGAAGCCUUGCAGAAUAAAGAAUAUGCUCAGAACGAGUUUCUAAUAUAGCCUUUCAGGAAUAUUACAAAGGUCCAUUACAAGGUCUAGAAUUGAGGGGGAACAUGACACAAUUAAACCUAAUGAUUCACUAGCAAAAACCUUGCUUUGCCAUCUUGGAGUCCCAUGGAACUCCUCAUGCCAUUCAACCCAUCAGCAAAAACGGGCACUAGAAUGUUGGCUGAGAACCUUAACCCCACCAAGAGGAAAGAGUGUUGAUUUAAGCAGCCGAAUGGGAAGAGUUAUAAAUAGAACACAGGUGUUCCCCUGGGUGUCUCUUAGUUCAGCCACUCCCACGAUGCUAAUGAGUGAGACCACCAAGGGCUCAUAUCCUCUGGGAAGGAAGGUUGGCGUCAUCUCACUAGGCAAACAUUUCCAGUCACCAUGGUGGGGUCUGAAGGUCUAGGGAACAAGGAAAGCAUAGGAUAUUGGAGAGAGUUGCAUGUAUCAACUGUGGCCCUGAAACCAGUUGCAAUACAAGGGUCAUGGCCUUCUUUGAUAUUACUAUAUAUAUAUAUAAUUAAUAUAAAUUAGUAGUAUAGAUUAAUAUAAAUUAAUAUAUUAUUAUAGGUUAAUAGAAUUGAUAUAAAUUUAUAAUUAAUAUAAAUAUAUUCAUAUUAUAUUAUAUAUUAACAACUAUAUAUUUACAUUAAUAUAUUGAUAUAAAUUUAAGUUAAUAUUAUAAUAUAUAUAACAUAUCCACACACAAAGUAUAUACAUAUAAACAUACACAUACAAACAUAAAUUUUAACUGCUAUUUCUUUCAUUCCAUCCAUUUGUUUCCCCCUCACACUAUUGUUUAUAGGUUGUAAUGGUUUACAGUUUCAAAAUACUGCGACUGGAUCAAGGGAGAAUCGGGGGGAGCAGACAUUGUCCAGAAACCCUGGACUCAGCCGGACGCUUUAGCCUCUAGGAGGGAUGUGUGCGAUGUCUCCUUGGUUGGGCAGUGGGGGAGUGAAUGAGUUUUCAACAUAUAAAAGUGAGUGGCAAGUAGCAAGGGGAGAGCUUUGUUUUGAAAGGUAAUCAUGAGAAGAGUACGAGAAAAUGCAGGGUCGCCAAGCAGACAGCAGACGUACAGUGUGGGACGUUGUUGAUUUUGGUUUCUCGGUAGCCCAUGCUCUUCCCAUUUAGGAUAAUCACAGAUGUGGGACUUACUCUGCUUGCCUUAUUCUGCUCAUUCAGCUACAACAAAAUACCAUGGACUGAGUGGCUUAAACGACAGAUAUUUAUUUCCUCCCGGUCCUGGAGGCUGGAAGUCGAGGUCAGGCUGCUGGCACGGUCAUGUUCUGGUGGGAACCUCCUUUCUGGCGUUCAGACUGCUGCCUUCUUGCUGUAUGUGUGUGCUCAUGUGGUUUUUCCUUGGUGCCCAAGCAUGGGCAGACAGAGAGAUCUUUCUCUCUUCCUUUUCUAAUAUGGGCACUAAUCAUUGCGGGAUACAUGCAUACAGUCCAUAACACAGCCCUGUCCUUACAGGGGAGGCUGCACAGUCGGAAGACAUUUUUCUCUUCCCAGGUCCCUAGAGUUAGGAAGGAGUGCACACAUGAGCUAUGCUUGGAUAAUCAAGAACUCUCACCCAGACCCUUACUCUCGAAGGAGGGCAGCCAAGAAGAGGGGACCGUGGGUGAUUACUUGAGUGAGUGUAGAGCUAAGUCCAGUGGUGUGCUUACAGGGGGGGCCAGCAGUGCCAGUUACAGGUCAAUGGUCUAUGAUUUGGGUCCCAGGACCAGGGACCAGCCCGUGCUCCUAGCUGUCCAGAACUGCUUGGGCCCUGACAGUUUUCUGACUUGGUGUUCUGGUUUUCCCUGUCACUCUGUACACUGUUUCAGUGGAUGAGUGGCGGGUCCAUCUGUUUUAGUGGAUGAGAUUGAUUUCUGUUGUUUACAACCAAUAUCCCUGCCUGGAACAAGUGGUUUGUCCAAUAGGAAGGUCUGGGGCGAGUAGAGGAAGUGCAGUGAAGAUACAUGUCACUGGAGAAGAGGUGGUCGAGGAAAAGGCCAGAGCUUUGGACAUGCCAUGUGUGGAAGACUGAUGUCAUGAAUAAUAAUGGUAGGAUUUGCAGAAGAGGAAUAUGGUAAACCAGAUGUCAAACUUUAGAAAAUGAGGGAAAGUGGCCAACCAGCCACUCUGAAAAAGAUGAGGAGGUUGGCAUACAAUGAUUUAGCCAAACCGAUCAAGUCUCGGAAGAGCAACGAUUUUUACACAAGGUGGAGAACUUAGAGGGGGGAGCAGACACUGGGGGGUAAGGAAAAUUCAGACCCAAAUCCCGACCCUGAGGUCUGCACGAGGGACAGAGGCAGGGGAGCCAUGCCAUCUCAGCAGAGUCGGGUUUCCUGUAAGGUGAUGAGCACAAAAGGACAUUUAGAGGGAGAUGAACCGUGUAAGGGAGUCUGUCUGCAUGGGACAGAAGUUCCACAGAUGGGAGGAGAGUGCAGGAUGUCCGGCCAGCGGGACGCUGCCCACAGAGAGAUGGAGAAGGUUGAUACAGGUGGCGGAUGACGUCUCCCCCAGGGCGGACCUGAGGCACUAUGUGUGUCAUUGGCAAAAGUUCUCCAAAAAAAACCAAUCCCCCUUCCCAUGCACCUAAAUAAAGUCAGCUAUGUGGCUGUCUGAGUAGACUGAGGAGGUGCACACAAGCUUUGUGUCAUGAAACCCUGGGCUCUGCUCCUCAGCCUGUCACCUACUGGCUGUGUGACUCUGCAUAUGUCCUUGUGGCGCCUUCACCUGUAUCGUGGGGAUAAUAAGUAAGGCUGUGUUACUUAGCUGUGAGGACCACAGUGAUGAUGUGUCAAAGUGCUUUUUUUUUUUUAAUUUUUUUUUUCAACGUUUUUAUUUAUUUUUGGGACAGAGAGAGACAGAGCAUGAACGGGGGAGGGGCAGAGAGAGAGGGAGACACAGAAUCGGAAACAGGCUCCAGGCUCCGAGCCAUCAGCCCAGAGCCUGAUGCGGGGCUCGAACUCACGGACCGCGAGAUCGUGACCUGGCUGAAGUCGGACGCUUAACCGACUGCGCCACCCAGGCGCCCCUCAAAGUGCUUUUUGAGAAUAAUCUCAAACAUCCAGAGAAGUGGACAGAACGAAGAUAACACAGAGAGCACGCGUUAUAUCCUUCGCCUGAUUUCAUCUGUGGUCGACUUUUACCUUAUUUGCUGCAUCAUUUGGCAUUUGCACUCUCUCUCUCAUUCUCUCUCUCUAAAUAGGUAAGCUUUGCAGUCAAUAUAUGCAAAAAAAACUUUGACCACUUGAGAAUAAGGUACAUACAUUAUGAUCCUUAAUACCGGUAUUUCCUAAGAAUAAGGGUAUUCCCUUGUAUAACUACAGCACAGUGACCAACUGCAUGAAUUCAACAGGAUCCAAUAGUUUAAUCCAGCUCCGUCGGCUGACCUGGCUCUGACCUUCACAGCAUUUCCCCCUCUGCUCUGGGACACAGCCUAGGGUCAGGCUGUGCAGCUGGUUACAUGUCUCUACCCCCCUUUAAUCUGGGACAUUUGUAUAGAUAGCCUUUCUCUGUCUCAUAAGAAUACCUUAAAUUUUUUUUUAAUUCCAGUGUAAGUAACAGAGAGGGUUAUGUUAAUUUCAGGUGUACAACACAGUGAUUCAAUAGUUCUAUACGUUACUCGGUGCUCUCAUGAUUCAGUGUACCCUUAAUUUCCGUUACCUAUUUCCCCCACCUGCCCAACCACUUGCCUUCUGGUCUGUUCUCUACAUCUAAGAGUCUGGGUUUUGGUUUGUCUCUUUUUCCUUUCUUCGUUUGUUUUGUUUCGUAAAUUCAGUGGAUGAGCGAAAUCAUACGGUAUUUGUCUUUCUCUGAGUGAUUUCACUUAGUAUAAUAUGCUCUAGAUCCAUCCAUGUUGUUGCAGAUGGUAAGCUCUCACUCUUUUUUAUGGCUGAGUAAUACUCCAUUGUGUAUACACCACAUCUUCUUUAUCCAUUCGUCUAUGGAUAGACACUUGGGCUGCUUCCGUAUCUUGGCUAUUGUAAAUAAUGCUGCAAUAAACGUCGGCGUGCAUGUAUCUUUUCAAAUUAGCUUGUUUGUUUUCUUUGGAUAAAUACCCACUAUUGGAAAUACUGGAUCCUAUGGUGUUUCUAUUUGUAACUUUUUGAGGAACCUCCACACUGUUUUCCACCAUGGCUGCACCACUUUGCAUUCCCAACAACAGGGCACAAGGGUUCCUCUCUCUCCCCAUCCUUGCCAACACCUGUUGUUUCUUGUGUUUUUGAUUUUUAGCCAUUCUGACAGAUGCGAGGUGAUCACCUCACUGUGGUUUUGAUUUACAUGUUGAUAAAAAUGCCUUUUAAGGAACGACACCAGAGCAACACAAGUUUAAGGCAUAAAACUCAGAAAAUAGAGAUAAGCACAAAGGAAAAACCCACCUGUCAGCGGAGACCUCCAACCAGUUAGGCUGGCUGUUUCUCACCUCUCCGCUAUCCUCGGUGAGCUCCGAGGACCCAGAUCCCACCUGCCUCUUCUCUCCGUUCCUCUGGGCUUCCUUGCCCUUAAAGACAACCUCACGCUACUCUUUGCACAGCGCAAGCACGUGUGUGUGUGAGUCCGUGGAUGUGCUCUUAAACCAGAAAGUCCCAUGUUAGUCUAUCAUGCUCUUAGCUCAACAACUGGGCUAGAAAACAGGAUUGUGGGGGCGCCUGGGUGGCGCAGUCGGUUGAGCGUCCGACUUCAGCCAGGUCACGAUCUCGCGGUCCGGGAGUUCGAGCCCCGCGUCGGGCUCUGGGCUGAUGGCUCAGAGCCUGGAGCCUGCUUCCGAUUCUGUGUCUCCCUCUCUCUCUGCCCCUCCCCCGUUCAUGCUCUGUCUCUCUCUGUCCCAAAAAUAAAAAAAAAAAAAAAACGUUGAAAAAAAAGAAAACAGGAUUGUGUUAAGCGCCUUUCCCUGCUGCCUCUCUGACCAUUUCUCCGGCUGAAUCUCCUUUGCUUAUUUCUCUCUUUACCCAUUUCCCUUCUUUCUACAUAUCAGGGACCCUUUUCUUUGUGUCCCCAGAGCACUGCCAUUGUGCCUUAUUGAAUCACACUACUGUUAUCUGAGUAUGGAUCUGAAUGUCUCACCAGAGGGAGAUGCUGUGAGUAGUAGGACUCUGUCUUAGAUCUCAUUCUAUCUUUAGUGCCCAGUUAAUGCCUGGCACAUAGUAGGCAGUUAACAAGGAGGUACGGAAAGAAUACAUGAGUGAUGAACUUGAACUAUUUAUAUACGUUUCUGGAGAAUGCCAUGUUAAAUUGGAAAUUACUCAAUCUUGGGAUGGGGGUGACUAUCAAGGGUCAGCAUCUGUAUCGCUAGGAAAAACACUGGCUUGUUGAAGGCAACACACCUGUUCUGUUGUCUACAAAUUAUUAAAUGCAUUCGUGAUGAUGGGCAACGCAAUGGCAUCUAAAUGACAACAGAGUAAUUAAUGAAAUAAAAUAAUGUGUAGGAAAAAAAUUCAAUCCUGUUUAAAUUAAGAUGGAUGAAAAAACGGGUAUAAGAUUGGAGCACCAGAUGGUAUCGAUACAUUAUACUAAUUUUCUAUUCACGUAUUCAAUUAUAGUUUAAAUAAAAACUAAUAUGGGUAAUUCGUCUCAUGGUGUUUGUAUGAACCAUCUGAUUAUAAAUUCCCACAAUGUCCAAUUUACCCACCAAUCUCACACCGCACAAUUAUUGAGCAAGCAGGGUGUGAUCUGCUGGGCAUUCCAGAAGGGUUGCUGGCUGCUCUGGGCACUUAGGAGGGAGGUAUCGUGGGGCAGGAGGUCAGUACUGACUUCUUCCCGACAGUGUGGGUUCCUGAUAAAAUGCAGGAUGCCCAGUUAAAUUUGAAUUUCAGAUACACAAAGGAUAAUUUUGUAGCACAAAUAUGGCAGGAGACACAUACUUUAAAAAUUCACAUGCUUUACCAUGUGUUUUCUUGCACAUUCCUUUAUUCUUUGCAACACACCCUUGAACCAGGACCUCAGACUCAGAGCAAAAAUGGAGGCCCCAAUGGGACCAUACAUCCAGGCAAAGCCCAGCAACAUCUGAGGACAGAGCUGUGUUCAGCAGCCACAGCCGGGGCUUCCCGGAGGAGCCAAGAGGGGCUGGAGUGAAGUGAGACAGGGCCCCCUGGCCCUGCCUGAUUCCAGAAACUGAUCAGAGCAGGCUCUGCUUUGGGCCAGGCCCAGGGACAGGUCUACAUCAGGCCCGAGGAGAAACCCCUGACCCCCACCUCCUUGACAUUCCAUGCAAAAGAAAUCUGUGCGCCUGCUUUGUGAUAUCAGAAAUUACUUUAAAAUAGAGGAGGCAACUGCAAAUCUUCCAAAUUUUACAAGAGGUACAGCUUUAAAAUAGUUACAGGUAAAUUCCGCAAACUUUUAUCUGCUGUGUCAGUAAUGAGCAAUCUGUCUCCACCGGAUCCCGUUUCCAUGUCUUCCUCAUUUACUCCCUAUUUAAAUCCUCCCAUAGAGCUCAGAUACUACUUGUGGAACCUUCCUAAGUCUUCACAGCCUGCAGGGAUCUUCUCCUUUUCAGCCUCCUACAGCACCUCACGUUUAGCCUCUUGUGAUGCAUCACUUUAUCUUAUAUGGGGAUUUGUGUGUUUGCCUUAUCUUUCCUUUAGUGAGAAACUCCUUGGGGUAAAGAGUCACAUCUUUAGUCUCCAGGAACACAUUCGGUGCCUUAACUAUAAUAGAUGAUGAGUUAUGGCCAAAAAAGAAAAAGCAUAAACCGUACAUUAGAGUUAACCAACACACUUUUUUUCUAAUAAAAUGAACCGGGGCUCCUUGGGAAAAUGUCUGAUUCCAGGGCUGGGCAAAUAGAAUACAAAAUGAGUAUCUUGCUAAAGGGGGUCCAGAAGCUAACUUGAGAGUGCUUCCGCUAAUCAACUAUGGGAUAAUUGGAGCCACAAAAUAAAUAAGUAUAGUAACCCAUAGAAUAAAAUAGGAACCCAUCCGCCUUCACCGAGAUGAUCAUGUAAAUUAAUAAAUAAGACCAUGUUGCAGAAGAGAAGCUCUCCCAGAGAAAUUCCAGUAAAAUGUAGAAAUAACAAUUAGAAUCUUGCCAUUUGGCAGCAACUACGGUAAUAAUUGUGUAGGAAUCAUCAAGGCUGCCAAAACUAGUGGGGGAAAUGUGGCAAGAAAUGGCACACGUGUGCAUUUGCAAUGUAUCUCCUCGCAAGAUACUGUCUAAUUACAAAGGAGGAAAAGUAUCUUCUCAGUGGAGACACCUGGCGGGUAUCACCUUAACCUAGUGGUCCAAGUCAGCAUCAUUGAUAAUGAGAGAACUCAUCACCAUGUGCCCACCGAUAUGAUGUGCUGAAGAAUAAGCAUAACACUCCUGUGUAUCCUGAUGAAAAUCUACACCACGAAUCUAAACACGAGGAAAUGUUCAACAAAACCAAUUGGGGACAUUCUACAAAAGGCUUGUAUGUACUCUUCAAAAAUGCCCAUCAUUCACCAAAGAAAAUAUACAGGUGGAAAUGAGCAGACGAAAAGAUGCUUCACAUCUUAAGUCACACACACACACACACACACACACACACAAAAUUGCAAAUUAAAGCAACAAUGAGCUAACACUACGUACCUAUUACGAUGGCCCGAGUCCGGAACCCUGGCAACACUAAAUGUUGGUGAGGGUGCAGAGUGACAACAGCUCUCAUUUGUUGCUGGUGGAGUGAGAAUUCGUAGGGCCACUUUGGAAGACACUCAGGCUGUUUCUUACAAAACCAAACAUGCUAUUAACACGUGAUUCAGCAAUUGCACUCCUUGCUGUUUACCCAAAGGAGUUCAAAACAUGUCCACACAAAAACGUGCACAGGGGUGUUGGUAGCAGCUUUAUUUAGAACUGCCAAAGUUUGGAAGCAACCCAGAUGUCCUUCAGUAAGUGUGUAGAUAAACUGUGAUGCAUCAGACGAUGGAAUAUUAUUCAGCACUAAAAAGAAAUGAGCUAUUAAGCCCUGAAAAGGCAUGGUGCAAAACUUAAGUGCAUAUUAAUAAGUGAAAGAAGCCAGACUGAAAAGCCUACAUAUUUGAUAUGCCCAAUUCUGGAAAAAGCAAAACUAUGGAGAGAGUAAAAAAUCAAUGGUUCCCAAAAGCUGGGUGGGGAGGUGAAGGGAUGAAUAGGGUGAACACACGGGGAUUUCAGGGCAAUGAAUCCACUCUGUAUGUAUGAAUAGUAGAUGCGUAUCUUUACACAUCUGUCCAGCCUCCCAGAACUUUCAAUACCAGAAGUGACCCCUAAACUAUGGACUCUGGGUGAUAAUGAUGUGUCAACGUAGGCUUAUCAGGUGUAACAAAUGUACCACACUGUUGGGGGGAUGUUGCUAAUGAAGAGGCUGGUCAUAUGCAGUGGGUAGGAAGUAUAUGAGAAAUCUCUGUACCUUGCUCUCAGUUUUCCUGUGAACCUGAAACUGCUCUAAAACAGAAAGUCUAUUUUCUUUUUAAAUGCCAAUCAUGAAAGACAGAGAAAGACUGGGAACUGCUUUGGGUCAAAGAAGACUAAGGAGCCAGGGCAUGUAAAUGUAAUGUGUGAUACCGAAUUGGAUCCUGGACCAGAGAAGUUUUUCUUUCUGACAUUAGUGGGACAACUGACGAGGUUUUAAUACCUGGAGAUAAUUAAUAGUAGAAUAUCAAAGCUAACCUCCUGAUUUUGAUAAUUGUACUGUGGUCAUGUUAGAGAAUACCCUUGUUUUUUGGAUAUAUAUGUUAAAGUAUUUAGAGGUAAAGGGGUAUAAUGCUUUCUACAUACCUUCAAACUAGUUCAGAAACAAAGGAUAGAGGGAGACACAGAGAAUAAAGCAAAGUUGUUAAUAUUAACACUCGAGGAACCAGGGUGCAGGUUGUAUAGGGAUUUUAAGUGCUAUUUUUCCAACUUUUCUCUAAGUCUGAAAUUAUUCAAAACUUUAAAAUGGGGGAAAAACCCUCUGGUGUAAAAAAAAAAAAGCAUAUAUUUGCAUGUUCCUAAAUUAUAUAAUCAUUAAAGAUUACUUUAAAAACACAUUGUACAUGUUUUAAAUUUUGCCAAAUUUCUAAUUUUUUUUAUCCUUGAACAGGCCAACAAAAAAAGAUUUAUCUCAGUUUCUCCUGGUUCCCGAAUUUCUGGGAAUUUGACUUCUUUUUUUUAUUUAAAAAUUUUUUAAUGUGUAUUUAUUUUUGAAAGAGACAGAGGCAGAAUGCGAGUGGGUUAGGGGCAGAGAGAGAGGAAGACACAGAAUCUGAAGCAGGCUCCAGGCUCUGAGCUGUCAGCACAGAGCCCAACGUGGAGCUCAAACUCACAAGCUGUGAGAUCAUGACCUGAGCCGAAGUCGCUCAACUGACUGAGCCACCCAGGCGUCCCUGGGAAUCUGACUUCUUUUUGUAAUUUCUUGGCAAUUUUUCUAGAGCACUGAUUUCCUUUGAUAGAGAAUUCAAAAUUCAAAGUCAAAUGAAAAGUCCGAUAGAGUUCAAGGUGAGCUGCGUUGUGUCAUUAUACAACUCACCUGUUCUUGUUAUGAAAGGGUUUCGUUUCACCUACCACUGCAGUUCCGGUCUCCCUGAGAACCUUUGCACGCACCCCACCCCCCAAAAGUCAUUGUCUUCUUGUCCUGUGGUCCUCCUGACCUCCACUCCUCUCCCCCUGCUCCACUACCUGAGGAUUGGGAACUUGGCUUGUCACGUGGUCCCCAUGGAAUCUAGCACAGUGUCUAAAAUGUGAAAUGCUGAAAAAAUAUGUUUAUUAUGACCUCACAUUUCUAACUCUGUAUUAACAAAAAUAUAUCCCCUUGAGUUUUUAUAUGUCAGGUUCACUCGCAGGACUGUUCUUGUGCAUGUAUUAUACUCCUGCACAUUCGUCAUCUCCUGUAGUCCUUAACAUUACCCUAUGACACAGGUACUGGUAUGCCCAUUUGGCAGAUGAGAACGUUGAGGCUCAGAGAUACUUUUGUUGUUGUUGCUAAAGUUUACAUGGUCAGUGGCAGAGCUAGAAUUUGAACUCAGACCAAUCUGAUGCCAAACAUAUUCCCCUUCUAGUAACCUCGGUAACUCUCUCUUUCAAUCAAUUUUUUAUUGUAAAAUGUAAACAAACAGCCCCAUUGAGUAGGCAUCUGCUGUUCAGCAGAUCCUUACAGAUGCUUCUUUCUGUCUCUCUGUCAUUCUGGGGGUGGCAGGAGGAAUAGAAAAUGAAAAUGUGGAUCUGGGAAAGUAAAUUAAAUAUCAAGUUCAUAGCCACGUGGAACUAAGGAGAAAAGCAGUAACUUAUUGAUGUGCUUUCUGUAGUGUCUGCACUGGAAAUUACCUUAUGACAGCAUGUGCUUCCCACGUUUUAUCUUUGAAAGGAAGUGAGAAGAUGCCAAGAAGAACCGAGAAGCACCCAGUGCCGGAUUCACAUCAGGUACCCUUCAUCAGGAUGGCUGGUUUGUCCAGAAAUAAUGAUACCCCGGGCUGCUGCAGUCCCUCCACACCUGGUCCCCCUUUUCACUGCCUAGCAGUAAACAGAAGCCGUGAUUUCGGAAACUGUAUACACCAGAGUUGCUAGCUUGAAUGGCAGAGCUCCAACUCAUUCAGAUCCAGCCCCAAAGUCCCUUACUUCCUUCUAACGUGACUACAUACCAAGCAAGACAAAUGCUCUUGAGUCCCUAGCAAGUUAGGUCACUCAUCCACCAGAAAGGAGCAAAGGUGAGUCUACAAAGGAUGUGUGGGAAAAUAAUAACUAAAAGAAAACAGCUAAGAGCUAACAGACGCCCACCCUAUUUAAAAGAACUUGAAGCAAGACCGAGUAGAAUGUAGAACUGAAGGCAAGAAAAUGUCCCUUGUCACCUUUUGUCACAUACCCCAUGACGUAGCCUGGGUCAUUAGUAAACAUGUUUGGGGAGCAGUUUGGUAAGUGAUCCACUCCUCUUGGGGGAGAUGCUCUGCGGCUCAAUGGGAGUUGUCUGGUUUGAAGUCUAGAGACAAGAAGGGACCCUCCACCAGACAAGUAUCACCUAGUAGUCCCAGCCAUCACCACAUGGAGCGGAAGAAUCACCCAGCUGAUCCCUGUCCAGAUGCAGGGUUCACAACCUUAGGCGCUACAACAAAAUUGUUGUGGUAAGCCACUAAAUUUGGAGGUAUUUUGUUGCGCAUCAGUAGACGACUGGAAUGCCGGCCCUCGGAAUCCUCACCUGUAAAAUAAAAAGAUUGAAUUCCACCGGACUCCGU